UGGCCUCAGGCAUUGAAUGUUACAUGAAGCAAUAUGGUGUCUCUGAGGAACAAGUGUACAGUGAGUUCCACAAGCAAGUUGAGAAUGCAUGGCUGGAUAUUAACCAGGAAUGCCUCAAACCUACUGCCGUUCCAAUGCCUCUCCUCACUCGUGUUGUCAAUCUUUCACGAGUCAUGGAUGUCAUUUACAAGGAGGGAGACGGGUACACACAUGUUGGGAAAGUGAUGAAGGAUAAUAUUGGAUCUGUGCUCAUUGACCCCAUAGUAUGACCAAAUGGAGUUAUUUAUAAUAAAUCAUUAUAAUAAGGUGUGUUAGAGAAAUCCGUAGAAUAAAAGAUCUACGGAUUAUUACAAAUGGUGUCUUAAAUACAGUUUUAGUGGUCAAGAUCUAGGACUGAGUUUUUUCUUGUUCUGUUUUCAACAACUUAAUAACAACCUGUAACAGCAAGCUAGUACUGAGAUCCUCAACUCUGAGUUUGUGUCUUAAGGCUGGAAAAUUGGAAGUAGAGAUGGCCUUUAUGAGAACAUCAGCUAUUUGAUCUUGAGAUUGCACAUGAUGAACUUCUAGCUCCUUUUGCAUCACUUUCUCUCUAGCAAAGUAGAGAUCCAAUUCAAUAUGCUUUAUUCUGGCAUGUAGUACUCGAGUGUAAGCUAACAUGAUAGUACUCAGGUUAUCAUUAGGAACCUGUAAUUCAAACAACAAUGAUUGUAACCAAGAUAAUUUUGUUGUUAAGUUGGCCAAACUGCUACACCCAUCUUGGCUUUGGACAAAAGAUCUGCUAUAUACUUAGUUUGGGAAAGAUGCAAACCUUCUGAAGUUUGCUUGACUUGUAUUCCCAAAACAUAAUCAACUAAGCCAAGAUCUUUUAGAGUAAAAUGAUCAUGGAGCUUAUCAUUCAACUUUUGUACUUUUAUGUCAUUGCUUCCUGUUACAGACUAGAUAAAGUGGAAUGUUGUGGAGUGAUGCUACAAGAGAGACUGAUCUGACUUUGCNNNNNNNNNNNNNNNNNNNNNNNNNNNNNNNNNNNNNNNNNNNNNNNNNNNNNNNNNNNNNNNNNNNNNNNNNNNNNNNNNNNNNNNNNNNNNNNNNNNNCACCAUAGGAUAAACAUUUCAUUAAAGUCAAAGCUUGCAACUUGAUAAAAGCCAAUUUUCGUUUUGUAUUGCUUCAUCAACAAAUUCAAGUUGUACAGCAGAAUAUAGACUUUAGGCUUGUAAAUGACAACCUUGGAUCUUGUAAUCAUGUUGUGUGAAUUGGUGAUAUGCAACCUGUCCUUGUUAGGUAAGACCGAAUCAAACAAGUCAGUAGCAUCAACACAAAUGGCUGAAUUAGGAAUACCAGUACAUAUAGUAGAGUCUGGAGAUUCAACUCGAUGACCAAGAGUUUCUUGAAAUUGGUUGAAAACUAGAAGAUGAAGAAGUAGAGUUGGAUGGUUUUAUAGAAGAAGAUGUCAAAAUUAGAAGUUUGGCUAGUGUGCAAUGUGAGUGAAAGUAGAGGCAGCACAGGGUUCUAUUAUAAACAACAUUUUCUCGACUUUCAUAUUAAUUUUUUUUUAAAUAUUGUAAACUCUUUGAACAAAAUUAAACAAUGAAAUAUAGAAACUCUAAUGAAACUGUGGACCCCACAUUUCGUACGAUACAUUCCCACUCGAUGUCGAGCUCAAUUUUUUUAUUUGAAAAUGAUUUUAUUUACUAAAAUAAUGAUUUGGAGUCGCCACUUAUUUUUGUUUUAUUUUUAAAAGGGCAAACAAAAUAAGAAAGAAAACCUUAAGUGUGACUCCUUAUUUUGGAAAAUGUGAUCUGUGAAAAAUCGGAUCAGGCUCGAGGGUCAGGUUACUUAUCGAGAAGGUACGGUAAAGACCGUAGCACCCCUCUAAGUCCCUAAAGUAGAGUCUCUACUAAUAAAAUGAAGCUGACGUGACAAUCAAUAGGAAAAUCAAUGGAUACUUAGGGUGAUCAUGCACAUGGGAGAAUCAAAACACUCAAUAAAGGACGACAGAAGUGAGAACGAGGCAUACCUUGGCAUCAAUCAAUCAAUGCGCUAUAAAAAAAGAGGGUUAGUAUACAAUUAAAAGAAUAAUCUCAUGCAUGUCAUAGAGCAGAAUGAAUCAAUCAUGUGUGAUAAUCAAAUCAAUCAAUCAAUCAAUCAUAAAAUCACUUAUGUAAGGCCCCCACCGAAGCCCGUUUAUUUUGCAUGAAUUAAUGUCACAGAUUCCAUUAUUCUGGAAUUAUGAAAAAUUCAUUCAUGCUUAUUAAAAUCAAGAGGAGCGGAAGAUUGUUUGAAAACCAGAGUGGAAUUAAAACUAUUUGAGAGAAAAUUGGAUUUUUGAAAUUUAUUCGAAAAAUUUGAGUCUCGAAGAUUACUUGAAAAUUGGAGUUUUAGAGUUUAUUUGAAGAUCGGACUUUUGGAAAUUAAAUGUGAGAAUGAGAAUUUUAGAAAUUACAUUUUGAAAGAGAUUGAAAUUUUGAAAAUGAUUUGAGAGUUCGGGAUUUUUUUAAAAAAAAUUAAAUUACGAAAAUUGGGACCUUGGAAAUUAAAAUUUGAAAGAAAUCAGAAUUGAAAGUUAUUUGAGAAGCAUAAAUUAUGGAAAUUUAAUUAUAAAAAUUGGAAAUCUUGGAAAUCGCUCGAAGGUAGAAUUUUUAGAAAUGAAUGAAAAUAAUAAUAAUAAUAAUAAUAAUAAUAAGUAACGAAAUAAAUGCGAGAAUUGGAACGUUGGAAACUGGAAAUUAAGUUUGGAGAUGGGAAAAUUGGAAUUUCAAAUAACUAAAUUUAGAAAUCGGAAUUUUGAAGAAUUAGAUUUUAAUAAUUGAGAUUUUUAAGAGAAAUAAAUAGGUAAAUAUGGAAUAAUGUUACUAAUUAAUCAAAACGAUAUUUGAAUGGAUGAAAGUGAAUAGUGAGAUUUUUGAGGUUGGAAAUUAAAUUUGGGUGAUUAAGAUAUUUUAAAAGAAACAAACAGAUAAAUAUAGAAUGAUGUUACUAAUUAAUCAAAAACAAUAUUUGGAUGGAUGAAAGUGAAUAGUGAGAUUUUUAGUUGAAAAUUAGAUUUGGAAGUUAGAUUUUUGAUGAACUUUAAUGAUUGGAAUUUUUUUAAAAGAAAUGACUAAAUAAAUAAAUGGAAUCGUAAUAAUAAUGACCAAAAUAAUAUUUAAACGAACGAAAGUGAAUAAUAGAAUUUUUGAGAUUGAAAAUUAAAUUUGGAAGUCAUAUUUUUUUAAGAAUUGAGCUUUAAUGAUUGGAAUUUUUAAAGGAAAUAAAUAAAUGGAAUAAUGCUAAUAAUAACGAAAAUAAUAUUAAUUAAAUAAAUAAGUGUGAAAAGUUGGAAUUGGAAAUUGAAAAUCGGAAUUUUGAAAAAUUGUUUAAAGAUGGGAUUUUUAAAAAUAAAUAAAUAAAUAGAACGAAAAAUUAUUUAAGGGUGAAAUUUUAAAGUGAAUAAAUAAAUAGAAUAAUAAUAACGAAAAUAAAUAAUUAAAUAAAUGAACGUAAAUAUUAGAAUUUUGAAAUAGGAAAUUGAAUUCAGAGGUCGGAAUUUUGAAAAAUUGUUUAAAGAUGAAAUUUUAAAAUAAAUAAGUGAAUGAAUAAAUAGAAUAAUAAUAACAAAAUAAGUAAUUAAAGAAAAGAACGUGAAUAUUAAAAUUUUUGAAACAGGGAAUUAAAUUCGGAAGUCGGGAUUUUGAAAAAUUGUUUAAAGAUGAAAUUUUAAAAUAAAUAAGUGAAUGAAUAAAUAUGAAAAAUUUUUUAAAGAUGGAAUUUUAUUUUUAUUUUUAUUUUAUUUUAAUAAAAGAAAAUUAAAUUUGAAAAUAAUUAAAUUUUAGGAAGUCAAAGUUUUGAAAACUAAAUAUUUUUUGUAAAAAAAAAAAAAAGGAGUUUUUGAAAAAUUAAAUUAAAAUUGGAGCUUUGAGAAAUUAAAUUAAUAUUGGAGUCUUGAAAAAUUACCUUGAAAUUAAAAUUUUGGAAAUGAAAUCUUUGACAUAAGAAAUCGGAGAAAACUAAGGAAGUAAUAACAAUAAUAAUAAAAAGGAAAUGGCCACACCAAACGUGUACAGCAAGUCCAUAAGGAAUAAACAAAUGAAAAGAAAAAAAACAAGCCCAUUCUCCAAUGCACCUCUCUGCCAUACCCACAAUAGCCAUUCACUUAAUGCCCUGAGGAUACUCCAUUUCUUUCCUCUGUUUUCCUCUGUUUUCUCUCAGUUUCUCUCCGAAUCACAGUCAUUCAAGUAUAAAAUAAGACGCCGAUCAAUAAGAUCAUUCUUAAAGUUGACUUGACAGAGCAAGAUUUCCUUAUCAGCUCCCACGAGGAAUUAUUGCUUGGAGAAGAAUCAAGGACAGCUUUGUAUGCAGGAUUUGACAUGGCUGUAGCAGCUAAAACACCAACAAGCUCACCAGCAGGGAAGAAACGCUGGGGGUUAAUUCUAGUCUUCACUCCAUACUCAAAUUGGAUAAUUGAAUUGCUACAAACAUUCCUCACUGUACCAUCAUAACAGAUAACAACAUCUCGAAGAAUAGCCAUUAAGUUUUUAGACAAGGUUCUUGGUUCAGACAAGCCCCUUGAUGAUCGUACAAUUAUUUCUCUUGUGGAAAUUGAAUGGACCAUUUCCUCAUAAGGAUAAAAAUACAUGGGCAUGAUCUCCAAAAAAAAAAACAAUUGCAGUGAUGAAUCUACACUCAGAACAUUCCAAAACGAAAAAUAAAAAUGCACAAGUAGUCUUCAAGUGUCAAAGGAAUCCACAAAUGACAAGAAACAGAGGAGAACAGUUCAAAAUGGGAAAAGUAAAAAAAAAAAAAGGCAGAAACCAUACCUAGACUAAAAGAAUAAGGUCGAAUGGAUCUUCUGAUUCUCCUCAACUUCCUCUCCUCUCUGUCUCGUUCCCCCCUGCACCUUCAAGCUCCCUCUUGACUUUUUCUUUUCACCAAAAAAAAACUCUGUUUUUUUCUUCCUUGGCAAGCCACUACUUGCUUUCCUAUUCAUCCCUCAGCAAGCAUGGCAUUUUUAACCACCAGCAUGGCCGCCAUCUCCCUCUUGCUGCUACCUGUCCAAUGCAGCUGCCUUCCAUGCAUAGGGAGGUCCCCCCCUACUUAAACAAUGGAUGGAAAAUUUCUCCCCCGGGUGGUGCAAAACAAAUGAAAUACAAAACCUUGGUCUUUGAAGGGGUCUACAGAAACCUAAAAAAUAACUUUUGACUUCUCCAAAAUUAAUUCAAAUAGGAGCUACAAGUAUAUUUAAUAAUAACUUUUGGAAAGUUUAAAGUUGUAACUUAUUAUUCGAACUAUUUUCCUUUCUAAAAAAAGGGAAAAAAGAAUAAAGAAAAACAAAGAAGAGGUUGUUUUUGAAGAAAUUUAAAAAUCAGAGAGUUACUUGGAGUGACUUUUUAAAAUGCCACCAAAAUAUUAUUUUGAUUUAUAUCUAAAUACUAACUCACAAUCCACAAAACUCAAAAAGUAUCCCUAAUAGAAGAUAUUAUCAAUAAAAGGGUUGAUGAUAAACACUCAUAUUUAUCAUUUGGAUUUGCAUAUCUAUAGGAUAAACACUCAUAUUUUUCUUCUCUAUUUUAUUUUUAUUAUUAUUUAUUUUCUUUCUUUCCUUUCUCUUUAUCUUCUUAUAGUUUUUAUUUAUUUUAAAAAGCUAUUAUUUUUGUAAAUUUAUAAAAAUUUUAAAAUAAUAUUAUUGUAAUCAUUACCUUUAAAAAAUAUUAAUUAUUAUAUUUCUUAAUUAACUUCUUUGAAAAAAAAAUAGAACAUAAGAAUGAAAGAUAUGUGAUUUUUAAAAGUAUUUUUUGAGGAUUAUAUCUUUUCCCAAGUUUUUAUCAAAUAAAUAAAUAAAAUAUGAAAACAUAUCAUAAUUAUUUUUUAAAAAUCUCUAUAAAAUUAUUUUUAAGAAAAAUUUUAUGAAACUUUAUGUUUUCAAGAAAAAUAAUUUAUUGUUAAGAAUAACUUAAAGAUAUAAUUAUUAUUACAAUAUAAAAAAAAAAAGUAUUGCAGGAUAUCGGGGAAAGUUCUUACUUCUUAGAUGCAUAUAAAUAUUCUUAAUUUUAAAAUUUAUAUUUUAGGGCAGGGGGGGAAAUUACGUGUCUGAAUGAAUUUCUGUGAUUUUCGUUUUACCCAAACAGGUUAGUGUUACCAUUUACCAUUUAGGGAUUUUCUUUCUUACCAAACAGGACAGGGAAAAGGACUGUUAAUUUCCGAGGGUUUGUGGGUUAGAAAAGCACUGUAGGGAUUCGGCAACCACAUCACCGCCAAUCAUCGCCGCCACAGUCAUUCACCAAGGCAACGCACCAUGUCGAGGUAAUUUGUGUGUCUUCUCCUUUCUUCUUCUUCUUUCUAUAAAUGGAUUGAGUGGGGAUGUCUGGGAGAGCCAGAGAAAAGGGAUUUGGAUCUGGACCCAUGGCCAUUUUGGAGGUCCAAGGGCCAAACCGACUUUCCCACCCUGUUUGGUUUGAUCUCAGUUUUACCGUUUGAUUUAAUAACGGUAGCCUUCUGAUCUGAUGAAUUUGAAGCUCAGUAAAGUUAUGCGUAAUUUUUCAGAAAUUUAGUGGUUUAGCAAUGAUAUAAUUACACCCCUUUUCGUUAUAGUGAAAAUCAUUUGGUAGAUAUGUGAUUUCUUUACUCUGAAAACUGUGGUUUAUGUGAUAGGGUUUUUUAAGAUUUAAUGAAAAAUCGAAACUCCAAUAAAUGAUGAGUGAUUUUGAAGAAAUGUGGUCGUUUAACAUGUGAUUUGAUGAUAACCCUUUGAUUAUAUUAUAAACCAUGGAUGGGUUUUGUUGAUAAAGGAUAUGAUUGCAAUGAAAACAGUGAUUUAAUGUGAGUUGAGUGUGAGCUUUGAUUUAAUAUCCAUGCACACAAUAACAUGAUUUAACAUCCAUGCACACAAUAACAUGAUUUAAUAAACUUAUAAACCCAAUCAAAGGCCUCUUUUAUUAUCAUUUCUCCUCUUCCAAAUGAAAGAGAGGGUUGUGGCUAAGCUUACUCGUACAACUUGCAUAUAUUCCUCUAUGGUAGGUACAUGUCCUUCAUGGAACCAUUAUGCUUCGUCAAAGUAAGAGUCAACCUGAAUUUUCAUCUCACAAACAUUCCUCAAUGUUACGUACUUGUGCAUAUGCUUUAAUUUUUUGCUUGAUUCACCUACAUAACUCAAACUUAACACAUUUUUUCACGAGAUCAGAUUGAAUAUAAGUGUAUUUAAGUUAAAUUUAUAUUAACCUACGUAAUCUAUUGACUAAAUAAGUUGUUUUAUACUAACCUGUAUAACACAAAUUUAAUCCGAAUUGAUCUAAUUAUAAGUUCAAUCUAUUUAAUCUGAUUAUUUAAAAUUUGAUUUUGAUAAAUAAAUCAAAUGAGUUAAACAAGUUAUAUGGUGUAUUAUAUGUCGAAUAAUUAGGUUAUGCUUGGGUUUAUGUUUUGAACCCAAUUAUUAUCUGUAUUAUAUUUAAGUUGAUCUGUUUAGUCGAAUGUCUGGCCACUACGGAACACCAUCAAGUAAAAAUGGCACUUACCGCUUCUUUUGCAUAGUGGAAGCAAUUUGCUUUUCCUUCUUUGUCCAUCUCUUCCUCAAUUUCUUUGUAGACAUCUAAGAGUACCUGAUAGAUCACUUCCAUGUAUUCUGGCGGUUGACUGUUGCUUUCAUCCCACCUGAGGAUAAAUGAACAUCCAGGUCUUGAUUAGGUUUAAAUCAACGCAAGUACAUAUUUCAAAAUUGUGGACAAAAUCAAGGUGGAUUAUUUGCAGAGAAGAAACCUCUCAAUCACUUCUGCAAAAAGCUUAUGUUCUUCGAGUGUACCAUAUGCAUCAUACAUGUCAUCUAUAGUGGAUAUUAUGGAAAGUACUUCGGUCUUGAAUAUUGGGGCUCAGAAAACAUAGCAAGCACAAAGAAGUAGCUUUCCACCAGUCUAUCUCGAGCAAAUGGUAUCUUCAUGCCAAGGUGUAACGACCCGCACCCAACCAUGUAGAUAUUGUUCGCUUUAGGCCCAAGGGGGCCCUCACGGCUUUAAAACGCGUCUACUUGGUUAAGAGGAGCCUCUACAUAUAUAGCGCCAGGAACUUGCUCCCCUAUCCGAUGUGGGACAUNNNNNNNNNNNNNNNNNNNNNNNNNNNNNNNNNNNNNNNNNNNNNNNNNNNNNNNNNNNNNNNNNNNNNNNNNNNNNNNNNNNNNNNNNNNNNNNNNNNNGAGCCUCUACAUAUAUAGCGCCAGGAACUUGCUCCCCUAUCCGAUGUGGGACAUUACAAAUACCUCCCCAUGCAGACACAACGUCCUCGUUGUGUCCCAUGGGAUUGCGGGGCCAAACAGACAGACACCCCUUACGGAGCCAAACAAACCCCCACACCGGGGUCGGGGAUCGGCUCUGAUACCAUUUGUAACAACCCGCACCCAACCAUGUAGAUAUUGUCCGUGAAGGCCCAAAUUGUAAUGUCCCACAUCGGAUAGGGGAGAAUGUUCCUAACGCUAUAUAUGGAGAGACUCCUCUUAACCAAGUAGACGCGUUUUAAAGCCGUGAGGGCCCCCUUGGGCCUAAAGCGGACAAUAUCUACAUGGUUGGGUGCGGGUCGUUUCACAAGGUCUAGUUCUUUAUGCCACCUAAAAUAAAUUAACAUGGUUAGCAAUAAGAGAAAGAUUGCUCAGCUCUUCCUAGUGCAGUGACUGCACCAGGUUGAAGUCUAACUUCGCCAGCUUCAGCAAAGCUUUAUCAUGCGAAGCUUCAUGUUGGUAGAUGGAUAUAAACAACCUCGCCUCUAGUCUGUUCAAACCUUUCCUAACGGGCUGCUUCAGGGAAUGAGUAACUUGUUCUGCAAGAGGAUAUUCUAAAUGUUCUACGACCGACUCAAGGUGAGUGGUGGUAAAGACGAAUGCUUCAUCAAGUAUUCCUUCUUCAUGCACUCGGAGAUGUGUGGCUUCAUACAACCCUAGUAUGCCUCUCACAUCAUUGAUCAAAGAUUCCUGGAAGCCCCCUUUUUCAUCCUUGAACUUGUUGAAUAUAUCUACAUUUAUUCACAGAAAUAUGAUAUAAAAGCGUUCCAGAAUAAGAUUGUGAUGAUGUUAUUAAGAUUUCAUUUUACCUAAUAGAUGAUAGUUCAUCCCUUACCACAUGACAUAUUGAAUCCUUGUUGUCUUAGCAGUCAAAAUUAAAGAGAAACAUUGAAUCAAUCAUCAUCUUUAUGAUCAACAUUAUAAUAGAUAUCAUAGAUAUGUUGCAAUGCUUCUUCUAUCUCUCUUUCAAAGUGGUAUGCCACCCCAAGCGGUUGAAUUCGAUUAAAAUAGUUCAAAUGUUGUGUGCGGGUUACCAGCAGCAGCCAUUAGCCCUCUUCUCACUUCCUCUUUCAAAUCUUCAGCCUGCUGCUCUUUAUGGCCACGGGCUAUCUGCAUGUACAGCGAAAUUGCAUACACAAACUAUUGUUUAGAAAAACAUUGGAUGGUUAAGAUGUGUUAUAUGUGUAUAUAUAUAUGUCAGAAAUUACGUCAUCAGCUAGAGUGUAGCUAACGAACCUCUCACCCCAUAUGCUAGGGCCAAAAUCUGCCUUUGAAACCCGUAACCCCAAUUUCUAGAGUGGGAGUUCUCCUAGGUUUCUUACCUAUUAUAGUUGGAUAAGGCUUGUCUUUUGCUGAAAGGCAAAAGAUAUCUGAAAAAAUAAGGCUUACAUUAUAAUAGUGAUGCAAUUCUUCAAUUUGGUUUAAGAUAAUAGUUCCAAAGUCUGUAGUCAAUUUCAAGUAAAUUGGUAACUAUACGAUUAUUGUAUCCACAUAUGCCUAUAAUAAUGUGUUAUUAACAUUUGAUAUAUAAAAAAUAGUAACAACAACGAUAUAUAUAAAGAAGUUUGAGGAAUACAUUAUAUAUGCAAGAGAAUGAAAUAGUAGAAGGCUUUGAGGAAUUAUCAUUGUUGUAGCUAGGAAAUAUACAUACAAGGGUGAGAAGGAAAUAAAUUGCUUUAGCUCAAUUUUAAUUAUGGUGAGUUUGAUAGUUAUUUUAGAAAGUGUUUUUAAUAUUACUAACACUUAAAAUUUUUUAUAUUUCAAAUAUUAGAAAGGUUAUAAAUGCUAUCUAAAAUUACUGUCAAACACACUCUUAAUCAAUUGAAUUAUGCUGAUAUAAAUGAAGAGAAAUAAACGGUGUUUCUAUUUUAUAGACCAAACAGUGGCUAAAUGGUUAUGUGAACAUAUACUAAUAGUUAAUAUUGGUCCCUUGAAUGUAUAAUUUGGUGGAAGGAAGACCAAUUGCAAUAGCUAGUCUUGCAUUGUCAUAUUGGUCUCAAAUGGCGAGCGGGUGAUUUAGUUGGUUAUGGAAAUAGUUGUGUAUGUGAUAUUUUAUAUCGGGUAGAGGAAAAAGUUCUCAAUACUAUAUAAGUAUCAAUUUCUCUUAACUCUAUAGAUGCGUUUUAAAGUUAUGAAAGUUUCUUUAGACUUAAAGUGGAUAAUAACUACAUUGUUGGGUGUGAAUAAUUACAAAUGGUAUUAAAACUGAUCUUCUACUCUAGUGUGAGGGUUUGUUUGAUUCAAUUGGAGGUGUUUGUCUAGUUGACCCUAUAAUUUUAUGGGACAUAAUAAGGACAUCGUGUCCCAAAGUGGACAAUAUUUAUACGACUGGGUGUUGAUCUAUCAGUGCUCCUCAAGAUGGUGAAGAUCAUGCAAUGCAUUGCUAGCUUGAAGCAAAAUUCCGUGAGAACCUUUAUUUCUUGGUGAGGGCUUGGUAAGAAUAUCCUAUACAUUUGAUACUUGAUUCAACGAACAUAUCAUUUUCCAUGUUGUAGUUGAUUAUACAUUUUGAUAAUUGGUUCAAUGAACUUCAUCAUUUUCCAUGUUUUUGUCUAUAUAUUAUACAUUUCAUUAUUGAUUCAAUGUUGUACAACUUUGAUAAUAUAAGAAGACUAGUACCACUUUGCAGUGCCUCGUAGCAUGCUAUAUGUGAGCGGAUGUGAAGUUUGGGAAAAGUCCAAGGGAAAGGAAUCAAAAGUCAAAACGGGAAGAAAAGUAAGCGAAAAGAAAGUGGGAAGGAAAAUGAAAUUAAAUUCAGGGAAUAUGGAAUUAGGAUUGGAAAAUUUUCCAUUUUAAUUAAAAUCAAAAUCCAUUCUUUGAGGAUUUGAUUCUUUUCUUUCAUGUUGUGAUUUAUGUAUUCCAAUUUUCAUUUCGUUUUAUACCAUCAGUAGCUGCUCAAUAAUUUUAUUUAUUUUUUCUAUCGGGGUUCUUUCAUUUUUCAAAAGAAUGAAAAAAGGUGUAAAUAUGAUGUAUUUUUCUUUUAUUUUCUCUCCACUACUUAAAACCGAUACAAGAAAAAAAAAACAUCUUUAAAUAUAAUUUUUUUUUAAAUUGUAUUUAUUUUUAUGAAUUUUUUGAACUUUUUAAAAGUUUUUAAUUAAGCAAAUAGAUUUCAAAUAAAAUAAUGCUUAAUAUAAAAUUUUAUUAAUUUUUAAAAAUAAUUUCAAAAAAAAAAAAUCAAUUCAAUUAGUAUUAAAAUAUCAUAUAACUCAAAACGGAUAAAAUUAACACUAGAAAAUCACAACCCUAAGUUCAUUCUAAAUCCCUUUGCCAAUUAUUUUAUAUAAUCAUAAUUUUGUGAUUUUUUUCACUAGUUAAAAAAUUUCAAAUUAAACAAAAUGUAAGACAAUAAAUUCACUAACCAGUUUAAUAAUUUUUAAAAAUAAUUUAAAAUUCAAAUAAUGAUUCAAUAAAUACCAUAAAUAUAUUAACAAAAAUUGAUAUAAAAUAACUUUAUUUUUUUGUUUUACAUAAAACUAAAUUUUUGUGACUUUGUACACUUAAAAAAUAAACUUCAAAUCAAGCAAAUCUCUAUAUUAAAUUUAAUGAUAAGUUUAAUGAUUAUAUAUAAAAAUACCAUUAAAUGUUUCACUACAAAAGAUUCAUUACAUGUAUGAAUACAAUUUUACUAUUUUUCUUGUACACAAAACAAUAUUUAAAGUAAGAUAUAAUUAAUGUUUUAAAUUCUUUACUGAGUUCUUUUGAUUUUUAAAAAUAAUUUGGAAUUCAAAAAACUGGUUAUAAAGAUUAAAAAAAAUAAAUUAUAGAAUACUUAAUUGAGUAUUAAAUAUGUGCAUAUAAUAAAAAAAAAACUUAGUUCAUGUAUAGGUUCAAAAAUUAAACUUUAUUUGUUUUUAAAAUUUAUUUAAGAUAAAAUAAUAUUAAUAAAUAUGAAUUAAAUUAUUAUUAUUAAAUAUUAUUUAUUUGUACUUACAAAAUAUUUUUUUUUAAUAAGAUUUGAAUUAAAUUCAAUUUACAUUACAUAAGUUGACUUGAUAUGUUUUUUAUAAAAUAAAAUAAAAACAUUUUUAAAAAUAAUUUACCCAAAUGAGUAUUUUAUUUUUUAGAAAGUGUAUAUAAAAUCAACUUACAAAAGGAAUCAAAAUACUUCUUAUAAAAGAUUAAUUGAAAUCUCAUCACUUGAUAGUGAUAUUUCAUUUCUAUAGGAAUAAUUUUUUAUUUGAGUGAAAACAUGAGGGUGAAGGAGAAAAGGAAUAUGAUGUUGAUUUGUGUAAGCCAAACAUUGCCUAAUUGUAAUCAACCAUUUCCCAUCUUAUUCAUUGCAUAAUUGUACGCCAAACAUUACCGAAGAUUGCAAGCUAUCUUAUUCAUAUAUUGAGUGCUUGUGUACUGAGUUACAGUUCUCGUUACCAGCAACAUGUCUACUGAUUACUCAGCCUGUUCUCCAGCCCCAGAUGCUAAUCCAGAGACUAAUCGCCGGGCUGCAAAUUUUAACCCUAGCACGUGGGGCAAUAGUUUCAUCAUGACCAACUCUCCUGAUGAUGAGGUAAUUUUGUGAUAUAUGAAGUUUGCACAACCAUCUAAAGAUUUUCUUAAUUUUUGUUCUUGAAAUUUAUUGAUGCAGAUAACUCUUGCCCAUAAAGAGCAACAGUUGGAAGAUCUGAAGGAGGAAGUGAGAAGAGAGCUAAAGGCUGCAGCUGGUGACCCUUCAAAACAGCUGAAGUUUAUCGAUGCAGUUCAACGGCUUGGGGUGGCAUACCACUUUGAAAAGGAGAUUGAAGAAGCAUUACAAAAUACCUAUGAUAACUAUCAUUGCAUUGAUGACAUAAAAUGAUGAUCUCUAUGAUGUUGCACUUCGAUUUCGACUACUAAGACAACAAGGCUUCAAUAUUUCAUGUGGUAAGCCUCAUGAAUAUCAUGUAUUAUAAGGUGCUUGAAUAUCAUCUAGCAAAGCUCACAUAUAACAUUCUAUGUUUUGGUGAUGAUUACAGAUAUAUUCAACAGGUACACAGAUGAAAAGGGAAGGUUCAAGGAGUCUUUGAUCAAUGAUGCAUGUGGCCUACUAGGCUUGUAUGAAGCUGCACAUCUCAGGGUGUGGGAAGAAGAUAUACUAGAUGAAGCACUUGCUUUCACCACCACUCACCUCAAGUCUAUGGUGGAACUUUUAGAAUACCCUCUUGCAGCACAAGUCACUCAUGCUUUAUACCGGCCCAUUAGGAAAGGCUUAGAGAGGCUAGAGGCAAGGCCUUACAUGUCUAUUUACCAAGAUGAAGCUUCACAUAGUAAAGCUUUACUGAAGCUUGCAAAGUUAGAUUUCAACCUACUUCAGUCACUGUACAAGAAACAGCUAAGCAAUAUCUCGAGGUUAGUUUUCAAAUCGUGUAUGAACUCAAGUUCAAACAGUUUACUAGGUCCUUUAUGUGAGUUAAUGUAUUUUCUCAGGUGGUGGAAAGACCUAGAUUUUUCUUCGAAACUACCUUUUGGAAGAGAUAGAGUGGUGGAAUGCUACUUUUGGAUAGCAACAGCUUGUUUUGAGCCCCAGUAUUCAUAUGCUAGAAGAAUACAGACCAAAAUACUCGCUCUGAUAACAAUUAUUGACGAUAUGUUUGAUGCAUAUGGGACACUGGAAGAACUGGAGCUCUUUACAGAGGCAAUUGGGAGGUUUGAUAUAUGCAAAAUUUACCCACAUCCAAUGAUUUAUUUUAUUUUAUUUUAAUUUUUAUAUGUUUGAACUUUAAAAGGGAACUUGGUACUUGAUUUUCAGGUGGGAUGUUAACAGCAUAUAUCAGCUUCCGGAAUACAUGAAGCCAUGCUAUCAGGCAGUCUUGGAUGCCUACAAAGAAAUUGAGCGGAUGGAGAACAAAGAAGAUCAUAUUGUGUUCACUAUGCAAAAGAGGCAGUAAGGGUCUGAGUUCUAUCUGUGCCCCUAUAACAUGUACUGCACACUAGAGUAAUUAUUUGUUGGCAAUGGUUGAACAUAUUUCAGAUGAAAAGGUCUGUUCGAGCUUACUUCAAUGAAGCCAAAUGGCUACAUGAAGACUAUGUACCUACGAUAGAAGAGUACUUGAGUGUUGCACAAGUUACCUCUGAGGUCACCUUGUUCACUGUCAUCUGCUUUGUUGGAAUGGGAAGGAUGGCAACCAAAGAGGUCUUUGAAUGGGUGUGGAAUGACCCAAAGAUCGUCGGAGCUUCCUCCAAAAUUAUGAGGCUCAUGGAUGAUAUGGCUUCACACAAGGUACUAUGUUAUAUUACAUAUCGCAAAGACAACGGGAUCUUUAUAAGAAUUUAAUUACCUUUUUGGUAAACAUUUCCUGUUGGUUUUUGUGUAGUUUGAGCAAGAGAGAGGACAUAGCGCAUCAAGUGUUGAAUGUUACAUGAAGCAACAUGGUGUCUCAGAGCAGCAUGCAUACCAAGAGCUUAACAAGCAAGUCGAGAAUGCAUGGAAAGAUGUAAACCAGGGCUGCCUUAGACCUCCUGCUAUUCCAAUGCCUCUCCUUACACGGGUUCUUAAUUUCGCACGCACCGGGGAUUUCAUGUACAAAGGCCGUGAUGAUAGGUUCACGAAUGUUGGAGAUGUGAUGAAAGAUAGUAUUGCAUCACUGUUCAUAGACCCUGUGCCAAUAUGAGCCUGGAGAUUUGCAAUAGGCUUUCUGGCUUCUGUUUUAUAAUUAGCCCUUCUAGUUUGGGGUCUAUGUUGGAGAGUAUGAUAUACAUAUAUAUAUUAUGAUAUCAAUGCUAUACAAAAUUCUCAACCAUAUUAAGGCAAUGACAAAGUCACAGUGGGAAAUGGUAAGAAUCUGUUAAUCACACAUGUUGGAUCCAAGACACUACAUUCUCAUCACCAAGCUUUUCAUCUAAAAACCAUCUAUCACGUUCCUCAGCUUACCACAAACCUCAUCAGUGUAUGAAAGUUUUGUUCAGAUAAUCACAUAUUCAUUGAAUUCCAUCCUACUUUCUUUUGUGUCAAGGACCAAGCCACCAAGAAGAUUCUGAUCCAAGGCACUAUUGAACAUGUGCUCUACAAAUUUCCUAGCUCUUCUCUUCCACCAUCAUCUUCCUCCAUGGCUCUCACUGCUUAGUCUACUGCUGACAUCUCCCUAUGGCACCAAAGGUGUUUUCCUAGCUCUUCUCUUCCACCAUCAUCUUCCUCCAUGGCUCUCACUGCUUAGUCUACUGCUGACAUCUCCCUAUGGCACCAAAGGUGUGGUCACCCGACAGCUCCAAUAUUAAGACAUAUCCUAACCUCAUGUAAUGUUCCUUAUUCUACAAACAAGUUCAAUCAAAUUUGUUGUGCUUGUCAGCUUGCUAAAAGUCACAAGCUACUGUUGUGGAAACUCCUGCCUUUCCUGCACCUCUUCAAUAUUCUUCCCUACCACCUCUAUCUCCUAGUUCCAAUUCCCUACCACCUGCCACUACAUCAUCUAUCCAGUUUCUACCUCCUCUAAUUCAGGAUCCCUCUACUGCCUCCCCCACCUCUGCUCCACCCUUACCUUCCUUCCUCAAUACUCAUCCCAUGGUAACCCGUUCAAGGCAGGCAUCACAAAACCCAAGGCUCUUCUUGCAUCUACUCCCACUAAACCCUACACUUUUCGACAGGAUAUUAAGGAUCCUCAAUGGCAACUGGCAAUGGAUGUUGAAUAUCAAGCUUUACUCCGUAAUAACACUUGGUCUGUGGUUCAUCUCCCUUAUCAUGGGAAUAUUAUUGGAUGCAAAUGGGUGUUUCAAUAUUGAUCGUCACAAGGCUUAUCUUGUGGCCAAGGGUUUCACCCAAACUCAGGGAAUUGACUAUUUUGAUACCUUCGAUCAGCCCUAUAGUGAAGUCGACCACCAUUCUUAUUGUUCUCACCCUUGCACUUUCAUCCCAAUGGUCCAUUUGACAACUGAACAUUCAAAACGCAUUUCUAAGUGGUGACCUUCAGAACCAGGUCUUCAUGCAACAACCCCUUGGCUUUGUUCAUCCUCAACACCCAUCUUACGUCUGCUAUCUUCACAAAACCCUUUGUGGUCUUAAAAAAGCUCCAAGAGCUUGGUUCCACAAACUCAAUACCUCUCUUACCACUUGGGGAUUUGAAUCUUCUUGCGCAGACACCUCUUUAUUCUUCAAACAUGCCACAUCUGAUGUUCUCAUUCUUGUCUACGUUGAUGACAUCCUCGUCACUGGUAGUUGUGCCUCUCAGGUUACCUUUUUUAUCUGUCAGCUCNNNNNNNNNNNNNNNNNNNNNNNNNNNNNNNNNNNNNNNNNNNNNNNNNNNNNNNNNNNNNNNNNNNNNNNNNNNNNNNNNNNNNNNNNNNNNNNNNNNNGUAGUUGUGCCUCUCAGGUUACCUUUUUUAUCUCUCAGCUCAGCUCCACCUUUGCUCUUCGUGACCUUGGUUCCCUUUACUAUUUCUUUGGCAUUGGGGUUACUCACAGUACUGAUUCUCUUCAUCUCUGCCAACAAAAGUAUGUGCAUGACCUACUCACUGAUAACCAAACAGACUCUACCCAAACUGCUACCCGAACUGCCCCUCAUUCUGUUGUAACUAAGCAACUGUGUAACCCAACUAAACAACUGUGUAACCUCUCCAAACCCACCCUAACUGAUCACUGUACUGAGCCUAUAAAUACCGGUGUCAAUGUAAUCUUGAAAUAACGAGAAAUAAUUCUCUUUUCUCUCUUCUGCAUAUUUUCUUCUCAGCUACACAAGCUUAGCUGUCAUGGUAUCAGAGCAAGCCCUGUCUUCCACUUGCACAGGCUCCCUUUUCUCAUGCCAUGCUUGCUGCCGCACCAGAUCAUCAAGAUUCUUGGUUCUUUGACACUGGUGCAACUCACCACCUUAGUCAUUCUGCUCAAACUCUCUCUUGUGUUCAGCCAUAUUCAGGUACUGAUCAAGUCACAAUUGGUGAUGGCAAUUCGUUACCCAUUCUUAACACAGGUACCAAGUCAUUCUUCUUCCCUUCCAAGACCUUUUCCUUAAAUCAAGUUCUUCAUGUACCUCAUCUUUCCACCAAUCUCAUCAGUGUCUCCAAAUUCUGCACAGAUAAUGCUGUUUUCUUUGAGUUUCAUUCCUCCUGUUUCUUUGUCAAGGAUCAGGUCACCAAGAAGAUUCUUCUCAAGGGCUGGCUUAGGGACGGUCUGUAUGAGUUCUCCUCCUCAUCUCCUCCUCAUGCGUUUGUGACCACAGGCUCAUUUUCUGAUGGUGCAAUUUGGCAUUCCCGUCUUGGACACCCAGCAGUUCCUAUUCUUUCUAAGGCUUUAGCCUCUUGUAAUCCUUCUGUUACAUUACAGAUUAAUAAAAUUGCUCCAUGUAUCAUUUGUCCAUUGGCUAAGUCUCAUUCCUUACCUUAUUCUUUGUCAUCUUCUCAUGCCUCUCACCCCUUAGCCCUCAUUCACACUGACUUGUGGGGACCUGCUCCUUCUACCUCUAUAACAGGAGCCCGUUACUUUCUUAUUUUUAUUGAUGACUAUUCCAGGCAUACCUGGAUUUAUUUCCUUUCCACCAAGGACCAGGCUCUCCAAUCUUUUAUUACCUUCCGCAAGAUGGUAGAAAACCAGUUACAAACCACCAUCAAAUGCAUUCAGUCUGAAAAUGGUGGAGAAUUCUUGGCCUUCAAACCUUACCUUGAAGCUCAUGGUAUUCUUCAUCAGUUUUCAUGUCCUCAUACACCUCAGCAAAAUGGAAGAGCAGAGAGGAAAAUUAGACAUCUUGUUGAAACCGGUCUUGCUCUUAUGGCUCAAAGUUUCUUACCCUCCAAAUAUUGGACAUAUGCUUUUCAAACAGCAGUAUAUCUUAUUAAUCUUCUACCAGCCAAACUUCUCCAUUUUCAGUCACCCACUCAAACCCUUUUUCAUAAACUUCCCAACUAUCAUCAUCUCCGAGUCUUCGGUUGCCUGUGUUUCCCAUCCUUACGUCCUUAUACACAACAUAAACUCUGCUAUCGCUCCACUGCUUGUGUCUUUCUUGGAUAUGCACCAGCUCAUAAAGGUUACUUAUGUCUUGAUGUCUCCACUAAUCGUAUCUACAUUUCCAGAAAUGUGAUCUUCCAUGAAUCCUCUUUUACAUUUCAGUCUUCAUCUCCUCCAUCUUCACCCUCUCCAGACCUCCCGUCUUCUACACAUGCCUUAAUCAAUUCACCCAGCUUGUCUGCCCCUUCAUCACCAGCUGUGUCCUCCCCUAUCAUCACUUCUGAUUCUAUCCCUCCACUAAUUCCGGUCCCCUUUGCCACCUCCUCUCCAGCUGCUCCUUCACCACCUCCUUUACCUCUCAACACUCAUCCCAUGGUGACCUGAGCAAAAUCUGGCAUUCAUAAGAAACGAAGCUUUAUUGUGCAGCACACAACAGAACCUCGCACUUACAGUCAAGCCUCUAAAAAUGACUCUUGGGUUCAGGCCAUGAACAGUGAAUAUCAAGCUCUUCUUCGCAACAACACCUAGAGUUUGGUUCCUCCACCUUCAUCUGCUCACAUUGUUGGCUGCCGUUGGAUCUACAAGCUCAAAUAUCGCCCUGAUGGAUCCAUUGACAGACACAAAGCUCGUUUAGUUGCCCAGGGAUUCACCCAAACUCCGGGGAUAGACUACUUUGACACAUUCAGUCCAGUUGUGAAGCCUUGCACCAUUCGACUUAUCCUUGCUUUGGCAGUCUCCUUUCAAUGGUCAGUUCGGCAAUUGGAUGUGGAGAAUGCUUUCCUUAAUGGAGAUCUGGAAGAAGAGGUUUUUAUGACUCAGCCUCAGGGUUUUGUCAAUCCCACCUAUCCUACAUAUGUUUGCAAAUUACACAAAGCAUUGUAUGGCCUCAAACAAGCUCCUAGAGCUUGGUUUCAAAAGCUUCGGAUUGCCUUGCUUGACUAUGGUUUCCAAUCUUCUCGUGCAGACACUUCUCUCUUCAUCUUUCACACUGCAACUGAUAUUCUCAUUCUACUGGUAUACGUAGAUGAUAUCCUGGUCACUGGUAGUAAUCCCACGUUGGUUUCUCACUUCAUCUCCUACCUCAGGACUAAGUUUGCACUUCGGGAUCUUGGACCUUUGUCAUAUUUUUUGGGUAUUCAAGCUCAACAACUUGGCUCUGUCUUGCAUCUUAAUCAGCAUAAAUAUAUUGCUGAUCUUCUCAACCGCACUCAGAUGGAGACUUCGAAACCAGCUCCCACUCCAGGACGUCUCGGUCGUACCCUCUCUCAAUCUGAUGGUGUGUCUCUGUCGGAUCCAUCAGAAUAUCGUCGUACCGUAGGAGCCUUACAAUAUGUCACUCUCACCAGGCCCGACAUUGCGUUCGCCGUGAACAAAGCUUGCCAAUUCAUGGCAAAGCCUUCUGAUGUUCAUUGGAUGGCUGUUAAAAGAAUUCUACGGUAUUUAAAAGGCACCAUCCAUCUUGGUCUUCACUUCCAACCUGCUGCUUCAAUGGAGCUUCAAGGAUACAGUGAUGCUGACUGGGCAUCUUGUCCAGAUGAUCGUCGAAGCACCAGCGGCUACUGUGUAUUCCUAGGCUCGAAUCUCAUCUCAUGGUCCUCUUCUAAACAACGACUUGUCUCCAAAAGCAGUGCUGAAUCCGAAUAUAGAGGGUUGGUAUCCCUCACGGCGGAGUUGGUGUGGAUUCAAUCCUUACUUCAAGAGCUCUGCUUGCCUACCUCUCCACCUAUACUAUGGUGUGACAACCAAAGUGCAGCUCAUCUUGCUGCUAAUCCGGUCUUUCACUCCCGUUCCAAACAUAUCGAAUUAGAUUUACACUUCAUCAGAGAAAAGGUGUUACGCCAAGAACUUCAAAUCUGCUAUGUUCCCUCCGGUGAUCAGCUUGCAGAUAUUUUCACAAAGCACCUUCCUAUUACACAAUUUUGUAACCUCCGUAGCAAGCUCACAGUCACCUACCCGCCUCUGAGCUUGAGGGGGGAUGAUAACCAAACAGACUCUACCCAAACUGCUACCCGAACUGCCCCUCAUUCUGUUGUAACUAAGCAACUGUGUAACCCAACUAAACAACUGUGUAACCUCUCCAAACCCACCCUAACUGAUCACUGUACUGAGCCUAUAAAUACCGGUGUCAAUGUAAUCUUGAAAUAACGAGAAAUAAUUCUCUUUUCUCUCUUCUGCAUAUUUUCUUCUCAGCUACACAAGCUUAGCUGUCACUCACUCGUACUGCCAUAACUGAUACUAAACUUGUUCUUACACUGGGUUCCUUGGCUUGGCCAAGCCUCUCUCUCUCACUGAUGGUGAUCUACUUCAUAUCGCAACAUUGUUGGCGCAUUACAGUAUGUUACUGUUACACGUCCAAACCUUUCUUUUGCUGUUAACAAGGUAUGCCAGUUUAUGGCUUCCCAACGACCACCCACUAGCUGGUUGUCAAUAAUAUAAAAAGUAAUUCAAAAUAAAAUGAAAAUAUAGAUUUAAAAUAAAAAUAAAUAAAUUAAACAUUAAUAAUUAAAAUUUUAAAAAAAGAUAAAUAUUUUUUUUUAAAAAAAGUUUUCAAAAAAAUCUCAGAUAUUUUCAGAUAUAUCAGCGAUAUAUCCGAUAUAUUCGUCGAUAUAUUUCCAAUAUUUUAAUAGGCUUCUUCUACUGUUUCGCGCGUCACUUCACGUUUAAUUUUUUUUGUCAAUUUAUCGGUUCUAAACCGAAAUAUCGACGAUAUUUCGAUGAUCUUUUCGAUAUUUUUUCGAUGUUCCUCCCAUUCGAUAAUCGAUGUUCAAUAUCCUUUCGGGGUUGUCCGAUACCCGAUAUAUCGAUGAAAUAUCAUUGAUAAAAACCGAUUUUUCAAUCCAUGCUUAAUAGUGGGUUUCCCUUUUGGCCUCUAUUCUUUUUCUUUUUUAAAAAAGAAUCCUUUCCGAUUCUGUGGCCUUGAGUGAGCACUAUGUAUUUCAACUAUUUUGACAUGUUCAAAAUAAAUUACUAAGAAUUUAAAGGGAAUUUGUUCGACAAGUACUUUUUUUUUAAACAUAUUUAUUUAUACCUUGUUUAGUUUAGAUUGCAUUAUUUUAUGUAAAUAAUUUAUUGGGUUUAUGUAAAUAAUUUAUUGGGUAUGGUAAUUAUUUUUAUAAAUGGCUAAGUAGAUUUAAUUUUAAAUAUUAAUUUAUUGAGCAGGAAAAUUAUUUAUUAAAACAUGGUUUAACAACUAUGCGAUGGACCUAACUUAUUAAACAAAAUAAACCAAUACUAUAUUAUUAUAGCUUAAAUUAUUUUUUAAUGGUAGCAAUGUUGAAAAACCUAACCUAAUGAGAAAAUAGUAAUUAAUUAACAUAAUUUUAUAUUGACUUGUAAAAUUGGGCCAACAUAUAAAUAUAUUGAUGGUAACAAGAAGACCUACGUUGAUAAUGAAUCAUCAAUAUUAGUCUAUGUUGUCAACUUUGGAAUAUUAAUAUAUGUAUAUGAUUUUAACAGGAUGUUGUCAUUAUAUCUUUUAGAUAUAUAUAUAUAUAUAUAUAUAUAUAUAUAUAUAUAUAUAUAUGACAUCUCAAUUAAUUACGCUAACCCUCAUUAUCAAUAUAAGUCAACGUAACCAAAUCCUUCUUCCUUGUAGUGAAUGUUAGUUCUCAUAUAUGGAGGUAGGUAUGGAUGGUCCAAUUAUCUUAAAUUUCGUGUAUCUUUAUUUUAUGAUUUGUUUUAUAUUUUUAUUAUUUUGUCAAUAUAAUCGUUUUCAUGAUUAGGAAUUAGAGAAAAGUUUGUAGAAGAUUUUUCCAAAUUUGAAAAUAACUAUGUAAGAAAUUCAACUUAAACACGUUUCUUUGUGGAAGAGUUGCAUUGGCAAGGAAAUUAGAUACUUGUCUUUGCAUUGGCAAGGAAAUGCUACACACAUUCAUUGAACAAUCUUAGGCCCAUUUUUCCAAGCAGCCUAGCACGUUGAUUGAAUUAAACCCCUAUGGAUUGAUAUUGAUUGGAUCCAUUACCCGUCAUGCAUUCAAUCCCAAAGCGUUGAUUAUUCAAACUCUAUGAAAUAUAGGUUUCGCUGAGUGGAGGAGUUCAAAUACAUUAAAUUGAUAUUUUAAGUAAAUAUAAUGCGGAAAAUGAAACCUACUAGAUCGAUAAUGACCACUAGCUGGCUGUCAAGAAUAUAAAAAGUAGUUAAAAAUAAAAUGAAAAUAUAGAUUCAAAAUAAAAAAUAAAUUAAAAAUAAAUAAUUAAAAAUUUAAAAAAGAAUAAAUAUUUUUUAAAAAAAAAUUUCAAAAAAAUUGCUGAUAUUUUAAGAUAUAUAGGCAAUAUAUCCGAUAUAUUUGUCUAUAUAUCCGAUAUAUUCGUCGAUAUAUCGUUGAUAUAUUUUCGAUAUUUUGACAGACUUUCUCUAUUGCUCCGCGCGUCGCUUCACACAAUUUUUUCUUUGAACUAUUGGUUCCAAAUCAAAAUAUUAAUGAUAUUUCAACGAUUUUCUUAAUAUUUUCCAAUAUUCCUCCCGUUCGAUAAUCGAUGCUCAAUAUCCUUUCGGGACCGUCCUAUAUCCAAUAUAUCGAUAAAAUAUCACCAAUAAAAACCAAAAUUUCAAUCCAUGCUUAAUAGUGAGUUUCCUUUUGUUUGGCCUUCGUUUUUUUUUUUUUUAAAAAAAAAAAAAAUCCUUUUCGGUUCCAUGGCCUUGAGUGAGUACUAUGUAUUUCAACUAUUUUGACACGUUCAAAAUAAAUUACUAAGAAUUUAAAGGGAAUUUGUUCGACAAGUACUUUUUUUUUUAAACAUAUUUAUUUAUACAUUGUUUAGAUUAGGUUGCAUUUUUUUAUGUAAAUAAUUUAUUGGGUAUUUGGGAAUUAUUUUUAUAAAUGGCUAAGUAGAUUCAAUUUUAAAUAUUAAUUUAUUGAGCAUGAAAAUUAUUUAUUAAAAUAUGGUUUAACAACAAUGCGAUGGAAUCGACUUGUUAAACAAAAUAAACUAAUACUAUAUUAUUUUAGCUUAAAUUAUUUCUUAAUGGUAAUAAUGUUGAAAAACAAAUAUCAAUAAAAACUAACCUUAAUGAGAAAAUAGUAAUUAACAUAAUUUAUAUUGACUUGUAAAAUUGGGUCAACAUAUAAACAUAAUUUUAUAUGCAUAAAGUUAUAAUUAAACUUCGUAAAAUUUCAAGGUAGAUUGGAAGUAAAUUUUUUUGUUACUUGAAAUGUUUACAACUUCUUCCUUGUAGUGAUGUUAUUUGUAAUAGAACUUCCCUGCACAAUCGUUUCCAUGACUGGGAUUGAAUUAGAGAAAAUUUUGUGGAAGAUUUUUCCAAAUUUGGAAAAAUCGCAUGUAGAAGAGUUGCAUUGGCAAGGAAAUCUACACACUCAUUGAACAGUCUAUGCCCACUUUUCCAAUCAGCCUAGCACGUUUUUUUUAAUUGAAUAACCACGGAUUGAUAUUGAUUGGAUCCAUUAUCAGUCAUUCAAUCCUAAAGCAUUCAUUUGUCAAACUCCAUGAAAUAUAGGUUUGGCCGAGUGGACAUUUCAAUACUAAACUUGUCCAAAUACAUUAAUUAAAUUGAUAUUUUUAGUAAAUAUGAUGCGCAAAAUGAAACCCACCAGGUCGAUAACGACCACAUUACAAACUGAUCUGCAGGGUAGUUAGGGCAAUCCCUCAAAAUUCAUAAAAAAAGAAAAAAAAAAAGUGAAGCAAAUAGAAUCAAAUAGUAGUUCUUAUGUUAUUUUUUCAAAAAAUAGUUAUCGAGUCUGGAAAUGGGUAUUUUUCAUUUACUUGAAGCAGAUUGAGGAUCUGAAAAAUGAAUUGAAAAUGGAAUUAUACGUAGUGUUGACUAUAAGAAUUUCAGUGGAUUCAAAAAGCCCCAAUUUAUACCUUAGCCGCCCCUAAUAGUUUCGGCUCUUGCUUCAUAAAUUUAGCCAAGGGACUCGUGAAAAAACUUUUUCUUUCACGUCAUCAAUCCCUUUCAUACACUACUUUCAACGUUAUUAUUUUACAUUAUCUUCAACAAUAGAACAUUUAGAAUAUCCUCUUGCGGAACAAGUUGCUCAUGCACUAAAGCAGCCCAUUAGAAAAGGUUUAGAGAGGCUAGAGGCAAGGUGGUAUAUGUCUAUCUACCAGGAUGAAACUUCGCAUGACACAACUUUACUAAAGCUGGCCAAGUUAGAUUUCAAUCUAGUGCAGUCCCUACACAAGGAGGAGCUAAGCAAUAUUGCUAGGUUUGCUUUCAAAUCACUAGCAGAUAUACCUAGUCACCUUCUCAUUUUACCAUGAGCUAAUUGUUUUAAUGAAUUUUAGGUGGUGGAAAGAAUUAGACUUUGCUACAAAGCUACCUUUUGCGAGAGAUAGAUUGGUGGAAGGCUACUUUUGGAUACUUGGGGUGUACUUUGAGCCUCAAUAUGUCCGGGCUAGACGAAUUCUAACCAAAACAAUUUCCAUGACAUCCAUUAUAGAUGAUAUAUAUGACGCAUAUGGCACAUUUGAAGAACUCGAGCUCUUCACCGAGGCCAUUGAGAGGUUUGAUUGAUGCAAAUUACCAACCUUCAUCAUUUAUACUGUAUGUGAUACUUAAAUCAAGCCUGGUUUUAUUUUCAGGUGGGAUAUUAAUAGCAUAGAUCACCUUCCAGAAUACAUGAAACACUGCUAUGUGGCACUCUUAGAUGUGUACAAAGAAAUUGAGGAAGAGAUGGAGAAAAAAGGAAACCAAUAUCGGGUUCAAUAUGCGAUAGAAGCGGUAGGACAUUCUGCAUCGACUUUGUUUUGUAUAGUAACAUAUCGUAAGGAUAUAGAUGUAACCUGAUUGAAUGUUUGACAGAUGAAAAACCUAGUUAGAGCUUAUUUUCAUGAGGCUAAAUGGUUCCAUGAAGGACGCAUACCAACAAUGGAAGAGUAUAUGAGGAUAGCACUGGUAACCUCAGGUUACUACAUGCUUACAACCAUUCUUUCAUUGGUAUGGGAGAAAUUGUAACAAAGGAGGCCUUUGAUUGGGUGAUCAGUGACCCUAAGAUUAUCACAGCAUCAGCUGUAAUUUGUAGGCUCAUGGAUGACAUCAGUUCACAUAAGGUAUUGUGAAUAUAGUAUUACUUGUUAAGCUAUAAUUUGACCUUGACCUUAAAGCUCAAUCAAUUAAACAUAUUUACUGUACUCUUCUUCUUAAACUAUAUAUGCAGUUUGAGCAAAAGAGAGGGCAUGUUGCCUCAGGCAUUGAAUGUUACAUGAAGCAAUAUGGUGCCUCUGAGGAAGAGGUAUACGAUGAGUGUGGACCCGCAUUUUUCACGUGCGUCCCCACUCGAUCAGCGAGACUCGCUUUUUAUUUAUGAAAAAUUAAUUUUAAAAAAAAGUUGGAGUCGCCACUUAUUUUAUUUUUAUUUUAAAGGGAAAAUAAAACAAGAAAGAAAAACCCUAAAAAAGUGACUCCAUAAUUUUUGGAAAAAGCAUGUCUUUGAAAAACCCGAGUCUAAGUCCGGGGAUCAGGUUACCUAUUGGGAAGGUACCUUUAAAAGGUAGCACCCCUCUAAGCCCUCUAAAGGUCUCUACUAACAAAGUUAAGGGAAGUGUGGCCAUUAAUCAGUUAAUUAUGGAUACCUAAGUAGGCUAGGUGAUUUCAAAUAUUGCAUGCCUAAAGAGAAAACAAACCAUAAGAGAGAGUCGAAGUGCGUACCUAAAUGGCUUCUCAAGCGCUAUCAUGAAACAUAAGAGAUUAGUUUGGAAAUAUGACACAACAUUUGUUUUAUCUAAGCAAAUCAAGCAUAUAUCAAAACACCCAAAAAUCACAUCAUGUAUGGAUAUAGUCAUCAAUAACGCAUGUGUCCAUGGAAUUCUCAAAAAUAGGUGUGAAGGAGCGUACCUGGAUGGCGAGCUAAAACGCUACUAUGGGAAACAAGAUUGCUUAAUAAUAGGUGCAUAAUAAUCUCACGUAUCUCAAAGAGAAAGCACAAUUAAUCAAAUGUCAAACAAACACUAUUGAAGAGGAUAUCAUGAAUGUCGGGCCCCCACCAAAGCCCUAAUUAAUUUCGCACGAGUUGAUUCCAUAAAUUCCAUGACUUGGAAUUAUGGAGUUUGUUCGUGCUUGAGAAAAUCGGAAAAAUCAAGAAAAUGGUUGAAAAUAAAAAUAAAUAAUAAAAUAAAAAAAAUAGUGAAAACUUGUGCCAGAAGGAAAAUGGCAGCAAAAGGGUGUUGAAAUCUGGAUUUUAUUGCCUAGAGAAGGUCUAAAGAUGAUUCUCUAAAAUCAGGAUUAUUUGGAUGAAAACGAUUUUGAAAACACAAUUCAAAACACGUAAAAUCAUGAGGAAAACAAGAGGGGUGAGAAGGGAAGAGAGUAGUGUGCACCGAACUGGUCAUGGCGAGUGGGGUUUGGGGGUUUGGCUGUGACUGCGUUGCUGGUGGUUAUAGGCGCUGCUGUCAUUUUCUCUGAAUUUUUCCCUCUACUCUCUCGUAUGCAUUUAAGUGCUUUACAUCACUGUGUUCUUGAGCUUUUCCCCAUUUCUUCUUAUACCUUGACCUGCCACCUCUGCUGGUGUGUUCUGUUGAACUAAGUAAACUUGCUGGCGCGUUCUGUUGAACUGAGUGACACUAUGUCUGCUCUCAAAUUUAAAUCCUUUAACCUUAUCCAUCAAUAGGGAUGCCUGAAUUUCAGGAGCCCGCAACUCAUUCGGCAAUGCUGAGGGAAAUGGCGUUGUAAAUGUUGCUUGAGGAGAAGGCUGCUGUGGAGGAUGUUUUAUUAUAUCCUUGCUGACAUAUUGACAUGGCGUGAGAUGAUACACCAGCAAUUUGAGUAGUUUGUGGUCAGCCCAAUUGAGGUUGCUUUCAAACUUUCGCUACAAAAAAAGAAGAUCGAAGAUGACGAAACCCAUGUGAAUCGCUCUACGGUUCUGGCAGCGAAUGAGGAUUGGACAUGCAGAUUCUGGAGACAGUGACUUGAAGCUUCUUGCGAAUCUGUAGCAAGUUUAAUCAGACCACUCUUGAGGGCAACUUCUUUCUUCAAACAAAGUCAUGCAUUCCAGAGUACGCAGCUUUCCUCUUUCUGAAGUACAGAGCAUGCCUAAGAUCUAUGUUUGGGGGCAAAAUGUUUUCGUAAUCUGCAUGGGAUUGCGCUUUAUUGCUUACAAAAACAUCAUUGAAUCUCACCGUUCCAGAAUGGCACAUAAACAGUAGCGGACUUUGAUGUUAUCUUCAUUCAGCUGUUAAGUGACCAUCAUUAGUCUUGUUUCUAUCUUUUAGAACAUAUACAGGGAUGUGCCUUAGGAAGUCCUGCAUUGCUUGCAUCUCGCUUGACCUUUUGCUCAAUAAUUCAACCUGAGUACGGGGUUGAGACAUCUGGGUUGCAAAGGUGACUAUGGACUGUACAUUCGCUUGUUUCUCUUCCCACUAUUUUCUGAAUCAAAUUACCUGCUGCUGUAUCUAUUGAAGCUGUAGCCUCAUCUAACAAUCUCUCAAAAGGCAUAAAUAUCAGAUUCUUCAACUAUGCUAUUCUCAGAUCACCUCAGCAGUAUAAGGGGUUCUAUGCAUUUAGGAACCAUCAGCAAUGCUUGGAUUUUUGGGAUAUUAUACAGAACAAAGCAAAGUUGUGCGACAUUUCCCUUUGAUUAUGAAGAUGAAGUCGAAGAUGGCAAAAUUUUGUAAAGACUUUCAAGGGGAUUCCCUCCACGUUUGUCAUCAAAGAUGCUUUUUGACGAAUUUCCCAUAGUCAACUUGAUUAAGGCAACAAGAACAACUUUUUGCUUACUCUAUGAUGCAGUAUUAAGCAUGUCAAACAAUGAGUGAGCCACCUGCUUAGCUGACUUAAAAUCUCUGAUAUUCUCAACAUCGAGAGGCUCAAGUGAAGCUCUACUGAAUAUAACAUUUCUUGACUCCAAAUGUAACACAGUUAUCAGUUGAUUCACGGAAUUGAUUGAUGCUUCGCAAUGAAGAAAAUCAGGACUGCUAAAUAGUAUUUUCAACAAUUCAGACACUAUGGCCUUAGAAGGGUCUUGAGGGCUUAAAGACAAGUACUUGGUUAGAGCACCCAAUGCUCCAGCUUCAGCCAUGAUCAGUUUGUUCGCAUCAGACAUUAGUUCAAGGGGUUUGGCACCUUCCCUCACAUGCAUCUCAGAAUGAGCUUUCAUACACUCCCAGUAGAAAUAGUUUCAGAAUCUGCAUUUAUUAUAGUGGCUUUAGUUUCGAUGUCGUCUUUUGAGAGAGUCAUUUUCUACCAAAAUCACAAUCUAAGCAAUCGUCAAGCAUUAGGUUGGAAUUUCCGUCACAAAUGAAUUUCUUGUUAGCAUCAUUAGUAAUCUUCAGCAAUCAAGCUCACUGAAUCGUCUCCUGAGUACCCAUGACAGAAGAAAGCUGAUCAUUCAUGGCACCCAAGACUGAGCCAUGGUGAUAACUAUUUAAAGUAGUGUUUGAAUUAGCUGAUCCGUCAAGACUUUGAUGGGAUGAUACAUUCCUGAUGGGUUAAGUGUCAUCAGUUGACAUGGUACUAUUGCUUACAAAAAAUUAUGAGCCCAGGUUCUUCUUCCUGCUAUUGUCCAAUUCUGUAGGAGUAAUCUGGUCUUUUCCAGUUUAUUAAGCUCCAUCAUGCCUGCCUCAAGAAGGGCCUUUGGCGUAUAUGUCAGUAAGUUCAAGUCUGGACAGUGUCCUAGUAAACAGAUGCCUUCCCUGAUCUCUAUCAGUAUGCAUCCUCUGAUUAGGAUUGAUUUCUGGACUGAUCUGAUCAAAGAUCCUCGAACUGUUUAAAGUCCCAUGAUUCUUUUGGCUUUGAGAGUCUUCUCUGGUUUUCCGUGCUCAAGUAAUCAAGCAAAUUGUCCCACAUGAAUAGAAGAUGCCACAAGUUUAGCAGUGCAUUUUUCAUCAGUAUUCAAAUCAAACAUUGGAAUUUUCUGUAGGUUGGCGGAAUUGUUGGCAAUUUCGACAUCAUAUAUUGCAGCAAGGCCGAAAUUCUGACUUACACUUCUAAGUGUUCCAGAGAACUUAGUCAUGUCUGCCUCCUAUGUCAUCUCUUGAUAAAUCUGGUUCUCUUCAAAUGCUUCCGAAGGUUGAAAUUAGUACCCUUGUUCGUCUCAAGGAAACAAACCGAGAGGUUUGGACAGUAGGAUCUGCACUUUCUCCACAGAACUGGAGCACCUUUUCAGAAGUCCCUUCUUUGGUCUCAGCAAAAGACUUUAGAGCUUCAACAAGAAAAGUAANNNNNNNNNNNNNNNNNNNNNNNNNNNNNNNNNNNNNNNNNNNNNNNNNNNNNNNNNNNNNNNNNNNNNNNNNNNNNNNNNNNNNNNNNNNNNNNNNNNNNNNNNNNNNNNNNNNNNNNNNNNNNNNNNNNNNNNNNNNNNNNNNNNNNNNNNNNNNNNNNNNNNNNNNNNNNNNNNNNNNNNNNNNNNNNNNNNNNNNNNNNNNNNNNNNNNNNNNNNNNNNNNNNNNNNNNNNNNNNNNNNNNNNNNNNNNNNNNNNNNNNNNNNNNNNNNNNNNNNNNNNNNNNNNNNNNNNNNNNNNNNNNNNNNNNNNNNNNNNNNNNNNNNNNNNNNNNNNNNNNNNNNNNNNNNNNNNNNNNNNNNNNNNNNNNNNNNNNNNNNNNNNNNNNNNNNNNNNNNNNNNNNNNNNNNNNNNNNNNNNNNNNNNNNNNNNNNNNNNNNNNNNNNNNNNNNNNNNNNNNNNNNNNNNNNNNNNNNNNNNNNNNNNNNNNNNNNNNNNNNNNNNNNNNNNNNNNNNNNNNNNNNNNNNNNNNNNNNNNNNNNNNNNNNNNNNNNNNNNNNNNNNNNNNNNNNNNNNNNNNNNNNNNNNNNNNNNNNNNNNNNNNNNNNNNNNNNNNNNNNNNNNNNNNNNNNNNNNNNNNNNNNNNNNNNNNNNNNNNNNNNNNNNNNNNNNNNNNNNNNNNNNNNNNNNNNNNNNNNNNNNNNNNNNNNNNNNNNNNNNNNNNNNNNNNNNNNNNNNNNNNNNNNNNNNNNNNNNNNNNNNNNNNNNNNNNNNNNNNNNNNNNNNNNNNNNNNNNNNNNNNNNNNNNNNNNNNNNNNNNNNNNNNNNNNNNNNNNNNNNNNNNNNNNNNNNNNNNNNNNNNNNNNNNNNNNNNNNNNNNNNNNNNNNNNNNNNNNNNNNNNNNNNNNNNNNNNNNNNNNNNNNNNNNNNNNNNNNNNNNNNNNNNNNNNNNNNNNNNNNNNNNNNNNNNNNNNNNNNNNNNNNNNNNNNNNNNNNNNNNNNNNNNNNNNNNNNNNNNNNNNNNNNNNNNNNNNNNNNNNNNNNNNNNNNNNNNNNNNNNNNNNNNNNNNNNNNNNNNNNNNNNNNNNNNNNNNNNNNNNNNNNNACAGAUCAUCAGCCAUAGGAAUACCAUCGGUGGUUGACGUGGAGAGCUUCUCUGCAAUACCCUGAACCUUACCAUGAAUUUUAAGCCUUUUAGUCAUGACUUUCCACAAUUGAUCCCAACUCAUCAGCACAAAUUUGAAAACCUGCAGCUGUUACUUCCUCAGGUGCAAUGUAGUCACUGGACAAACCAUGAAUAAACUGAAGUGCGGCCUGUGAAACUAGAACUGCUACUCUAAACUUCUCCUCAUUGGAACGUCGAAUAGUUUGAGCUUCGAAUCACUUGCUGAGAUUAGCAGUGAAACGGGACCUUCGCUUAGGUUUUUAACAACCCAGCGAAGCUUUCUCCGUGUGAGCUUUAGGUGGACUUGAAGCCUGAGCUUCCAGAAUUGCUUGGUUAGCUGUCUCAUAAUAACCAGCUGAGCAGCAGAGCUUUGCAUAUUGAAGCCAGCAAUCACCAACUUGAGCACCAAGACCGCUUGCACCAAGAACCAAUCUUUGUAAAGCCAGAAGUGACUCUCUUGCCCAAAGGGAUGGCUGUGUAAAUCUGAGCUGAUCUCCCCAAUUUUCCAUCAUUUUUGUGAAUCUCAGAUCAGCCAAAUCGAUUGAUUUCAGCAACAGCUAGAAGAGCAAUCAGAGCUCGUUUGGACAGAGCAAUUUUCUCAGCAACUGAGAAUUGGUCUUUCUUUAUCAGGGCCUGAGGAAUUUUCACAACAUCCAUGUCAAAGGAAGCAUUAUUCUCAGAGCUGCUGCAAAGUAAACCUUCCUUGUCAGUCCCAUCAAGGUACUCAUCCAUCAAUUCCCACUUGCUAAGCCUCCAUGCUGCCUAAACACCUUGUAUGCACCAAGUUUUCUUGUAUUUAUGAAUUUUAGCUAUUAAACCAUCCACGUGAAUAACCAUAGUCUGAAAGUGGCACAUGUCAGUAAACAAUUAAGAACAUCUGAAUGCCUCUGUACUGAGGUAGGCUCCAUCUGCAAAGCCUGCUCUGAAGAAGUUAAAACUUCUGCCCAGUUUCCUGCUUUCUUGUUGAUUAGAAAGCUGGUCUUGCAAACUUAAUGACGUGUGCAAACANNNNNNNNNNNNNNNNNNNNNNNNNNNNNNNNNNNNNNNNNNNNNNNNNNNNNNNNNNNNNNNNNNNNNNNNNNNNNNNNNNNNNNNNNNNNNNNNNNNNNNNNNNNNNNNNNNNNNNNNNNNNNNNNNNNNNNNNNNNNNNNNNNNNNNNNNNNNNNNNNNNNNNNNNNNNNNNNNNNNNNNNNNNNNNNNNNNNNNNNNNNNNNNNNNNNNNNNNNNNNNNNNNNNNNNNNNNNNNNNNNNNNNNNNNNNNNNNNNNNNNNNNNNNNNNNNNNNNNNNNNNNNNNNNNNNNNNNNNNNNNNNNNNNNNNNNNNNNNNNNNNNNNNNNNNNNNNNNNNNNNNNNNNNNNNNNNNNNNNNNNNNNNNNNNNNNNNNNNNNNNNNNNNNNNNNNNNNNNNNNNNNNNNNNNNNNNNNNNNNNNNNNNNNNNNNNNNNNNNNNNNNNNNNNNNNNNNNNNNNNNNNNNNNNNNNNNNNNNNNNNNNNNNNNNNNNNNNNNNNNNNNNNNNNNNNNNNNNNNNNNNNNNNNNNNNNNNNNNNNNNNNNNNNNNNNNNNNNNNNNNNNNNNNNNNNNNNNNNNNNNNNNNNNNNNNNNNNNNNNNNNNNNNNNNNNNNNNNNNNNNNNNNNNNNNNNNNNNNNNNNNNNNNNNNNNNNNNNNNNNNNNNNNNNNNNNNNNNNNNNNNNNNNNNNNNNNNNNNNNNNNNNNNNNNNNNNNNNNNNNNNNNNNNNNNNNNNNNNNNNNNNNNNNNNNNNNNNNNNNNNNNNNNNNNNNNNNNNNNNNNNNNNNNNNNNNNNNNNNNNNNNNNNNNNNNNNNNNNNNNNNNNNNNNNNNNNNNNNNNNNNNNNNNNNNNNNNNNNNNNNNNNNNNNNNNNNNNNNNNNNNNNNNNNNNNNNNNNNNNNNNNNNNNNNNNNNNNNNNNNNNNNNNNNNNNNNNNNNNNNNNNNNNNNNNNNNNNNNNNNNNNNNNNNNNNNNNNNNNNNNNNNNNNNNNNNNNNNNNNNNNNNNNNNNNNNNNNNNNNNNNNNNNNNNNNNNNNNNNNNNNNNNNNNNNNNNNNNNNNNNNNNNNNNNNNNNNNNNNNNNNNNNNNNNNNNNNNNNNNNNNNNNNNNNNNNNNNNNNNNNNNNNNNNNNNNNNNNNNNNNNNNNNNNNNNNNNNNNNNNNNNNNNNNNNNNNNNNNNNNNNNNNNNNNNNNNNNNNNNNNNNNNNNNNNNNNNNNNNNNNNNNNNNNNNNNNNNNNNNNNNNNNNNNNNNNNNNNNNNNNNNNNNNNNNNNNNNNNNNNNNNNNNNNNNNNNNNNNNNNNNNNNNNNNNNNNNNNNNNNNNNNNNNNNNNNNNNNNNNNNNNNNNNNNNNNNNNNNNNNNNNNNNNNNNNNNNNNNNNNNNNNNNNNNNNNNNNNNNNNNNNNNNNNNNNNNNNNNNNNNNNNNNNNNNNNNNNNNNNNNNNNNNNNNNNNNNNNNNNNNNNNNNNNNNNNNNNNNNNNNNNNNNNNNNNNNNNNNNNNNNNNNNNNNNNNNNNNNNNNNNNNNNNNNNNNNNNNNNNNNNNNNNNNNNNNNNNNNNNNNNNNNNNNNNNNNNNNNNNNNNNNNNNNNNNNNNNNNNNNNNNNNNNNNNNNNNNNNNNNNNNNNNNNNNNNNNNNNNNNNNNNNNNNNNNNNNNNNNNNNNNNNNNNNNNNNNNNNNNNNAAAGACCAAAUAACCAGCAGAAAGAUCCUCUAUUUCCAGAACCAUGCUUCUCAAUCUGUCCUUAAUCUGCAUAUCCUUAACAAGCGAAUAAACAGCCGACAAGCUAGAAUUUUGAAACGUUUGUUCUCUUUGCUGAAUCUCAUGACUGCAUGCCCAAGCUUUGGAAUCACCCCCAUAUAAAGAAUUGAUGGCCAUAGGACGGAUAGGAAGAAAAGCAAAAACAAGUAUGGUAGAGAAUAGCGGAAACGAUGGGAAAACGGACAUGGGAGAUUAAAAGAAAAUAAAGCCACAUCUCAUAAUUUUUCAAUAGGCUCUGGUUAGUGGGAAUAGGCACAGAGAUAUAUGCUUCCGAAGGCAUUAAUGACAUCCAAAAUCAAAACAAGGCAAACAGGCAAGUAACCAAUCUCAACAAAGCAAAUUGUGGCCCUUUUCAUCCACACAAAAAUCAACAAAACAAUUAUAUAUUCAGGAAUCGAACUCACGGAAAAAAAUCAAAUAUAGGUAAGAAUUCCGAAAGCAACGAGGUGCAUACCUGGACAGCUUUGGUUGCAAUGGCUCGGCUUCUGGCUAUCUUUUCUCUUCCUUCUGAGGACAAUUCCCAGAUAAAAAUCCUCUUUUUUGCUUGUUCUUUCUUCCUCCUCCUCCCUCUCUAGACUCCAAUACGUGCUCUGCCCCCAAGAAAAAUCCUCCCUUAAUAAAAAAAAGCUCCCCUUUUUCUCCUUCCUCUCUCACGUAUAUAUACGCCUUUCCCUAAAACUAAAUCUCCCUAAAAAAAGGCCAAAUCCCCUAUUUUCUCUCUUCUUUUCUCCUUAUCCUUUUUUAAAUCUUCCAAUUCAAAAGCAAUCUUCCCAACUUCAAAUUCUCCUCCAAAACCUUCCAAGGAGAGUCCCACUUUCCUUAAACUCCAAUGGUAAGUUUCCUUGCAAAAACAUGAAAUUUUAGAAGUUAAAUAAUUGCAUGAAUAGAUAAAUAAGUAAAUAAAUUAGAAAAUGGUAAAAAUAAUAAAUAAAUAAAUAAGUUGAGGAAAAUAAUAUAAAGAGGAAAACGAAAUAAAAUAAAAUAAAAUUAAACAAAUUAACAAAAAAAAUGGACCCUACAAGCCAUGCAAACACGCAAGUCAAAUAAGUCACGCUAAAAAUGUCCAAAUGGGUCAAGUGUGCCUAAACGGGCCUAUGAUGAGACUAAGCGGGCCUAGGGUGGUGCCUAAUGGGCCAAGUGUAUCUAAAGGCUAUCCUAAAAAAACAAGAAAAGCCUAAGUCUAAAUUAGGGCUGCCAAGGGUCACGAUAAGGGAUCAAAUAAUCCUUUAACCAAAGUCUCCAAGGUGACUCAGAAAAAGGUAAGUCGUACGAGUAGUAAUGGGCCACCAAGGAACUACCGUGGAGCACUGGAAGUGGAUUUAAAGACAUGUGCUAAAAGGGCAAAAUUGAGGGUCUACAAUGAGUUUCAGAAGCAAGUUGUGGAUGCAUGGAGGGAUAUUAACGAGGAGUUCCUACGACCUACAGUUGUUCCGAUGCCUCUCCUAAUGUGUGUGCUUAAUCUUUCUCGAGUGAUGGAUGUGAUCUACACGGGGGGAGAUGGGUACACUCAUGUUGGAAAAGUGAUGAAGAAUAAUGUUGCAUCACUGCUCAUUCACUCUAUUGUAUGACCAAAUGGAUCAAGUUGAUCACCAUCUACAUAUUCUGCCUUACCUAGGGAGUAGGAUGAAUAAAAAUUAUUGUAAUAGUAUGGGAGAGACCUAUAAUGUUUGCUACUCUAUCUCGGUUUGGUGGUGUUUUACAUCAUACUAUCAUUUGGGCCAAAGGUAUUAAUGUUAUUGCGUUCUAAAAACUCCAUCCUAAGAUGCAAACAUAAGCAGGUUUUUUUUUAUUGAUUUUCGUUUUCUAUUUCUUGCAUCCAUUUUAAUAUAUGUUUAAAACACAUGGAUCAAGUUUGAAACUUUUUUGUUAUUCAAAAAUCGUGUCAUGGAGAAAAUUCUCCAUGGCAAAUCACUUGAUGGAGAAAAUUCAAAAUACAUCAUCAUCAUGAUGUAGAAAAUCACUUGACCGAGAAAAUUCAAGUAUAAAAAUCACAUGGUGUAGAAAAUUCUCCAUAGAAAAUCACAAGAAAAUUCAAAAUACAUCAGCAUCAUGAUGUAGAAAAUUACUUGACGGAGAAAAUUCAAGUAUAAAAAUCACAUGGUGUAGAAAAUUCUCCAUAGAAAAUCACGAGAAAAUUCAAAAAACAUCGUCAUCGUUGUCAUCAUCCUCCUCCUCCUCCUCCUCCUCCUCCUCCUCAUCAUCAUCAUCAUCAUCACUAGACAUGCUAAAAGUUUUGUUUCAUCAUCAUCAUCACCAGACAUGCUAAAAUGCUAAAAGUUUUGUUAUAUACCAUGUAAAAAAUAUAAGUUAUGAUCUUAUAUAAGGUACCAUGCAAAGUUUAAAUUUUUGCAAAACGAAAAGAGAAAAAAAAGGAAGUUAUGAAGAAUCAAAUCAAUCAACUCAUCAUUUUCCAAGCAAGGAUUAAGAUAUUAAAAAUUACAUAAAGAUGAUGAUUAUAUUUUUAAAAACAUUAGAAAAAAAAAAUAAUAAAUAUAUUGAAGUUGUUUUUUUACAUAAAACAAUAUAUGUAUAAUAACAUAAAUACAUUUAAUUAUAAAAUAUAUAUGAUUCCAUGUAAUUUGAAAAUAUUCAAGGAUGUAAAAGAAAUAAUAAAUAUUUUUUUUACAAACAAAUAUUUAUAAUUUCAUUUACAACUUUAUUUCUUCCUUUUAUUUAAUUAAUAUAGACAAGGAAUAACAAAAGACUUACUAAAAGAACUAUCAUGAGCACGUUUUAUAUUUUUAACAAUAAGUUCAAAUAAAUUUUAAAAAUAAGACAAUUAAAUUAAUAUAUUUUUUAACAUUUUAUUUAAUAUUUAAUUUUGUGCAUAGAUAUGUCAUAAAAUUAGGUUAAAUAUAGUACAUGUAAUUAUAAACAAUAAGGGCAAGCAGCUCAGGUGGCAAAGUAGCCACCUCCCUUCCAACAUGCACCUUCAAGUUUUUUUAGCAUACUGAUGUAGCGAAUUACGGGAGAAAGUCACCAUAUAUUGCCAAAAUUAGUGAUUAAUCGAAAAAAUAAGAAAAGAACAUGAUUAAUCGAGGUAGAUUAUGAAAAUUUGAUAAAAAUUCAUUAAGUGAAAUUCCUCCAUAAUUUUCUAUAUCGGUGAUAUUUCAUGAACACUAAUCAUGAUUUCCAAGUUCAUGAGUUUACCGUAUCUACAAAUUGGUAUGUCAAAGAAGUUCAAGAAUAAUUUUUAGAUGAUUAUAAGUGUUUUUUAAUAAUUAAAUUCAUUUUACAAAUAACUACAUGUUUAAUUAAGAUUAUAUCCUAAUGGUGCUGAAAACAAAUUAAGACAGACGUCAAAUCACAUUUACUUUGCAUUGAAACAAAUUAUGCUUAAUAGACAUAUUUAUGUUUUUGAAGAUGAUGGAUGUUAAUUUCAGAUUUUGCUCUCAAAUUAAGCCACCUAACACAGUUGUCUUUUAAACACUUAAGCGAACACAACUUCAAAUCACCAAUAAUUCACGGUAGCACAACUUCAAAUUAAGCCAAAAACCCAUCAACCCUCACCACCGUCGAUAGCAUCGCCGGCAAGCCGUUACCGGUUGGCAACCCCCUCCUCCCCUCUCAUUCUCCCCUUCCACCCACCUCUCCUCUCACUACUUUCUCUCUCUUUCCUUUUCAUUUCUUUCUCCUCAACUCCAUUGCCACCCUUCAACAACCCUUCAUCCAUGGUCUCAAAAAAAAAUAAUAAAAAAUAUCCCCAUGUCGAUAGCCCUAGUUUAAACUUUCCAAGUGAAUCACUAAAAUACAACACAAUUAGCUAUCACAAAACAAAAUAAAUUCAAUUAGGCCUAAAUUUAAUAUCUUAUAAUCCAAACUUAAUUUAAUACACAAAUUCAAAUUCACAAUCAAAAUCAAGUCCAAUUUAAUAUAUAAAGCUCAAAUGUAACAAAAUUAUACUAUAAUAUUAAUUCAUGUCCAAAUUAAACUAUUCAAAUGGGCAAAAUUCAUUCACCAACGACAAAUAGGCCCAAAUUUCAUAUUAAUUAACAUCCCCAAAACAAAAUUUAUUGGACCAAUUUGAAGUUUGGAUUUGAGUUUGAAUAAUUAUUUUGGACUUUACAUAUUUUUGGAUAUUUACCUUUGGGCUAUUUUUGUUUUUUCAUGAGCCCAUUUUACAAUUCUGUUGACUGAGCACAAAUUUGUGAUGCGUAGAGGGUUAAAUUUCAUGAAAAAAAAUGUGGCUCAUGAAGGCUGUAAAUUGAGCAUUAAGCUUGCUAUAGCCUUGUUUGGAUAUAUUUUAUUUCCCCACUUUUAUUUAGUUCUAUUUUUAUUGUCCUGUAAAUAUUCUUUCUUAUAUAUUUCUUGGGUGUAUACAAAGUUGAACAAUUGAUAACUCAUGAACUUUGUUUUAAUAAAAUAAAUAGUUCAGUAAUCUUUUUUUUUUUUAAUAAAAACAAUUGCUUAGAAAUUAUUUUUUUUUAAUAAAAAAAGGUUUUUUUUAUAAAAAUUCAAAAAAAUGUUUUUAAGAAAAUCCGAAAAAUCAUUUAAAUAAGAAUAUGUAUCACUUAAAUCACCUGAAUAUAUUAUUUAUUAUAUUAUAUUCUUUAAUACAUAUGUAUUAUUGUCAUUCAACUUGAGGAGUAUUGAUACUGAGUCUUAAAAUACAUAUGUAUGUAGAAUACAUGCCUACAACAAAUCUGGAUCUCCUUGUUAAUAUGUAAUGGUGUUUUGGAGUACUACAAUACUCACCAAAUAACUUCUUUACACUUUAUAAUGGACACUGACUGGUGAGUUUAUAGUUAAUUAAAUAUUUAACUCUAUAGCAAAUUAUUAUUAUUAUAAUUAUUGUUGCUAGCGUUAUUAUUAUUUAAUUCAUUAUUAUGAAAAUUAUUAGUAUUAUUACUAUUUAAUUAUUAUUAUUAGCUAUUAAUUUUAGUUUUUUCUUUUUCAUCUUUUCUUUUUUGUUGUUUCUUAUAUACUUCAUAAAAUUAUAAGUUAUGAUCUUUUAUUAGGUUGAAAUUGGAAGUUCAAGUUCACUAAAGUAUGACACAGUUAACUUAGGUUCACUAAUUUUGUAAAAAAUUCAAUGCAUUUAUAGGAUAAUUAAAUAAUUCAACGAACUUAUCAUUUUAUUAAUUAAGGUUUUUUUUUUUUUUAACCUUUUUUACAUGUAAGAAUACAAAAAUUUAUGGUUCAAUGUGAAACUUUGGAAUUGCAUGAAUAAGAAAGUGAAAUUUGUUGGUGUCGUUCCCAACGAGAGUUAGGUUCAUCCAACUUCAUUGGAGUCAGGUGGGUUGCUUCCCUUGUUCGUGCUUCUUAAGAAGUCCGUCCAGUUGUAUUGGAAUUAGAUAGACUUCUUCCCUGCACAAAAGAAUGUCCAGACAGGUGGUUCGAACAUGCCCCUCCCAAACUUAAGUUAGUUAAGGAUAACUCUAACUUAUUUUUAUGGUAGAAAAUGAGCGUAUGUGCAUGCCUACCUUGUUUGUGCCUUUUGAGGGGUUUAUAUAGAGCUUAUGACACUGUCACUAUAGUGCUGACUAUACACUCUAGUCUUUCUUGUGAUGAUGAUUACCCUUACGGCGGUUGGGCAAUCAUAUCAGAUAAGGGAGGUUGAUUGGUGCCAUCUACUGACAUGCCAAAUCUCGGACCAUGCAACUGAUUGUCCAUUUAGCUUGCCAAUGUCUGGGAUUGUGUGUAACAAUUAAUUGACAUUGACUUUUGGGUGUAAAUGGAGUCCCGUCCACCGCUUAGAUGUCAGACGUCUAAUCCAUAGCUCAAAUGUCAUGUGUCUAGGCCAACGCUCAAACAUCAAGCAUGGUUGAUCAUGCAUGCCAGAAAUCCUGAGGACUUGAUUUGACUAAUUUUUUCGUCGGAGAGUCUAGCGAUCCCAGCUUGUCGAUUCUGUCUGACCUUGUGGAAGAAGAGAAACCUCUCACUUUUGGUGUCAGAUAGAACUUAUCUUGGUCUAGAUGGAUUGAUCCUAGACGGGUUACAAGUUUGUCCUGGUCGGCCAAGGGGUCUUGAGCUUGAAAAUGACAAGUGAAGGGAAAUCCCCCACAAUGCCCCCUUAAUCUGUCUACCUCUAUCCAGAUGAAGAGGAGAUGUUUUUGGAGCGUCCAGUUAGUCUCCUAUCUAAACAAGAAUUCCGGGAUCGUUUCCAUAUUCCGGAUAAUAUCCCUAUCCUUCUAAUAGACGACGAGGCGUUAUCUUCCGUUGACCUGCCCAACAACAUGAUGUAUUUUACUAAGGAACAAUUCGUUGCGGGGCUCCGUCUACCUAUCCCCUCUCUCUUCAAGCAGUUCUUUCAUUUUAUGUAAAUCCCUUCAACUUUUCUUCAUCCGAACGUUGUCCGGUUAUUGAUGGGAUGUAGUGUUCUGGACAUGCUCUUUCAGUUGGAUCUCUCCUUACUGGAAGUCUUAUUUGUUUACACUAUCAAAAUGAGCUGGAAGGAAAGGUUAAGAUUUUCUUCCCAUAUUCCUUCCUUACAGCCGGUGACUGGCCUUCCAGAUUCAUGCAAAUGCUAGGUGAAGGGGCAUGUCCUAGUCUCCAGUCCUUGGAGUGGUUCAUCUAAGAAACUAGACGAGGUCUUUUCUCCACAACAUUUGUUGGGGAUUCCGAGUAAGAUACGCUUUCGUCACUUUCUCUACAUUUUUCAAUUAUUUCUUCCUCGUUGUGAAUUUACUGCUGAUCCUUUUGUUUAUGUGAUACAAGCAAGGAGAGGCGGGGACGCCUUGUAGAGUGGGUAGACAAGGCUUCUUUCACCCGACUCAACAAGUUGUUCGAAAUAGACGCGUUCGAAUGGGCCCCCAAAGUUUUUCUGCCAAACAAUAACUUACUAGCACUGAUCGAUAAUCCAAAGUCGUUCAUCAUCCCCGUAUUUUCUCGUCUGGCUCCCCCAUCUUUGGUGCUUGGUGAACAUUUCGUGCUAAAGGAUUUGUAUUUCUAUGAGGUUGCCUGUCUAGCAGAUUCUAAGGCACGCUAGGCCCGUUUAGAGGAGCGUGAGGAAAAACAUCAGGAAGGGACAUUGAGGCAAGCUUCGACUGUUGGUGGUCUAUCCUUUAGAUCCGUUGUUUGUCUUCUCACUAAAAAGAGGAAGAAACCUACUACUCUGCCUAUCCAGAGAUAAGGACUCCGCCUCCUUUAUUUUUUUUCUUCUCCAUCAGCUUCAUCAUCUUCAUCAUCUCCAUCUUCUUCAUCUUCCAAUGGCGAGCCAGAAGCAUGGGUUGACCAGGUAGUGUCCCCUAUUAUUUGCGAUGAGUAAAAAGAAGAGGAUAUGGCUUCAAACUUGAGGGCCGAAUUUCGUGAGAGACAGUGCAAGCACCUGUCCAAAUCCAUUGCUGUCAAUCCUACUCCCUCCAAGAAAGCUUGUUCAAAACCUGCUUUUGCUCCUACACUCAUGUCGGUUCCUCCUACUAUUGCUACAGUCUUGACCCCUGAGCUAGAUAAGAAAUUUCCUUCUACUAAUGAACAUACUUAUCAUGAGAUGAGGAGAUCCUUCAUCAACUCGGACAACUUCAGCAAAGAAUCGUUCAAAUACAUGACUUCUUUUUCUCCUCAUUCGAAGUCAACCUAUGUCCACAAUCGGGAGGAGGUAUCUGAGCUUUUGAAGCGAAUCCCUUUCUUCACCGAGGAGAGUCCUCGGUACAAAACAUGGGAGUACUCUUUCCACCUACUCAGCAAAUCCCAAUUGAGAUAGACAAUGAUCCCAGUCGAUCUUUCAUGGCAUGGCUUUUGUACGGCACUCCGAACACCGCCAUUUCUCACAUUAUUCCCAUGCAAGACUAUAAGGCUUUUGAAACGACAAAAAUGGUAAGCCACCUAUCCUUUUCUGCUCAUUUUGCCUUAGCCUCUUGUUUCACAACGAUUUCUCUAUUGCCUCUUCAGAUGAUAGUCGGAGUCUAAAACCUCAUGUGGCAGCACGCUCCCCUUUUCUACCGAUUGGAAACAGUCGAGACCAUGAGGGCAUACUUUGCCCAUAAUAUGAACAAGAAUGAGGAUCUUUUUGCCAACUUGGAGACAACGUAGAGUGAAGCCGUUGCUGCCCAAAAGCUUGUUGAAGAAGAAGCCAAUCUAUUGAGGAAAGCCGAGGAAGAAAAGGAGACAGUUCAAAUUGAAGCUCGUCGGCUGGCUGAAAAGAAGAAAACCAUGGCGGUCGACAAAAAUAAGCCUGAAAAAAAGGCUGCCUGAUUCGUGCCCAAUUGGUGUCUCAGCUGAUUCGUGUCCAGCUGGUGCUCCUUGAUUGAGGGAGUAAUCAACAAAAUUUAUAACCUAUUACACCAUAUACUAGGGUAGCAAAGACAAAGCUACUAUAGCAUAGUGGCUCUAGGAUCGUCCAUUGGGAUGGGUUUUCACUUCACAAUUGAUAUUAAUUCAAAGAUGAAUUGGUGCCUUUUCAUUUCAAGGUUAGCUUUAAAAGAAAACAUAAACUUGUUUGAAAGAAAAAGGUUUGGUUUUAAACUAACCACAAAUAGUAACUAAUUUUACUUACAAAGAAAAGAUGUUUCUUGGAGUUCAGAUCACUAGGCUCAGAUUCCUCAUACAAAAAGGGAGUUCCGGUCACUUGUUUCUUUUCCUCGUAUUAGAGAAUUAACAUAUAGUUAAUUCUCCAACCGGUGUUGUACAGAUGCUCCCCAUUAAUGGGUUCAAACACUAAAUCCCUCUCACUGAUGCAUCUUGCAAUGACUCAUACCUCUCACCUAGCACUUGCCAUUCAAGGUGAUCUUUAACCUUGGAUUACCCGUCAAAAGCUCGCAAGAGAUAACUAAUGGAUGUCUCCUUGGAGUCCAAAAGCUUACCAAGUGUUGGCUAUUCUAGAAAAUCCUACCUUCAAGUCACCUCCCAAAGGCUCGCAAGGGGUAAACUAGUGCAUUUCCAUGGUUGGAAAUCACUUGUCUUACCAAGUGUUGGCCCAGGUGACCCUAAGGUGUUUUAAGUUAACUAAAAACAUAGAAAUCACUAACGGGUUACACUUUCUCUUCAUUAAAAACUAAAACAACAAAACUUCCAAAUUAUGCAUGUGGAAACUUACCCGGCUUUCCUCACUCCAAGAGACAAAAAGCUUAGCCUCUCAUCCUCUGUGGAAAAAUCCUCAGAGUUUGGUUGGCUAGAAAAUGAAAAUGAAAGAGAAGACAAGAAUAUAUAUCAAAAACAGAGCAAGUGCUCUGUUCGUUGAUUCUAUAUAUUGGAUUACAUGAUAUCACAUACUUCCCCCCAGCGUCUCCUGAGAGUGUUUACAAGAGAGUUUAUAUAAGAAGGUAAUUUACCCUUCCUUGGAUACUUCCUAGCUAAGGAAUUACAUGAGUGGUUGAAUACAAGGAGAAAAUGGAAAUUUAGACACAAAAAUCUGAAGAAAAAUAUCUAAAAGAGUCGGUGCAAAAAUAUCGGGAUGCUUCGGGAACCAUUUCGCAAGAGAAAAUGGUGUCUGCGAGAUUUCGCAGACACUCAAGAGGGGCUGCGAAAUCACUUCGCAACAUCAAGCUAUUCUCACAGGGCUACGAAAUUGGCUUCCUCCUUGAGGUUCUCAGCGUUCCAGCUUGCGUCAUGUAUCGGGUAGCUUCAGGAGGAAUUUCAUAGCACUGUACAAAAAGGCUGCGGAAUUCUCGCAACAAAAGGCUGAUUUCGCAACACUUUGGAGUGAUCUGCUUUCAAUGGCUGUAACUCCUUCGUUUCAACUCCGAAUCGCGCACCGUUUGAAGCAUUGGAUUCUUGACUUCCUGAGCUUUGAAAUGGUAUAUAGAAUGUAGAAAAUGGACUUCGGAAAGUGCUCCAAAAGUGCAAAAGAAUACUGCAGCUAGCUUUCCUCUGUUUUCUUCACUCUGUUUUUCCUCUCUCCUUGCUUCUCUCCUUGCAUACUUUGAACGACUUUGGCAAAGGGAUAUGGGGCUCCAAAGCUUGGUUUCUUCAUGAAUUUGAGCUCUUCAUUGCUUUGCCAUGAAUUCCAAAUAACUCUCCUCAAUCUUGGAUUGUUUUGGUGAUCAAAUUACUAACAAAAACACCAAAACUUACACAAUUUGAUUAGAAUUGAUUGCAAGGGUCCUUAACAUGUUAAUUGGGUUAAAAGACAAUAACUACUACUCAAAAGUGUUUAAAAGGAUUAAUUACAAGCUACAAAAUAGCACUUUUUGAGUAGUAAUCACUGCCCAGCUGAGGCAUGAGCUACAAGAUCUCCGAGUGGGGUUUGCCGCUUGAAAAGAAGACUUGGAGGUUGACUACCAAAAGCAAGUGGAUGAUAUAUUCCUGUACGAAUAUCGUUGUUAUAUAAAGAAGCAUGGCAUCAUCCAUGAUGCUCCCACCUUUCCUUCGGAUGACGAGAAUGAGUUUUUAGGCGACCCUUCCCAAAAAGGAGGAGAUGUUUUCGAAGGCGGUCCCUUUGGCGAGUAGGCUUGAUAUUUUGUUUGUAUUUAUUUAUUAUGGUUGGAUGUGGCUUGGACUGCUACAUCUAUAAAGACAAUGGAUGCUUUAUUUAUUUGAAUAUAUUUACUUUAGUCAUUUGUCUCUCAUACAUUGUUUUCAUAAGCAAACUUUAUUGAAAUUACUACUUUAAAUUGGAUACAUUCAAAGAGUAGAGCAGGGGUACGACGUCCAAUAUUUGAAGAUGGUAUGUCCCUGAGUCUCUAGCCUUAGUUACAAUAUAUGACCCUUCUCAGUUAGCUUGUAGAACUAUAAUACUUUGGUUUAUACAUUUAAGGUUAUAUAAAGUGUUAAUUCAAAUUAGUGAUGUUAUGUUGUUCACCCGUUUCCUUGAUAAUUUAAACAAAUAAAACUCAAAUGCAUCCUAAAGUCUAAAUGAAAGAAAUUCUAACUAAACAAAUUAUUACAACCAUUACCUAUUUUUCUUUCAUAUAAUUAAAAAAUUAUACAUUUUAACCAAGACAUAAGUUCAAAUCACACUUAAUAAGAAAUAACCUAAAAUCAUAAUCAUUGGCAUUAAUUUUCAUAUGAAAAUAUAAAUUUUUAAAAUAAUAUAAACAAUUUCUUUAGUUAUUUUAAAAUUUUAAAAUACUAUAAAUAAAUAAUUUUCUUUAGUUCAUAUGUGAAAAUAUUCAUAAAACAAAUAAAUAUUUUAUUUAUCAUAAAUAUAUAAAUUUUUAUGGGAAUGCAUGUAGACCAAAUUAUUUUCUCAAAAUUUUAAGGAAAAUAUGAAAAAAUAAAGAUAAAAUAUAUAUAUUUGUAAUAGAACUUUCGCAUGCACAUUGUUUUCACGAUUAGGAAUUAGAGAUAGAAGAUUUUUAUAGAUUUGAAAAGAAUCAUGGAAGAAACUCAACUUAAUUUCCAAUUUUGAAAAGAAUUGUGGAAGAAAUUAAACUUAAUUUCUAAUUUUAAAAAAGAAUUGUGAAAUAAAAUCAAUUUAAUUUCCAAAAUUAAAAAGAAUUGUGGAAGAAAUUCAAAUUAAUUUCUAAUUUUAAAAAAGAAUUGUGAAAUAAAAUCAAAUUAAUUUCAAAUUUUAAAAUGAAUUGUGGAAGAAAUUCGAACAAUUAACACACCUUUGUGGCAAGGGAAUCUACCGCAUUCGUUGAACAGACUUAGUCCCAUUUUCCCAAUCAACUUAGCACGUUGUUUGAAUUAAAUACCUACGGAUUGAUAUUGUUUGAAACUCAAGCAAACCAAUAUUUUAUAGUCUAUUCUGAGCACGACUAUUUCACACCUUGGGCCCCAAAACUAAACCAAAUCCCACAUACCAUUCAACUUAACACAACCUUAGCCGCCCCUAACGGUUUGGGCUUUUGCGUGAAUUUAGGCAAGGGGUUUCUCUUUCAUGUCAUCAAUCUCUUUCAUACAUUAUAUUCAACAACAUACAGCUUCUGGAGGCCAUUGCUGCCCUAUAAAUGCAAUGGAGCUUCCCAAGCUUUUGCACUCAUACUUUCCAAGUCAGUUUUCAAAGAAGUGUUCUACUACCAUUCCAAAAAAUUAACAUGUCGGGUCAAGUCUUAGCAAGCCCUCUAGGCCAAUUUCCGGAACUGGAAAAUCGUCCGGUGGUCCAGUAUCACCCUAGCAUUUGGGGUGACCAGUUCUUAUCCUACACUCCCGAGGACGAGGUAAUCGAAUGAAAAUCUGUGUUAAAUACCUGUAUAUUCGAAAGUUGUUUUUCUUGAUGUGUUGUUUAGUAAAAUUACUUGGUUGCCAUAGGUAACACGUGCCUGCAAAGAGAAGCAGCUUGAAGAUCUGAAAGAGGAAAUUCGAAGGAAGCUAAUGAAUACAGCUGGUAACACUUCCCAACAACUAAAAUUUAUCGAUGCUGUGCAACGUCUUGGGGUGGCAUACCACUUUGAAAGAGAGAUAGAAGAAGUGUUACAACAUAUUUAUGAUAGCUAUCCUAAUGGCGAUGAUAUGGAAGGUGAUAUCUAUAAUGUUGCUCUUCAAUUUCGGUUACUAAGACAAGCUGGGUUCAAUAUUUCAUGUGGUAAGAGCCCAAAGAAUUAUCAUGUAUAAGCUAAAAUGUAUCCUUCUCAUAAGUCCAAUCUUAUGUAUGUUUAAAUUACGGUAUUUAUGUAGGCUUGUUCAAUGAGUUCAAGGAUGAAAAGGGUAACUUCAAGAAAGCUUUAGUCAGUGAUGUAAGAGGCAUGCUAGGCUUGUAUGAGGCUGCACAUCUCAGAGUUCAUGGAGAGGACAUACUUGCAAAAGCACUUGCUUUCACCACCACUCACCUCAAGGCCAUGGUAGAAAGUUUAGGAUAUCAUCUUGCAGAACAAGUUGCUCAUGCCCUGAACCGGCCCAUUAGAAAAGGUUUGGAGAGGCUAGAGGCAAGAUGGUAUAUAUCUGUCUACCAAGAUGAAGCUUUCCAUGAUAAAACUUUACUAGAGCUAGCAAAAUUAGAUUUCAAUCUAGUGCAGUCACUGCACAAGGAAGAGCUAAGCAAUCUUGCAAGGUUGGUUUUAGAUCACCCCACAUGUACUUGGCCAUUGUUAUCACUUUCCUGUAUGCUGAUCAUAUUAAUGUCUUUUAGGUGGUGGAAAGAACUAGACUUUGCUACAAAGUUACCUUUUGCACGAGACAGAUUGGUUGAAUGCUACUUUUGGAUGCUUGGGGUGUAUUUUGAGCCUCAAUACUUACGGGCUAGACGAAUUCUAACCAAAGUAAUUGCCAUGAUAUCCAUUCUAGAUGAUAUCCAUGAUGCAUAUGGCACACCUGAAGAACUCAAGCUCUUCAUAGAAGCCAUUGAGAGGUUUGCUCCUUGCACAUUACCAACCUUGAUUGUGUAUAAUAGAUGUAUUUAUAUAUACUUAAAUCAAGGAUCAUUAUUUUAUUUUCAGGUGGGAUAUUAACAGCAUAGAUCAGCUUCCAGAAUACAUGAAACUCUGCUAUGCGGCACUCUUAGAUGUGUACAAAGAAAUCGAGGAAGAGAUGGAGAAAGAAGGAAACCAAUAUCGGGUUCACUAUGCCAAAGAAGUAGUAGGACAUCUUUAACUCUGGAUCCCCACCUUUUUCAUUGAUGAUAUUUUAUAUGGUCUCAUAUAUACAUAGAUAUAACUUGGAUGAAUGUUCUUUAGAUGAAGAAUCAAGUUCGAGCUUACUUUGCUGAGGCCAAAUGGUUACAUGAAGAACACGUACCAACAUUUGAAGAGUACAUGCGUGUUGCACUAGUAAGCUCUGGAUACUGCAUACUUGCAACCACGUCCUUUGUGGGAAUGGGAGAAAUAGCAACAAAGGAGGCCUUUGAUUGGGUGACCAGCAAUCCUAAGAUUAUGUCAUCUUCAAAUUUCAUUGCGAGGCUCAUGGAUGACAUCAAAUCACAUAAGGUAUGAAGAAUAUAUGAUUCAAAUGGGGAGAAUAUAACACACUGGUUUUUUCUCAACUUUUGUAUUAUACAUGCAGUUUGAGCAAAAGAGAGGGCAUGUGGCCUCAGCUGUUGAAUGUUACAUGAAGCAAUAUGGUGUCUCUGAGGAACAAGUAUACAAAGAAUUUCAAAAGCAAAUUGAGAAUGCAUGGCUGGAUAUUAACCAGGAAUGCCUCAAACCUACUGCUGUUUCAAUGCCUCUCCUUGCUCGUAUUCUCAAUCUUACACGAGCCGCGGAUGUCGUUUACAAAGAGCAAGAUUCGUACACACAUGUUGGGAAAGUGAUGAGGGAUAACAUUGCGUCUGUCUUGAUCAACGCUGUAAUAUAACCAAAUGGAGUAGUUGAUUGCCUUGUGGAAGCCGUAAUAUCUAAUAAAUCACUAUAAAAGGAAAAAAGAAAAGAAAAAAGGUCCAAUUCAUACCUUAGCCGCCCCUAAUGGUUUGGGCUUUUGCGUGAAUAAAAACUAUUGUAAUAAUAUGGGAGAGACAUAUAAUGUUUCCUACUAGUUUCUCUCUCGGUUUGGUAGUGCUUUACAUCAUACUAUCACUUGGCUAAAUGUAUUAAUGUUGCUGCGUUGUAAAAACUCCAUCCUAAGAUGCAAACAUAACCAGGUUUGAUAUUGAUUUUCCUUUUCUAUUUCUUGCAUCCAUUUUAAUAUAUGUUUAAAACACUUUGAUCAAGUUUGACACUUUUCUAUUAUUCAAAGAUCACGUGAUGGAGAAAAUUCUCCAUAGAAAAUCACUUCUUGUAGAAAUGGUCUAGAACAUACAAAAGAGAUAAAAAAAUCUUAAGAAUUCAUCCUAACGGGUAAAAUAUUAUUAUUAUUAUUAUUAUUAGACAUGCUAAAAGUUUUAUUAUAUACCUGUUAAAAAUAAAAGUUAUGAUAUUAUAUGAGGUUGGAAUUUGAAGUUCAUUUGCAACUUUUUUUCUUCCUCGUUAUUUUUUUAAUAUACGUAAAGUAUUUUUUUUUAAAAAAAAGACUUACUAAAAGAAUUGUCAUGAGAAGGUUUUAUUUUUAUUUUUUAAUAAUAAGUUAAAAUAAAUUUGAAAAAAAAAAUAAAUUAAUAUUUUUUAACAUUUUAUUUUAAUAUUUAAUUUUGUGCAUGGAUAUGUCAUAAGAUUAGGUUACGUACAUAUAGUACAUGUAAUUAUAAACACUAAGGGAAAGUAGCUCAGGUGCAAAGUUGUCACCUCCCUUCCUACAUGCACUUUCAAGUUUUUUUCAGCAAGCUGAUGUAGCCACUUACGAGAUAAGAUUACCAUAAAUUGCAAAAAAUUAGUGAUGAAUAAAAAAAAAAUAACAAAAUGUCAUGAUUAAUCAAGAUAGAUUAUCAAAAUUUCAACAAAAAAUCAUUGAGUGAAAUUCUUUCAUAAUUUCCUAUACCAGUAAUAUUUCGAAUAUAUUAAUCACGAUUUCCAAGUUUACAAGUUUACCAUAUCUACAAAUUAACAUGUUGAAGAAGUUCGAGAAUAAUUUUUAGAGGAUUAUAAAUGUCUUUUAUUAUUAAAUUUACUUUACAAAUAGCCACAUGUUUAAUUAAGAGUAUAUUCUAAUGGUGCUGAAAACAAAUUAAGACAGGCUUCAAAUCAAAUGUACUUUGCAAUAAAGACUUUAGUGAAUGCAACUUCAAAUGACCAAUAAUGCACGGUAGCAGUACAUUAAUUUUGACUUCAAGGCAUUAAUUCGUAUUUUAUCCAUUACACAACAGAAUAUAUAUAAAUAUCCUUAUAAAAAAUAUAUAUGAUAUUUAUAGGUAACAGCUUUCUUCUUAAGCAAAGCAGCCAAGUAAGACUACAAAAUCUAUACCAAACAGAAUAUCUACUAGGACAAAUUUGGAUAAUUAUUUCCAACACUUAAAUUGAUUGGGCUUAGGUUAAAGUAUUCUUCAACUCCUAGUCAGUUUUAGUUGGGCUCUUACCAAGGUUGUGACAUCUCGAAUCUAACCAAAAGUUUAUAUAAUAUUUAUAUAAUAAUUAUAAUUUAUAUUAUUAUGGACUCAUGCACAUUUUUCACAUGUGCCUACUCAAUGAGGAUACUCAUUUAUUAUGAAAAAUGAUUAUUUGAAAACCCUUUUUAGGUUUUUUAGAGUGAACAUUUAUUUAAAAAAAAAAAAAAAACACAAUAAGAAAAAAAGAAGAGAAAAACCUUAUAUAACUCCUUAUUUGAAAAAAAGAAAAAGAAAAAAGACAAGUUCAUAAACCAAGAUUGAGUUAAAAGUCAAAUUACCUACUGAGAAAAUACGACGAUAAGUCAUACAAAACAACCCUCUAAGCUUAUAUACCUAUAAUCUUUACUAAGCAAAUGAACUGAAUUAUGACGAUUAAAUAAUUGAUUAUGGAUACUCAAGAAAAGAAAAACACAAUUAUAAAACAAGUCAUGGUGUUUGUUAUGUUACAAAAAUGUAAAAAAACAAAUGAUAAGAGAAUUUGCAUAAGUUGAUUUACGAAACUAAUUAAAAACAUGGGUUUAAUUAUUUCUAAAUUCAAAGGAUUAAAAAAGUUAUUUCAAUUUGAUGAUUUCAAUCGAUUUUAAGUACAAAAGAAAGUUUUGAUUUCAUUUUUUUUUUAAAGAAAAAAAUGCUUCAAAUUAUUCUAUUUAUAAAGAAAUGAUUUUUAUUUACUUUUUCUUAAAAAAAAAAAAUAUAAUUUACACAAAUUUUAUUUACCUUAACAUUCCUUUUUGAUUUUUAUGCAAAAGAGAAUACUUUUAUAAUUUUUGCUACAACAUGAUUUUUACAAUUUUAUUUUAAAAGAAAGUAUCCAAAUCUAAUCUUAUGUGCAAGAGAAUCUUUUUACAAAUUAUUUAGGAAAAGGAUUUUUAAAAAUUUAUUUACAAUUUUAUUUAAAAAAAUAUUUACAAAUUACUUUAAAAAAGAUUUGUACAAAUUUAUUAACAAAAAAUAAAUAUUCAGAUCCAAUUUUAUUUACAGAAAAAAAAAGAUUUUUUUUUAUAGUUUUUAUUGAAAAUAAGACUUUUACAAUUUUAUUUAAUUAGUAUGAAAAUCCAAUGUCAUUUUAUUAAUACUAGAAAAAAUUUAUUAUUAUUUUUAUUAAGACAUGAUUUUUAAAAUGUCAUUUACAAAAAAAAAAAAAAAAAAAAAAAGUUUACAAUUUUAUUUUAAAAAAUAUUUUGCAAUUUUUUUAAAAAAAAUGGUUUCAAUGUUUUAUUUAAAACAAAUUGCUUUUUAGAUUUUAUUUUAAAAAAUGAUUUUCACAAGUUAAAAAAAAAUUAUAGUUUUAUUUUUUUACAAAAAAUAAUGAAUUUCCAAAUGUAUUUAAAAUUUAUUUAAAAAUGGAUUUUAUAGUUUUAUUUAGAAAAACACUUUAUUGUUUUAUUUCAAUCUUAUUGUUUAUUUUUUUCUUUAAAAAAAAAAGUUCAAAUUUCUCUCUCUUUCUCCCUCUCUCUGUCCAUACGCUCAUUAAUUUUGAUGUUAAGGUAUCAGCCCAAUUGACAUGAUUUAUACUGACUUAGUCUUUUGGUCUAAUAGGUAACUUAAUGUAAUAUAGGAGGUCAUGAAGGUGAACUGUGAACCUUACUGAUAUUACGCAAACCCUACCAUUUAUUUAUAAUAUUGUUGUCAUAAUAUUGAAAUAUGGGAAAUUUUAAUAGACCAGACAGACACCAAUAGACCAAAGCCACCAAGCAAGAAUUGAAGAAACCAGAAAGCGUUUGUUCCAAACAUAGUAUACUGUAGAACAUGAAACAGAAGCUAGAGUAUACUAUCUUUAUUUGUGUCACAUAUAUCUCCACUCUCAUAUUGGCACAAGGUCUAUGAGCAGCAUUGAAAUAUUAUUUUUUGUCACUUCUCCAGGAUGUGUGAAUAUAUCAUUGUGGCUCUUGUACAUCACAUCUCCUGAUCGAGCAAAAUUGAGAAGACGACUAAGGAGAAGCAUUGGAACUGCAGUAGGUCUGAGGCACUCUUCAUUUAUAUCCUUCCAUGCAUUCUCGAUUUGUUUGUGAAACUCAUCAUAUGCUUGCUGCUCCGACACACCAUGUUGCUUCAUGUAACAUUCGAUGCUUGAUGCAAUAUGCUCUCCCUCUUGCUCAAAUUGCAGAAAUAGAUAGUAAUAGAAGGUGUUAAAAAGAAAUUGAUAUACAUUAGAUUUUCUUUAUCUUUAAGGGAUUGAUAUCCAAGUAUCAGUAGAAAGUGUUGUUUCAUUGUACCUUGUGGGAAGCCAUGUCAUCCAUGAGCCUAAUGAUUAUGUAGGUAGCUCUAACAAUCUUAGGGUUUUGUAGCAGCCAAUCAAAGACUUCCUUGGUUGCAGUCUCUCUCAUGCCAAUAAAAGACAUGAUUGUUAAUCUUCAAAUUGAUAAAUGGUAGUUUUUUCAUUCAUUCUUUCAUUCAUUCAUGUACAGAAUAUAUAUAGAGGGUAAUCACCAUUCUAAGAAUGUGAAAGAAUGAUACAAGGAAAUAAUGAUAUAAGGAAAUAACAACUAAUAUCCUAAUAUCUCAACAUUCUUAAUAUCUCUACUUUCCUAAUAUCUAAACAUUCCUAAUAUCUCAACACUGAAUGAUAUAAGAAAAGAAUGAUAUAAGGAAAACAUUCAUAAUAUCUCAACACUCCCCCUCAAGUUGGUGCAUAGAUGUCACACAUGCCCAACUUGUCUAAAAAAUUUGAGAACACUUGAUUUGAGACAGCUUUGGUGAGGACAUCGGCCAAUUGAUCUUUUGAUCAAAUCUUACGCAAUUCCACAAUCUUAUCAUCCAACUUUUCCUUAAUGAAAAAUCUAUCCACAUCGACAUGCUUUAUACGAUCAUGUUGUACUGGAUUAUGAGCAAUGUCACAUGCGACUUUAUUGUCACAAAACAAUCGGAUUGGUUGCCUAGAUAGGUAACCUAAAUCUUGUAAGAGGAGUCUUAGCCAUAAUGCCUCACAAAGUCCUAGAGCCAUACCUUUAAAUUCCGUUUCUACACUUAAACAAGCGACGACAUUCUGUUUCUUACUUUUCCAUGUCACAAGAUUACCACCUACAAAGGUAAAGUAACCAGAUAUAGAUCGCCUAUCAUCCACUGCACCGGCCCAAUCAGCAUUAAUAUAUACUUCUAUACUCUGAUGAUCAACAUUUUUAGCGAACAAAAUUCCCCUCCUAGGAGCAUUCUUCAAAUACCUCAAAAUACGCAUGACUGCAUUCAUAUGUUGCUCUCCAGGAUUAUGCAUGUAUUGACUCACUACACUCAAUGCAUAAGCAAGAUCUAGUAUUGUAUGAGCUAAGUACAUUAAUCUCCCCACAAGUCUCUGGUAUCUUCCCUUAUCGGUUGAUACUUGAUUAGGCUCAACACAUAAUUUCAGACCUUCUUCUAUUGGUGUAUUAAUAAGUUGACAUCCCGACAUUCUAGUCUCCUGUAAAAGAUCUAAAACAUACUUUCUUUGAGACAGAAAAAUUCCUUCACUUAAUCGAGAAACUUCAAUCCCAAGAAAGUAUUUCAGAGAACCUAAAUCUUUCAUUUCGAAUUCUAUAGAUAGAUAAUUUUGCAGAGCUUUUCUUUCUUUAGGAUCAUUUCCUUUAACUACCAUGUCAUCCACAUAUACAAUGAGUGUCAUAAUCUUACCAUGUUGCUUUUUCAGGAACAAAGUGUGAUUUGAAUUACUUUGACGAUAGCUAAAAGCUCUCAUUAACUUUGUGAACCUUCCAAACCAUGCUCUCGGGGAUUGCUUCAACCCAUACAAUAACUUCUUCAAUUUGCACACCUUCUGACAUUGCUUUUCUGACACCAUGCAUCCUGGUGGAAGAUCCAUAUAUACUUCUUCAGAUCACUCGCCAUACAGAAAGGCAUUUUUGAUAUCGAACUGUUGUAAUGGCCAAUCUAGGUUUGCAGCUAAAGACAGUAAUACUCGAACUGUGUUGAUCUUAGCUACAGGUGCAAAUGCCUCUGUGUAGUCAAUUCCAUAAAUUUGAGUGUACCCUUUUGCUACUAAUCUUGCUUUAUCGUUCAAUACUACCAUCUGCCUUGUACUUCACAGUAUAGAUCCAACGACACCUAACUGGUUUCUUUCCUGGUGGACAUUCUACAAGGUCCCUUGUUUCAUUCUUCUGCAAUGAUUUCAUCUCUUCAUUCAUGACUGCUUUCCACCUUGGAUUAGCUAAGGCUUCCUGCACACUGUUAGGAAUAGCUACAGUAGAUAAUUGAUUUACAAAUGACUUAUUUGAUUCAGACAAAUGAUGGUUAGACACAUAGUUGCUCAUGGGAUAUUUGACUUUGGUAGACAAUUUAGGUUCAUAUGUGGGUUUAGGAAUACCUCUAUUAUGACGGUAUGGUAACCGUUUCAUGAAUAGAUCAGGUUCCAAAUUAAGAACACCCUCAACAGACGAUGAUUGGUUUGGUAUUUCAGUGAAGACAUCUUCGGACCCAAAUUGUUGACCACUCAUAUCCAACUCACCCGCUUCCUGGUUCACUAGUUCAGAUUGUCCAGAUUCAUCCUCCUCAGAGAUAUGAUAAUCAUAAUUGAGAGUUUGAAUUUCCUUAUGGUACUCCCCCUGAAGUUCAGACUCAGAUGAAAAAUGCAUCAAAUCUUCAUGAAACACCGCAUCCAUUGUAAUAUACAUUCAUUGAGUUGGAGGAUGAUAACAUCAAUAUCCCUUUUUGUGUAAUGCAUAUCCAACAAACACACAUUGCAAUGCAUGGGAAGUUAACUUGGUGCAUUGGUGUUUGUGUAGAUGCACAAAUGCCACGCAACCAAAAACACGAGGAGGUAGAUUUGGGGUAGUUGGGACAACUACGACAUUAGUAAGAGCUUGGAGAGGUGUUUGGAAGUUAAUUGAGCUGGAAGGAAGUCGAUUGAUCAACUAUGCAGCAGAUGUGAUUGCUUCUCCCCAAUAAGAUAUCGAUGUUUUUGCUGCUAUCAAGUAAGCACAGACAACCUCUAACAAGUGCCGAUUUUUUCGUUCAGCACAACCUAAGCCUUACUCUUUCAAGGGAAUGUUCCUAAGUCCUAUUGGGGAGAAGUUGUUCUUACUACCACAUACAUGAUAAAUAGAAUUCCGUCACGAGUUUUAGACAACAAAAGCCUCGUAGAGAUACUUAAGAGUUUCUAUCCACACUUCAGAACCUCAAAUGGGCUCACUCCUAGGGUAUUUGGGUGCACUGCAUUUGUUCAUGUCCACAGCCAACAUAGAGACAAGCUAGACCCCCGAGUCAUAAAAAUUGUCUUUCUUGGUUACUCAUCCACUCAAAAAGGAUACAAGUGUUACAAUCCCACAACAAAAAUUUUUUACAUCUCUGCAGAUGUCACCUUCACAGAAAAUAAACCUUUUUUCCCAAAGUCCUAUUUUUAGGGGGAGAUUUCAAUGAUAGAAGAUAGUCCUGAGUCCUUUGAACCUCUUGACCUUCCUCAUGUCUCAACCCAUGGUGAUGAAAUACCUAAGUCAUCCGAGUCAAUCACACUUGAGUCACCCAAUUUUACCACUAAACCCGUGUCAUCUAAUGUUCCAGCCAGUGUCACUCACAAUUUUCCAUAGUUUCCUAAGGUGUAUUCAAGGGAAAAGGCCAUUCCAGAACAAAAGUAUGUCCAAAAAUCCAACUUAGACCCUGGGAAUGAAAUCACGCUAAGAUCAGACCCACCUUUACAUACACAACCUGGUGAAACUUCUACUAACUCAACCUAGACCUAGACCUUCCCAUUGCUAUCAGAAAAGGCACCAGAGAAUGCACUAAUUGACCACUCUAUCCACUAUCACACUAUGUGUCUCUUAAGCACCUAUCACUAGCCCACAAAAAUUUAAUUGUGAGUCUAAACACCACUAUCAUCCCUAACACUGUUUCUAAGGCAUUGACAAAAAGGGAAUGAAAUGAUGCUAUGAGAGAGGAGAUGAGUGCCUUAGAAAAGAAUAAAACAUGGGAGAUUGUUGAAAGACCGAAAGGGAAAAACAUUGUUGAUUGCAAGUGGAUUUUCACACUGAAAUAUAAGACUGAUGGAUCUCUUGAGAGACAUAAAGCAAGAUUAGUAGCCAAAGGGUACACUCAAACUUAUGGAGUAGAUUAUCAGGAGACUUUUGCUCCAGUUGCAAAAAUAAAUGCUAUAAGAAUCCUACUGUCAUUGGCUGCCCACUACAAUUUGGAACUCCUAUAGUAUGAUGUUAAGAAUGCAUUUCUUCAUGAUGAUUUAGAUGAAGAGAUUUACAUGAACAUCCCCCCGAGAUUUGAGGGAAACACGGGUAAUAAGGUGUGCAAGCUAAAAAAGGCCCUUUAUGGGCUAAAACAAUCUCCUAGGGCUUGGUUUGGGAGAUUUGCAAAAGUCAUGAAAGAGUCUGGGUACAAACAAAGCCAAGGUGACCACACUCUCUUCAUUAAGCACUCGGUUGCAGGGGGAGUAACUGCUCUUCUAGUCUAUGUUGAUGACAUCAUAGUGACUGGAAAUGAUGAGAGAGAAAAACAUGAAGUGAAGCAGAGAUUAGCAAUAAAGUUUGAAAUAAAGGAACUAGGGAAACUAAAGUACUUCCUUGGUAUUGAGGUGGCAUAUUCCACACAAGGGAUCUUCAUCUCUCAACAAAAAGUAUGUGAAUGAUUUAUUGGCAGAAACAGGGAAGAUUGGGUGUAAACCAGUGUCUACCCCAAUGGAUCCAAACCACAAGUUGGGAGAAGCUAAAGAAGAACUAGUGGUGGAUAAAGAAUGUACCAGAGGCUGGUUGGUAGGCUCAUAUACCUUGUUCACACUUGGCCAGACAUCGCCUACUCGGUGAGCAUGAUCAGUCAAUUCAUGCAUGCUACAAGAGAACCUCAUCUUCAAGCUGCUUAUAGGGUGCUGCAUUACUUGAAAGGCAACCUCGGGAAAGGAAUUUUGUUCAAGAAGAACAAUACUCUUGCUCUAGAGUAUACACUGACGCUGACUAUGCAAGUUCCUUAGUGGAUCGAAGAUCAACUACAGGGUAUUGUACUUUUCUUGGAGGUAAUUAGGUAACAUGGAGAAGUAAAAAGUAGAAUGUGGUAGCAAAAUCGUCUGUAGAAUCAAAGUUUAGGGUCAUUGCUCAAGGGUUGUGUGAACUACUUUGGCUGAAGAUUAUUCUAGAUGAUUUGAGAAUCAAGUGGGAUGGUCCUAUGAAACUCUAUUGUGAUAACAAGUCAACUAUCAAUAUUGCUCAUAACCCUAUACUACACGAUAGGACAAAACAAAAUAAGAUCGAUAGGCAUUUCAUCAAAGAAAAAUUGGAGAAAGGAGUAGUGUGUAUGUCCUAUGUUGCAUCAGAACAUCAAUUAGUUGAUAUCCUAACAAAAGGGCUGAACAGUUCAAUGUUUCACAGUCUUGUAUUCAAGCUGGGAAUGGAAGACAUCUAUUCCUCAGCUUGAGGGGGAGUGUUGAGCUAUAAAUAGAUAGGAGAAUUAUUUUCCUAUUAUGUUAGUUUCCUAUUUAUGUAAAUAGAUAGUUUUAUUAGUUUCCUAAUUCUGUAAAUAGAUAGUUUUAUUAGUUUUCUAUUUCUAUAAAUAGAUAGUUUUAUGAUUUAGGAAUAAAUUAGUUUUCUAUUAUGUCUCUUGUUUUCUAUUUCUUCUCUUGUAAUCUUCUAUAUAAACUGUGUGUAUGGUCAAUCUAAGAGACAAAAAUUAUUAUUUUCCAUCCCAUAUUUCGUAUCAAGAUGCAUGCCAUAAAAAUGGUAAGAUGAACAACAACAAGCCAAGCAACAAAAAAAAAAAAAAAAUGGAGUUUUUCCACCUUGUCCUCAUUGCAAGAAGACAAAUCAUUCUCCACAAAAAUGUUGGUGGAGACCAGAUGUGAAAUGCAACAAGUGUGGUAAACAAGGACAUGUGAAGAGGAUUUGCAAAAAUCAACAACAAAAAGAAACUAGUGCAACAAUUGACUAUUGUCAAGAGGAGCAAUUAUUUGCAGCAACGUGUUUUGCUAAUAAAAGCACCUCUGAAAGCUAGCUUGUGGAUAGUAGUUGUACAAACCACAUGACAAAUAAUCAAGAUCUCUUUAGAGAACUUGAUAGAACAACUAUUUCCAAAGUCAGAAUUGGAAAUGGUGAGUAUAUUCCAGUUAAGGGCAAAUGAACGGUUGCUAUCAAAAGCCAAAUAGGUUUGAAACUCAUUUAUGAUGUUUUGUUUAUGCUUGACGUUGACCAAAACUUACUCAGUGUUGGACAGCUCGUUGAGAAAUGAUUUAAAGUUUAUUUUGAAGAUAGGAAUUGCAUUAUCAAGGAUGUUGAAGGCAAAGAGGUGUUUAACAUAAAAAUGAAGGGCACGAGUUUUGCCUUGAAUUUACUAUAAGAUGAGCAUGCUGCUAUUUUACAACAAUAUAGCACAACAAUGCUUUGGCACAGAAGGCUUGGGCACUUUCAUCAUGAUGUUGUGCUCUACAUGAAGAAAAAUAAAAUAGCUGAAAGACUUCCCGACUUAGAAAAAGAUCUUCCUAUAACUGCUACUUGUCAAUAUGGGAAGCAAACUAAACUUUCCUUUCCAAAGAAAACAUCCUAGAGAGCAACCCAAAAAUUGCAACUAGUGCAUACUGAUAUUGGUGGACCUCAAAAGACGUCAUCCUUGAAAGGGAAUGUAGGCAUUGUUCACCAGCUCACUGCACCAUAUAAUCCACAACAAAAUGGAGUCGUAAAGAGAAAAAAUAGAACGAUUUUGGAGAUAACAAAAUGCCUUCUGCAUGAAAAAGAUCUACCUAAAGUUUUUUGGGCUGAAGCUACAAGUACAGUAGUAUAUUUGCUUAACAAAUUGCCAACAAAAACGUUAAAGAAGCAGACCCCUUUUGAAGUUUGGUUUGAGUUUCUACGUGGAAGACUUGGAGUUUGCAUCUACUAAGUCAAGAAGGAGUGUUGAAUUUUGACCUAGUAUCUACUAGAAUUUGAAUUUUGAAGUUAAAUAUUGCAGUUGGAGUCUUGCACAAAAUCUAUAACAUCCAAAUAUUUUCUUGUUUUUAUUUGGUCAAGAUUUGGUUUCUAUUUUAUAGGAAGUAGUUGUUCAUCAUCUAGUAGCUUGAUUUUAUGCUAUUCUAAUGUCAUUUCAGUUACAAGCUCAUGUAUAAAUUCAACACUCUUCAUCAAUAAAAUGUGUGUUCCAGCAACCCAAAAUAUAUAUUCUGCAUAAGUGUUUAAAUCUUAGACCAACACAUCCUCGUCACUAGUAGUUGUGCCUCUCAGGUUACCUUUUUUAUCUCUCAGCUCAGCUCCACCUUUGCUCUUCAUGAUCUUGGUUCCCUUUACUAUUUCUUUGGCAUUGGGGUUUCUCAUAGUACUGAUUCUCUUCAUCUCUGCCAACAAAAAUAUGUGAAUGACCUGCUCACUCGUACUGCCAUAACUGAUGCUAAACUUGUUCUUACAUUGGGUUCCUUGGCCAAACCUCUCUCUCUCACUGACGGUGAUCUACUUCAUAUCAUAACAUUGUUGGCGCAUUACAGUAUGUUACUGUUACAUGUCCAAACCUUUCUUUUGCAGUUAACAAGGUAUGCCAGUUUAUGGCUUCCCAACGACUACCCACUAGCUAGCUUUCAAGAAUAUAAAAAGUAGUUAAAAAUAAAAUAAAAAUAUAGACUUAAAAUAAAAAAUAAAUUAAAAAUGAAUAAUUAAAAAUUUUAAAAAUGAUAAAUAUUUUUUUUUUUUUUAAAGUUUUCAAAAAAAUCUCAGAUAUUUUCAGAUAUAUCGGCAAUGUAUCCGAUAUAUCUCUAAUAUUUUGAUAGACUUCCUCUAUUGCUUUGUGCGUCACUUCACACUCGAUUUUUUCGCCGAUUUAUCGAUUUCAAAUUAACCGAAAUAUCAACAUAUUUCGGGGAUUUUUCUGAUAUUCCUCCGUUCAAUAAUGUUGCUUAAUAUCCUUUUAGGGUAGUCCGAUAUCCGAUAUAUUGGCGAAAUAUCACCGAUAAAAACCGAUUUUUCAAUCCAUGCUUAAUAGUGGGUUUCCCUUUUGUUUGGCCUCUUGUAGACCCCCAUUUUGGGGCUCGGUUUUUUUUAUCUCUAUUUUCUUUGUAGGUGUCACCACCCCAGGGAGCCAUGCGUCGCCUCUUUGGUGGUUGAUAGGGAAUCAACAUUGCUUUUCGGGGACCUAUGGUAGGUUGACACGUGGAAGAAUAUUCUGGAGAGCUAAUUUCCGUUAUGGGGGAGCAUAUGAGAGAGGAUAUUCUGCAGGCAUUUUGAUUCUCACAUGUGCAUGAUCACUUUGAGUAUUCAUUGAUUUCCGCAUCAAUUGUCACAUCAGCUUCAUUUUAUUUGUAGAGACCCGACUUUAGGGACUUAGAGGGGUGCUACGGUCUUUACCGUACCUUCCCGAUAAGUAAUCUGACCCCCGAGCUCAAUCCAGUUUUUCACGGACCACCUUUUCCAAAUAAGGAGUCACACUUAGGGUUUUCUUUCUUAUUUUAUUUACCCUUUAAAAAUAAAACAAAAUUAAGUGGCGACUCCAAGUCAUUUUUCUUAAUCAGUAAAAUCAUUUUCAAAAUAAAAAUUGAGCUCGCCAUCGAGUGAAAAACGCAUUAGCUGAAAUGCGGGGUCCACACCUCUGUUUUUUUUAUAAAAAAAAAAAAAAAUCCUUUCCCAUUCUAUGGCCUUGAGUGAGCAUUACGUAUUUCAACUAUUUUGACAUGUUCAAAAUAAAAUACUAAGAAUUUAAAGGGAAUUUGUUCGACAAGUACUUUUUUUUUAACAUAUUUAUUUAUACAUUAUUUAGUUUAGGUUGCAUUAUUCUAUGUAAAUAAUUUAUUGGGUAUGGGAAUUAUUUUUAUAAAUGGCUGAGUAGAUUCAAUUUUAGAUAUUUAUUUAUUGAUCAUGAAAAAUAUUUAUUAAAACAUGGUUUAACAACCAUGCGAUGGAAUCAACCUAUUAAAAAAAAUAAACUAAUACUAUAUUAUUUUAACUUAAAUUAUUUCUUGAUGGUAGCAAUGUUGAAAAAACAAAUAUCAAUAAAGACUAAUCUUAACGAGAAAAUAGUAAUUAACAUAAUUUUAUAUUAACUUGUAAAAUUGGGUCAACAUAUAAAUAUAUUAAUUGUAACAAGAAGACCUACAUUGAUAAUGAAACGUCAAUAUUAGUCUAUAUUGCCAACUUUGAAAUAUUAAUAUAUGUAUAUAGCAUAUGUUUUCAUGAUUAGGAAUUAGAGAAAAUUUUGUAGAAGAUUUUUCCAAAUUUGAAAAUAACUAUGGAAGAAAUUCAACUUAAACACGUUUCUUUGUGGAAGAGUUGCAUGUCUACUCAAGUCUCAGCAUGUUCCCUAGCCCAAAUUUCUAAACCCAAAAAUCACCCUGUGGCAAGCUUGAAGGUAAUUCAAUGAAAAUAUGCUUAAAGCUCAACGGCUAAUUUACUUAUUUGGAAGUCAUUUUUCUCUAUGUGUUGGAUGAUAAAAUUUGUUGGUCUAGGUUACACGUUCCUGCAAAGAAGAGCAGACGGAGGAUCUGAAAAAUGAAUUGAAACUGGAAUUAAUACGUAGUGUUAUUAUAUAUCGAUGGAAAUUAGUUUAAAGUUGGAUAUAUUAAUACUUAGGAUGUUUGGUAAAACUUAAUACUUAUUAUUUAAUUAUUUGAGUUGACUUUAAAUUAAAUUAUACUUAAAUUACUUACUUAAAACUUAUUACUUUAAGUAUUAAGAUAUAAAAUUAACUUAAAGUUUAUUUAAAAUCAUUAAGUUGACAUAUUUAUUCUUAUAAAUUAUAAUUAGAAUAGAAAAAGUUGAGUUUAUAGAGUUGUAAAAGAGAUCAUGAAGGUAAUUAAGACAAAUAAAGAUAAAAAGAUAAAAUGAAAAUAUAAAAUUAAAAAUAAAUUAAUUAUUUUUACUUAUUAUUUAAAGUUAUUUUUUUUACUUUAAAUCAUAUUAUCAAGUUAUUUUAUUAAAUAUGCUUAAUUUACUUAAUGACUUAAAUUAAGUUAUUAAAUUAUUUUAAGUUAUUAAGUUGAUUUAUCAAAUUUCUACUUAUUGAAUACAAAUAUAGAAGGAAAUUAGGAAAGCAAAGUAGAUGGGUUAUUAGGUGAAAGCUUAUCAAAUCCGCCUAUCAACAUAUCACACUUUUACCAAAAACCCACCUCAUGCCAAGCCUAUAAGUUGUCAAGUCCUUAUGAUCCAACAACUUUCUUAUGGUUCCCACACGGAUUUCUAUUGUUAUCAAAACAAAAAGUUUAUAAUAAAAUAUAUAUAUAUAUAUAUAUAUAUAUAUAUAUAUAUAUAUAUAUUAUAAUUCAUAAAUAAUCUGACAAUUAAAUAAAAAGAUAAACUCAUUUGUGGAAUAUAAUUAAUAAAAAAAAAAGAGAAGUGUUAAGAGUUUUAAAUUAUUAUUAUUUUAUAUUUUUUAUAUUUUAAAUAAAUAUAAUUAAAAUAAUGGAUAAAAAAUGUGCACUUUGUACCUUCAACCUAUAAGAGUUGUAAUAUUUUCAAGUUGGUAUUCUUUAACAUAAGUCAAAUUCUAACUUAUUCAACUUUGACAAUUUUAACCUAAUCCUCAUAUUGGUACAAAUUAGACUAUUCUACCUUAUUUAAGUUUUAGUCCUAAAAAAAUCAUGAGAAUUAUGGACCGAAUGAUGUAUAUUAAAUUUCUAAGAUUCAUAUUUUAAAAUUAAUAAAAUUGAAGUAUUUUCCUUCUGGAGAUUAUUUAUUAUGAUUUAUCUUUACUUUAAUUAAUUAAUUAAUAUAUAUAUAUAUAUAUAUAUAUAUAUUUCAUUGGUAGAAUUGUCCUUAAUGGCCUUUGUACAUAGAGUACAUUCCUGGUCAUAAGAAUACGUGUCAAAUAUAAAUAUGCUUUUCAAAUUUAAUCAUUCUUAUUAUAAGUUUAUUAUUAUUAUUAUUAUUUUAUUAUAUACCUUGUAAAAAUAAAAGUUAUGAUCUUACGUAAGGUCGCAAUUUGAAGUUCAAGUUCAUUAAACUGUGCAGAGUUUAGCUUUCUAUAUAUAUAUAUAAAGAAUCAAUUCCAUCAAUUCAUUAUUUUUUAAGAAUUGAAAAUUACAUAAAUAUUGAUGGUUAUAUUUUACAAAAACAUUGAAACAAAACAAUAAUAUAUUAUUAAAGUUGUUUUACUAAAUAAAAUAAUAUAAUCAUCGUUAUAUAUAUUCUUGUACUUUGUUUAUUAACAAUUUUAUUAUAUUUUCAUUUUAACUUAAGAUAAAGACAAAGGGUUGAAUUGAAAAUUUUAAUUUGCAUAAUUUAAUUAAUUUGAAAAGAAUUUUAAAUUGAGAAUUUGAAAAACAAAUUCCAAAUAAUAAAAAUAAUUUGGAAAUGAAUUUUAAAUUAAGGAUUUAAAAUUUAAAAUUUGCAAAAGGAAAUUUUUUAUAAAUCUUUUCUAAUUUUAAAUAUGAAAUAUUUCCAAAUCUUUUUAAAACUCUUAAGUUUCUAAAUUGUUUUUCAUAAAAUAUAAUCUUUAAAUUAAUUGCAACUAUAUAAAGUUUUCUCCUAUAUAUAUCCUACCUAAAUGUAUAUUUGAUGACGGUCUGACUUGUUUUUCUAUUCUUAAUCUCUAAAGAAAGAAUUCAUUACAAGUACCUACAUCCCCUCAGAAGCUUAGAGGAGUUAGAGCAUUUGGAGGUACUACAUUGUGGAUGUGGAUUAAGGUGUAGGUUCUAGCUAGUGAAUCAUUAAGGUAAAACGGUUAUUAAAUAUGUGUACUUUAAUUUCAAAUAGUGGAUUAUAAAUUAGAGGUUUUAAAUCUUGUGAUUUUUUAUGCCCACAAUUAGCAUUGAUAUUUUCAAAUUAAAAUUUCUUGUGUCCCUUAUUUGAUUAUUUUUAUUAUUUUGAUUAUCCCUAUUAUCUCUUAGUUUAAAUUGAGUUAAUAUUAUUUAACUCUUAUAUUAUUUUCUUUAAAAAUCACCCCACUCUCAAUGUCAUCCUCUUGGACAAAAGCGUGUAUAUAUAUAUAUAUAAUUCACAAAUCUUGAAAAUAUAUUUAAUAUUAAAAUAUCAUUCCAUGUAAUUUGGAAGUAUUCAAAGAUGUAAAAGAUAUGAUAAUAUAUGUAUAAUUAUUUUUUAUUUAAAAAUAUUAAUAAUUACAUUUGCAACUUUAUUUUGUCCUCAUUAUUUAAUUAAUAUACAAAAAGAUAUGGGAAUAGAAUUAUCAAAAGAAUUGUCAUAAUAAAGCUUUAUAUUCUUCAUAAUAAGUUAAAUUAAGGUGAUAUUUAUUUAUUUUACUUAAAUCUAAAUAAAAAUUAAUUUAACUUAAUUGUAAAUAUAACUUAAUAGAAUUAAUUAUUAUAUUUUUUUGUUUUUUAUAAUUUUAUUUUUGUUAAGCGUUAAAUAUUAAUUGGGUGAGAGUCCUACUAAGGUUGUGCUUUGACUUAUUCAAAAAAUUAUUUUUAGUAAUGAGCAAAAAGUUAAAUAUUUUACUUUUAUCUAUUCAUUAAAAAAAUCUUAAAAAUUAAUUUUUUUUUUGUUUUAUUUAAAAUAGUGAAUGGAGUUUGAGUCGAAUUUUAAUUAUUUGGUAAAAUAAUAAAAUUAGUUUUUUAUUUAAAAGAAAAAAUAAAGGUAAGUCAAAGAUAUAAAGAUAAUUAUUUUAUUUUAAAUAAGAAAGAUUCAAAUAAAUAAAAAAAGAAAAAGUUAAUGAGCUACAAAUUUUAGGAUUAAUUGAUUAAAAUGGGUGAAAAUAUCUCAAAUUUGUAAAACUAAUCUCUUCCAUUUUUUAACUUAAAGAGUAACACUUGUUUGACAUAAAUACCCUUCAACAUUUUCAUUAUUUACAUAUGUAUUUUAAAAGAAAAUGUAAUUUUUGUAAGAAAAAAGUGAGAGUAUUCUUAUGUAUUUUUUGGAUGAAAAAAAAUGGUUUGCAAUUUGAUAUUUCUUUUGUCCUUUUUAAUCGGUUAUCCCCAAAUUUUUUUUACGGAAAAUACAAAUUCUAAAAAUAUUUGGUUUUAUUGCUAUUUUUAAAUUUAAAUAUAUUUUUACCUUAAUUAUAUUUUUAUUUCAAAAUAAUUGAUGAUGAUUUAGUUGAAUUCUAACAUUUAAUGGAGUUUUAGUUGAAUUCUAACACUAUAAUAUAAAGUGACCCGAUAAAAUUAUAAAAUCAAUUUUAUUUAAAAAUAAAUAAAGUUGAGUUAAAAAUAGUAUUAAAUAAAUUAAAUUUUAAAAAUAAAAUUUAAUAGUUUUACCUUAAAUAAAAAAUAUUAAAAGAAAAAAUAAUUAGAUAGAUAGGCUUUAAAUUUUAUUAAGAGAAACAUAAAUUUUUUUUUUUAAAAUUGUUUUUAUUUAUUUUCAAUUUUAAAAUUUUAUUUCUAUUUUUUAUUUAAAUGUAUUUUCAAAUUUUAUCUAAAAAUAGUUAAUAGAGUUUUGGUUGAAUUUUAAGACUAUAAGAUAAGCGAAUAGUUGAAAUUAUAAAAUGAAAUUUUUUAUUAAAAUGAAAAGAAAGUUAAGUUAAAGAUACUAUAAAUUAUGAUUAGAAGAAUGAAAAUCAAUAUAAAAAAAAAAAUGGUUUUAUCUUAAAUUAGAAAUAUUUAAAAAAAAAAAGAAUAAUGUAUUGAAAAAUAUAACUUUGUGGUAGAAGAGCAAUGACUAUGCUCUUUUGAAUACCCUAGUUUAUGUUCAUUUUUUAAAAUUUAAAAAGAAUAAACAUCUUUUAGAUAUUAACAAAAAUAAAUUUAAAUAGAUUCUUUAACAUAAAACCUAAAAAACAUUUGUUGUUGGCCAAAAAAUCCAACUAUGAGCCCUUUUAUGACAAGUGAAACUUCCAAAUCUUCUGAAGAGUUUUUUAUCUUAGUAUUAAAAUCUAAAAGCAGAAUAUUUAUACUAUGAGUUGUCUUUUUAACAACUAAUUUAUUUUAUUAAAUGUAAUAAUAUACAUUAAUAUGUUGUAAAUGAAAAGUAAUGAAUGACCACAUUGAUGGCCAUUAUGAACUCCAUUUACUCAUCUUUAAGAUGAGUAAUGGGAGUUCAUAUUAUGAAGCCUAUAAAAGGCUUCUUACCCCCCCAUGUAAAAGGAUCCCGAGAAAAGAAAGAAAGUUCUUCCUCUCAUUCUCUCUCUCUCUCUUUCUUUCACUUUCUCGAUUCUCUUAUUUGAUUCCUUCUUCCAUAUUAUAUAUCAAAGUAAGAUAUAUUUUAUCUCUACUACUUUGAUUUGCAUUAUAUUUGUCCUUGUUUUACAACACGUUAUCAGCACGAAUUGCUCUGAAGGUAAUUCUCGUAUCUUAAACUUGAAGUUAUUUAUAUAAAAUAAAAUUUUACAUAUUUAUAUUAUUGUUGAUUUGUUUUGUUACAUAUUGUUAAAAGUUAUAAACAAAUUAUUUGAUUUUGUUUAUAAUCAAAGUUAUACCAAUGCUAUCAAGUUAUUAUAACUGAUUUUAAUAAUAUUGUUUUGUCAUAUAUAUGAAGUUAUUUGACAAUGUCGAAUAUUACAAAACUCGAAUUUGUGGCACUUGACAUUUCGGGAAAGAACUAUCUAUCUUGGAUCCUUGAUGCUGAAUUACAUCUUGAUGCAAUGAACCUUGGAGCUACGAUCAAACAAGGAAAUCAAGCAUCCCUGCAGGAUCGCGCAAAAGCAUUGAUUUUCCUUCAUCAUCACCUCCAUGAAGGUUUAAAAAAUGAGUAUCUUACGGUAAAGGACCCUUUUACUCUAUGGAGUAAUUUGAAAGAAAGAUAUGACCACUAGAAAACUGUGAUUCUCCCAAAAGCUCGAUAUGAUUGGAUGCACCUAAGGUUGCAAGAUUUUAAAACUGUUAGUGAAUACAACUCUGCACUUUUCAAAAUCAGCUCUCAAUUAAAGCUGUGUGGAGAAAAAAUCACAGAGGAAGACAUGUUAGAGAAAACUUUUACUACGUUUCAUGCCUCGAAUGUGCUCCUGCAGCAGUAAUAUCGAGAGCGUAGAUUUACAAAAUAUUCUGAAUUAAUAUCAUGUCUUCUUGUUGCUGAACAAAAUAAUGAGCUUUUGAUGAGAAAUCACCAGUCUCGUCCAACUGGAUCUGAACCAUUCCCUGAAGUGAAUGCAAUAUCGUCCCAAACUCGUGGACGUGGACGAGGACGAGGACGUGGUCGUGGUCAUGGAAGAAAUCCUCGAUACCAUGGUUCUUAUAGUAAUAAUUCUCAUAAAAUGAAAGCCUCAUUGCACCACCAGAAGUGGAACAAUACUGAGACAAUACAAGAAAAUGGGAAGCGUUUACAAGAUAAACCUCCUAAGAACCAUGAGAAUAAUUGUUAUAUAUGUGGUAUGAAGGGGCAUUGGUCGCGUACCUGUCGUACGCCCAAACAUUUGGUCGACCUUUACCAAGCAUCAAUAAAAGCUAAAGGAAAAGAGAUAGAGAUGAACUUUACCGAUGGUGAUGGAUUGGACCUAACCUACUAUGACAUUGAUUUCUUUGGAGGUCCCAAUGAAAAACCAGACCAUUUGAUAAAUGAUGAAAAAAUUAACAUUGAUUGAUGUUACUCUAUAUAUACAAUAAUAUAUUAUUAUGUCUUAUAUUUACAUCUGAUUUACUUUGUUAUUUACAUUAUGCCUUUUUUUUUGUUAUAUCUGAAAUCCAUGUGUUAUUUGGUCUCAAGAUGAAUGAGGAUGAUGUAUGUCUCGCAGACUGUGCGACCACGCACACAAUUCUUCAAGAUAAAAGAUAUUUCCUUGAAUUGACAUUAAUAAAAGCUAAUGUAAGUACCAUAUCUGGUACUACAAACUUAGUUGAAGGCUCUGGAAGAGCAAACAUAACAUUGCCAAAUGGAACUAGAUUCCAUAUAAAUGACGCGUUAUAUUCUAGCAAAUCCAGAAGAAAUUUGCUCAGUUUUAAAGAUAUCCGCAGAAAUGGAUAUCAUAUUGAAACUAUGAAUGAAGAUAAUGUAGAAUAUCUUUACAUUACUUCCAUUAUAUCUGGCCAGAAGCUUAUAAUGGAAAAAUUGCCGGCUUUUUCCUCUGGGUUGUAUCAUACAACUAUAAAGCCUAUUGAAUCAUAUGUUGUCGUGAACCAGAAGUUCAACGACCCAAAAGUUUUUGUCCUUUGNNNNNNNNNNNNNNNNNNNNNNNUGGUCACAUGUUUGUCUCCUUUCUACACGUAACGUAGCCUUUGCUAGACUCCUUGCACAAAUAAUCAGAUUACGAGCACAAUUUCCAGAUUAUCCAAUUAAGACAAUACGUCUUGAUAAUGCUGGCGAAUUUACUUCUCAAACAUUCAUUAACUAUUGCAUGUCAGUAGGGAUAAAUAUUGAGCAUCCUGUUGCUCAUACUCAUACCCAGAAUGGUUUAGCAGAAUCCUUCAUCAAACGUCUCCAAUUAAUAGCUCGACCAUUACUAAUGAAAACCAAAUUACCUACUUCCGCCUAGGGACAUGCUAUUAUGCAUGCUGCAGCUUUAGUCCGUAUUCGACCUUCAACUUACCAUGAAUACUCCCCUUCACAACUUGUGCUUGGAAAACAACCAAAUAUCUCUCACUUACGAAUCUUUGGUUGUGCAGUAUAUGUACCAAUUGCACCUACACAACGCACUAAAAUGGGUCCCCAACGAAGACUUGGGGUUUAUGUAGGUUUUGAUUCUCCAUCUAUCAUAAGAUAUCUUGAACCUUUGACUGGAGAUGUUUUUACAGCCCGCUUUGCAGAUUGUCAUUUUAAUGAGAGUGUUUUCCCAUCAUUAGGGAGAGAAAAGUCGAUUCUUGAAGAACGACGAGAAAUUAGUUGGAAGACAUCUACUAUGACCCAUCUUGAUUCUCGUACAAAUCAAUGUGAACUAGAAGUUCAAAGGAUCAUUCAUUUGCAAAAUCUUGCAAAUCAAUUACCAGAUGCAUUCAUUGAUACAAAGAAAGUGACAAAGUCACAUAUCCCGGCUGCAAAUACUCCAGCACAGAUUGAUGUCCCUGUAGGACAGUUAACAAAUGAAUCUAAGAUACGCCUGAAGCGUGGUAGACCUGUCGGCUCAAAGGAUGUAACUCCCCGGAAGAGGAGAACCCAAGAAAAACUUGGCACUCUAGAAGAUGCCAUCAAAAUGACUGAUCAGUUUAAAAUUGAUAAAUCUAUAGCCCUAGAAGAGGCACAAAUAAUGCAGAAAGCCCCUGAAGAGGUAAAUAUUGAACAAGAAGCCCCCGAAGAGGCACAUAUUGAACAAGAAACCCCUGAAGAUCCACAUAUUGAACGAGAAGCCCCUGAAGAGGCACAGGUACCUGAAAAUUGUGAGAUCUCAGUAAGUUAUGUACAAACGGGAGAAAAAUGGGAUUGAAAUAAUAUUGUUAUUAACAAUAUUUUUGCUUUCCAAGUGACCUUUGAUAUCAUAAGAAAUGAUGAAGAUCCCGAACCACGAAAUGUGGAAGAAUGUCGACAUAGAAAUGAUUGGCCAAAAUGGAAAGAAGCUAUACAGGCAGAAUUAAACUCAUUAACAAAACGAGAAGUUUUUGGACCUGUAGUCCAAACACCUGAAGAUGUAAAGCCUGUUGGGUACAAAUGGGUAUUUGUACGAAAGCGCAAUGAGAAUAAUGAGAUCAUAAGAUAUAAAGCGCGAUUAGUGGCACAAGGUUUCUCGCAGAGACCUGGUAUUGACUACGAGGAAACAUAUUCUCCCGUCAUGGACGUAAUCACAUUUCGUUUCUUAAUUAGUUUGGCAGUCUCAAAAGGACUGGAUAUGCGUCUCAUGGAUGUUAUUACAUCAUAUUUAUACGGAUCCAUGGAUAAUGAUAUAUACAUGAAAAUCCCCAAAGGAUUUAAAUUGCCUGAUGCAAAUAAUACAAAGCCUCGUAGCAUGUACUCAAUCAAGUUACAACGAUCCUUGUAUGGAUUAAAGCAAUCUGGACGCAUGUGGUACAAUCGCCUUAGUGAAUACUUGCUAAAAGAAGGGUAUGUGAAUAACCCUAUAUGCCCAUGCAUCUUCAUUAAGAAAUCAGAAACCGGAUUUGCAAUUAUUGCAGUGUAUGUGGAUAACUUAAAUCUUGUUGGAACUCCUGAAGAGCUCACAAGAACAACAAAUUACUUGAAAAAGGAAUUUGAGAUGAAAGAUCUUGGAAAAACAAAAUUUUGUCUCGGCCUGCAGAUCGAGCAUUUUCCAAAUGGAAUUUUAGUACAUCAAUCAACAUACAUUAAGAAAGUUUUGAAGCGUUUUUAUAUGGAUAAAGCGCAUCCUUUAAGUUCUCCAAUGGUUGUCUGAUCACUUGAUGUGAAAAAAGACCCAUUUCGUCCUUGCGAAAAGGAUGAAGAGUUGCUUGGUCCUGAAGUACCAUAUCUUAGUGCUAUUGGUGCACUUAUGUAUCUUGCCAAUUGUACACGUCCAGACAUUGCUUUUUCUGUCAAUUUAUUAGCAAGAUACAGUUCCGCUCCAACUCGAAGACAUUGGAAUGGUAUCAAACAUAUAUUACGUUAUCUUCGCGGAACUACUGAUAUGGGUUUAUUUUACUCAAGGGAAUCAAAGCAACAAUUGCUUGGAUAUGCAGAUGCAGGAUAUCUUUCAGAUCCACAUAAAGGCAGGUCACAAACAGGGUAUGUGUUUAAUUGUAAUGGUACUGCUAUUUCAUGGAGAUCUGUCAAACAAACAAUGGUAGCCACAUCAUCAAAUCAUUCAGAAAUACUGGCAAUUCAUGAAGCAAGUCGUGAAUGUAUAUGGCUAAGAUCUAUGAUCCAACAUAUUCGGGAAUCAUGUGGACUCUCCUCUAUCAAAGGUGACCCGACAACAUUAUUUGAAGAUAAUGUUGCAUGCAUUGCACAAAUAACAGGGGGUUAUAUUAAAGGAGAUAGAACAAAACACAUUUCACCAAAAUUCUUUUAUACACAUGAACUCCAGAAGAGUGGUGAAAUUGAUGUGCAACAAAUACGCUCAAGUGAUAAUCUAGCAGAUUUAUUCACAAAAUCAUUGCCAACUUCAACAUUCAAGAAGUUAAUACACAGGAUUGGAAUGCGUCAACUCAAGGAUAUCGACAUGAGGGGGAGUAUGCUUGUAAAAGGGUGUUAGUGUACUAUACUCUUUUUUUCCUUCGUCCAGGUUUUGUCCUACUGAGUUUUACUGGCAAGGUUUUUAACGAGGCAGUCCUAAUAUGCCAAGAAAAGAAUAUUGUACUCUUUUUCCUUCGCUAGGUUUUUCCUAUAGGGUUUUUUACUAGCAAGGUUUUAAUGAGGCAUAUUCUUUUAAUAUGGUGGUCAUCCAAGGGGGAGUGUUGUAAAUGAAAAGUAAUGAAUGACCACAUUGAUGGCCAUUAUGAACUCCAUUUACUCAUCUUUAAGAUGAGUAAUGGGAGUUCAUAUUAUGAAGCCUAUAAAAGGCUUCUUACCCCCCAUGUAAAAGGAUCCCGAGAAAAGAAAGAAAACUCUUCCUCUCAUUCUCUCUCUCUCUCUUUCUUUCACUUUCUCAAUUCUCUUAUUUGAUUCCUUCUUCCAUAUUAUAUAUCAAAGUAAGAUAUAUUUUAUCUCUACUACUUUGAUUUGCAUUAUAUUUGUCCUUGUUUUACAACAAUAAAUUAUAGUUGAGUUUUUUUUUAAAAAAAAAUUGGCAUAUGCUUGUAUUACUUUGUUAGCUUGGAGGACGAAAAGCCUAUACAAAUAAUGAGUUGAAUGAAAUAAGAAGCGAGUAAAUUACAUGUAUCAAUGAAAUUGUAAUUUUUAGAUUACAGAAAUGAGUACAUGCAUUAAUAUAUAUGAAAAUAUAUAGUGAUUAUGAGAUUUGAGAAUCUAUUUAUUUUGAAUGAUGGGAAUUAAACUUCGUAAAAUUUCAAUGUAGAUCGGAAGUAAAUUUUUUUGUUACUUGAAAUAUUCACAACUUCUUUCCUGUAGUGAUGUUAUUUUGUAAUAGAACUUCCCUGGACAAUCGUUUUCAUGACUGGGAAUUGAAUUAGAGAAAAUUUUGUAGAAGAUUUUUUCAAAUUUGGAAAAAUCGCAUGUAGAAGAGUUGAAUUGGCAAGGAAAUCUACACACUCGUUGAACAGUCUAGGCCCACUUUUCCAAUCAGCCUAGCACGUUUUUUUGAAUUGAAUAACCACGGAUUGAUAUUGAUUGGAUCCAUUAUCAGUCAUUCAAUCCUAAAGCAUUCAUUUGUCAAACUCCAAGGAAUAUAGGUUUGGCCGAGUGAACAUUUCAAUACUAAACUUGUCCAAAUACAUUAAUUUGAUAUUUUUAGUAAAUAUGAUGCGCAAAAUGAAACCUACUUGGUCGAUAAUGACCUAGUGGUUAGGGCAAUCCCUCAAAAUUCAUAAAAAAAGAAGAUGCAAAUAGAAUCAAAUAGUAGUUCUUAUGUUAUUUUUUCAAAAAAUAGUUAUCGAGUCUGGAAAUGGGUAUUUUUCAUUUACGAAGCUUAAUCCUAUGGGAUUUAAUUUUCAUCGACUAGGAGAAUAAUUUGAUCCUAGCCACACCUAAUGUUAACGACUUGUUUAGGUAUUUUGAGUGAAGAGGACAACGGUUCCACACCGUGGGCCCCAAAACUGAACCAAAUCCCUCAUACUAUUCAACUACAUACUACCACUGCAUGCCAAGCCGUCUCUCUCAUACUUACCAAUUCUUUCUCUAGUCCAGAUUCUUAAACCCCAACAUUUGGGGUGACCAAUUUAUUACCUACACUCCCGAAGAAAGUUAAUUCAAUGAAAUUAUGUUUAUAUACUUAUUUGGAAGUUAUUUUUCUUAGGAUGAUAAAAUUUGCUGGUCUAGGUUACAAGUGCCUACAAAGAGGAGCAGAUUGAGGAUCUGAAAAAUGAAUUGAAAAUGGAAUUAUACAUGGUGUUGACUAUAAGAAUUUCAGUGGAUUCAAAAAGCCCCAAUUUAUACCUUAGCCGCCCCUAAUAGUUUCGGCUCUUGCUUCAUAAAUUUAGCCAAGGGACUCAUGAAAAAACUUUUUCUUUCACGUCAUCAAUCCCUUUCAUACACUACUUUCAACGUUUUUAUUUUACAUUAUCUUCAACAAUAGAACAUUUAGAAUAUCCUCUUGCGGAACAAGUUGCUCAUGCACUAAAGCAGCCCAUUAGAAAAGGUUUAGAGAGGCUAGAGGCAAGGUGGUAUAUGUCUAUCUACCAGGAUGAAACUUCGCAUGACACAACUUUACUAAAGCUGGCCAAGUUAGAUUUCAAUCUAGUGCAGUCCCUACACAAGGAGGAGCUAAGCAAUAUUGCUAGGUUUGCUUUCAAAUCACUAGCAGAUAUACCUAGUCACCUUCUCAUUUUACCAUGAGCUAAUUGUUUUAAUGAAUUUUAGGUGGUGGAAAGAAUUAGACUUUGCUACAAAGCUACCUUUUGCGAGAGAUAGAUUGGUGGAAGGCUACUUUUGGAUACUUGGGGUGUACUUUGAGCCUCAAUAUGUCCGGGCUAGACGAAUUCUAACCAAAACAAUUUCCAUGACAUCCAUUAUAGAUGAUAUAUAUGACGCAUAUGGCACAUUUGAAGAACUCGAGCUCUUCACCGAGGCCAUUGAGAGGUUUGAUUGAUGCAAAUUACCAACCUUCAUCAUUUAUACUGUAUGUGAUACUUAAAUCAAGCCUGGUUUUAUUUUCAGGUGGGAUAUUAAUAGCAUAGAUCACCUUCCAGAAUACAUGAAACACUGCUAUGUGGCACUCUUAGAUGUGUACAAAGAAAUUGAGGAAGAGAUGGAGAAAAAAGGAAACCAAUAUCGGGUUCAAUAUGCGAUAGAAGCGGUAGGACAUUCUGCAUCGACUUUGUUUUGUAUAGUAACAUAUCGUAAGGAUAUAGAUGUAACCUGAUUGAAUGUUUGACAGAUGAAAAACCUAGUUAGAGCUUAAUUUCAUGAGGCUAAAUGGUUCCAUGAAGGACGCAUACCAACAAUGGAAGAGUAUAUGAUAAUAAUAGGUUUAUCUUAGGGAAUCAAUAAUUAUUUUUGUAUGUUAUAAAGAUUACAUUUAUACUUGAAUUAUUUUUAAUUUAUUAUAUCAUAUAAAUUUUUUAUCUUAUAAUAUUGUAAAUUUUAAUUAUAUUAGGAAAUCAAUGAAUGCUUUUAUAACUAUUUAAAUGAUGUUAGUUAUGAGAUAAUUUUAUUUUAUUAUUGUUUUUUUACCUUAUUUACUUGUACCUAUUUUUUAAUAAUUUACAUAAUAUUUUUAUAAUUUUUAAAAUUUUCUAAUUAUCAUAUUUUUUUGUAUAUGACACUUAAAUCAAGCCUGGUUUUAUUUUCUGGUGGGAUGUUAACAGCAUAGAUCACCUUCCAGAAUACAUGAAACACUGCUAUGUGGCACUCUUAGAUGUGUACAAAGAAAUUGAGGAAGAGAUGGAGAAAGAAGGAAACCAAUAUCGGGUUCAAAAUGCGAUAGAAGCAGUAGGACAUUCUGCAUUGACUUUGUUUUGUAUAGUAACAUAUCGUAAGGAGAUAGAUGUAACUUGAUUGAAUGUUUGACAGAUGAAAAACCUAGUUAGAGCUUAUUUUCAUGAGGCUAAAUGGUUCCAUGAAGGAAGCAUACCAACAAUGGAAGAGUAUAUGGGGAUAGCACUGGUAACCUCAGGUUACUACAUGCUUACAACCAUGUCUUUCAUUGGUAUGGGAGAAAUUGUAACAAAGGAGGCCUUUGAUUGGGUGAUUAGUGACCCUAAGAUUAUCACAGCAUCAGCUGUAAUUUGCAGGCUCACGGAUGACAUCAGUUCAUAUAAGGUAUUGUGAAUAUAGUAUUUCUUGUUAAGCUAUAAUUUGACCUUGACCUUAAAGCUCAAUCAAUUAAACAUAUUUAUUGUACUCAUUUGUGCGAUUCUUUUUCUUGGUAUCCAUGAUUAAUUAACAAAGGUAUUGUUUUUUUUUUUUUGGAAAAAAAAAAAGAGAAGUUCAAAUUUAUUUUUUUCCUCUCUCUCUCUCUCUCUCCCUCCACACGCUCAUUAAUUUUAAUGUUAAGAUAUCAGCCCAAUUGACUUGAUUUAUAUUAACUUAAAACUUUUGUUCUAAUAGGUACCUUCAUAUAACGGUAAAGCCUUGAUUUUUAUAGGAGGUCAUGGAGGUGAACUGUGAACCUUACUGAUGUGUACCCAAACCAUACCAUUUAUUUAUAAUAUUGUCAUCAUAAUAUUUAAAUAUGGGACAUUUUAUGCAUUCAUUAUGUAGAUAUCCCUUUGUAAUAUACAUUCGUUGAGUUGGAGGAUGGUAACAUCGAUAUCCCUUUUUGUGUAAUGCAUAUCCAACAAACACACAUUGCAAUGCAUGGGAAGUUAACUUGGUGCGUUGGUGUUUAUGUAGAUGCACAAAUGCCACGCAACCAAAAACACGAGGAGGUAGAUUUGGGACAGUUGGGACAACUACGGCAUUAGUAAGAGUUUGGAGAGGUGUUUGGAAGUUAAUUGAGCUGGAAGGUACCCGAUUGAUCAAGUAUGCGGCAUGACUCGUGCCCAAUUGGUGUCUCAGCUGAUUUGUGUUCAGCUGGUGCUCCUUGAUUGAGGAAGUGAUCAACAAAAUUUAUACCUAUAACACCAUACACUAGGGUAGCAAAUACAAAGCUACUAUAGUAUAGUGGCUCUAAGGAUCGUUCACUGGGAAUGAUGAACAAGCAAUCAAGGAUACCAAUUCCAAGUGAAUUGGUUUUGUUUCAUUUCACGGUUAGCUUAAGGAAUAAAACACAAACUUUGAUUGGUAAAGGUUUAGACUUAAACUAACUAACUUAACAGAAGUUUGGAAUAAUUUAGGAAGAAAAGCAUUCCUUGGAGAAUUAGGUUCACUGGGGUGGUUCCUCAUGCAAAAGACAUAGCUCCGGUCAGAUGGUUCAUUUCCUCGCAUUAGAGAUUCAACUUAGAGUCAAUUCUCUAACCGGUGAUGUACAGAGACUCCUUCAAUUAGAUUUCACUUUAAUUCUCUCACUGAUACAACUUGCAAUGGUUCAUGCCUCUCACGAGCACUUACCAUUCAAGGUGAUCUUUAACCUUGGAUUCCCCUUCACAAACUCGCAAGAGAUAACUAAUGGAUGUCUCCUAGGAGUCCAAAAGCUUACCAAGUGUUGGUAAUUCCAGAAAAUCCUACCUUGAAGUCACCUACCAAAGGCUCGCAAGGGGUAAACUAGUGCAUUUCCACGGUUAGAAAUCACUUGCCUUACCAAGUGUUGGCCCAGGUGACUCCAAAGUGUUUUAAGUUAACUAAAAACAUUGAAAUCACUAAAGGAUUUCACUUCCUCUUCAUUACUAGCUAAAACCACAAAGCUUUGCAUUCUUGCACUUGGAACCUUCCCCGGCAACCUUAGCUCCAAGGAAUUGGAGGUUUAGUUACUCAUUCUCUGGGGAAAACUCCUCAGAGAAUUCAUAACUUAGAAAUAAAAUGAAAAUAUAAAGUGAGAAGGUAAGGCAGUAGAAAGAAAAGACUUUUACUUGCUUACCAAAAAACGAUUACAGAAGGAACUCCUCUCUGAGAACAUGCUCUCGAGAGGUAUUUAUAUUAAAGCAAUAUAAAACUAAUUCUUACACUGAUAUUUGGUCUUUUUACUAACUUAAAAACUAAGGAAUCAUGUAAUUGGUGGUUUACAAGGAGUAUUUUGGAAUUUAGACAACAAAAAUCUAAUGGAAAAUAUCUCCCAAUGUCGGUAGCAAGCUUCGGGAGGCUUCAGGAGCCAUUUCGCAGGAGAAAAGUGGUGCCUGCGAAAUUUCGCAGACACCCAAGAGGGCUGCGAAAUUAUUUCGCAAGACCAAGCUAUCUUCACCAGGCUGCAAAGUUGGCUUCCAUCUUGAAGUUUCCAGCUCCCUUCUCGCGGCAUGGUUCGUGCAUCGUCAGAAGGAGAAACACCUUACUGUACAAAAGCGUUGCGAAAAUCUCGCAACAAAAGGCUGAUUCCGCAGCACUUUAGAGUGACUGGCUUGUAAUGGCUGCAACUUCUUCGUUUCAACUCCAAAUCGCGCACCGUUUGAAGCAUUGGAUUGUUGACUUCCUGAGCUUUGAAAUGGUAUAUAGCUUGCAUCAUUUGGACUUCAGAAAGUGCUCCAAAAGUGGCUGCUACGACUGUCAUCAAGAAUAGGCUUCAUGACUGAUCCUCUUUGCUUUUUCUCCUUGCAAUCCGGAUUCACUCUUGGCAAUUGAAUUCUAAGCUUUUCCCAUGAUUCCUCAUAGCUCUCCUCAUUCUUGACUUGCUUUGGUGAUCAAAAUACUAACAAAAACACCAAAACUUGCACAAAGUGAUCAAAAUUGCUUUAAAGGAUCCUUAACAUGCCAAUUGAGUUAAAAGGCCUAAACUACUACUCAAAAGUGUUAAAAAGGAUUAAUUAAAGGCUAUCAAAUAGCACUUUUUGAGUAGUAAUCACGGCAGAUGUGAUUGCUUCUCCCCAAUAAGAUAUCGAUGUUUUUGCUGCUAUCAAGUAAGCACGAACAACCUCUAACAAGUGCCGAUUUUUUCGUUCAGCACAACCCGAGCCUUACUCUUUCAAGGGAAUGUUCCUAAGUCCUAUUGAGGAGAAGUUGUUCUUACUGCCACAUACAUGAUAAAUAGAAUUCCGUCACGAGUUUUAGAAAACAAAAGCCUCAUAGAGAUACUUAAGAGUUUCUAUCCACACUUCAGAACCUCAAAUGGGCUCACUCCUAGGGUAUUUGGGUGCACAACAUUUGUUCAUGUCCACAACCAACAUAGAGACAGCUAGACCCCCGAGUCAUAAAAUUUGUCUUUCUUGGUUACUUCAUCCACUAAAAAGGAAACAAAUGUACAUCCCNNNNNNNNNNNNNNNNNNNNNNNNNNNNNNNNNNNNNNNNNNNNNNNNNNNNNNNNNNNNNNNNNNNNNNNNNNNNNNNNNNNNNNNNNNNNNNNNNNNNUGUUACAAUCCCAUAACAAAAAUUUUUUACAUCUUUGCAGAUGUCACCUUCACAGAAAAUAAACCUUUUUUCCCAAAGUCCUCUUUUUAGGGGGAGAUUUCAAUGAUAGAAGAUAGUCCUGAGUCCUUUGAACCUCUUGACCUUCCUCAUGUCUCAACCCAUGGUGAUGAAAUACCUGAGUCAUCCGAGUCAAUCACACCUGAGUCACCCAAUUUUGCCACUAAACCCGUGUCAUCCCAUGUUCCAAGCAGUGUCACUCGCAAUUUUCCAUAGUUUCCUAAGGUGUAUUCAAGGGAAAAGGCCAUUCCAGAACAAAAGUAUGUCCAAGAAUCCAACUCAGACCCUGGGAAUGAAAUCACGCUAAGAUCAGACCCACCUUUACAUACACAACCUGGUGAAACUUCUACUAACUCAACAGACAACCUAGACCUAGACCUUCCCAUUGCUAUCAGAAGAGGCACCAAAGAAUGCACUAAUUGACCACUCUAUCCACUAUCACACUAUGUGUCUCUUAAGCACCUAUCACUAGCCCACAAAAAUUUCAUUGUGAGUCUAAACACCACUAUCAUCCCUAACACUGUUUCUAAGGCAUUGACAAAAAGGGAAUGAAAUGAUGCUAUGAGAGAGGAGAUGAGUGCAUUAGAAAAGAAUAAAACAUGGGAGAUUGUUGAAAGACCGAAAGGGAAAAACAUUGUUGAUUGCAAGUGGAUUUUCACACUGAAAUAUAAGACUGAUGGAUCUCUUGAGAGACAUAAAGCAAGAUUGGUAGCCAAAUGGUACACUCAAACUUAUGGAGUAGAUUAUCAGGAGACUUUUGCUCCAGUUGCAAAAAUAAAUACUAUGAGAAUCCUAGUCAUUGGCUGCCCACUACAAUUGGAAACUCCUAUAAUAUGAUGUUAAGAAUGCAUUUCUUCAUGAUGAUUUAGAUGAAGAGAUUUACAUGAACAUCCCCCCGGGAUUUGAGGGAAACACUGGUAAUAAGGUGUGCAAACUGAAAAAGGCCCUUUAUGGGCUAAAACAAUCUCUUAGGGCUUGGUUUGAGAGAUUUGCAAAAGUCAUGAAAGAGUCUGGGUACAAACAAAGCCAAGGUGACCACACUCUCUUCAUUAAGCACUCGGUUGCAGGGGGAGUAACUGCUCUUCUAGUCUAUGUUGAUGACAUCAUAGUGACUGGAAAUGAUGAGAGAGAAAAACAUGAAGUGAAGCAGAGAUUAGCAAUAAAGUUUGAGAUAAAGGAACUAGGGAAACUAAAGUACUUCCUUGGUAUUGAGGUGGCAUAUUCCACACAAGGGAUCUUCAUUUCUCAACAAAAGUAUGUGACUGAUUUAUUGGCAGAAACAGGGAAGAUUGGGUGUAAACCAGUCUCUACCCCCAAUGGAUCCAAACCACAAGUUGGGAAAAGCUAAAGAAAAACUAGUGUUGGAUAAAAGAAUGUACCAGAGGCUGGUUGGUAGGCUCAUAUACCUUGUUCACACUCGGCCAGACAUCGCCUACUCGGUGAGCAUGAUCAGUCAAUUCAUGCAUGAUACAAGAGAACCUCAUCUUCAAGCUGCUUAUAGGGUGCUACAUUACUUGAAAGGCAACCCCGGGAAAGGAAUUUUGUUCAGGAAGAACAAUACUCUUGCUCUAGAGCAUACACUAACACUGACUAUGCAAGUUCCUUAGUGGAUCGAAGAUCAACUACAGGGUAUUGUACUUUUCUUGGAGGUAAUCUGGUAACAUGGAGAAGUAAAAAGUAGAAUUUGGUAGCAAGAUCGUCUGUAGAAUCAAAGUUUAGGGUCAUUGCUCAAGGGUUGUGUGAACUACUUUGGCUGAAGAUUAUUCUAGAUGAUUUGAGAAUCAAGUGGGAUGGUCCUAUGAAACUCUAUUGUGAUAAUAAGUCAACUAUCAAUAUUGCUCAUAACCCUAUACUACACGAUAGGACAAAACAUAAUAAGAUCGAUAGGCAUUUCAUCAAAGAAAAAUUGGAGAAAGGAGUAGUGUGUAUGUCCUAUGUUGCAUCAGAACAUCAAUUAGUUGAUAUCCUAACAAAAGGGCUGAACAGUUCAAUGUUUCACAGUCUUGUAUUCAAGCUGGGAAUGGAAAACAUCUAUUCCUCAGCUUGAGGAGGAGUGUUGAGCUAUAAAUAGAUAGUAGAAUUAUUUUCCUAUUAUGUUAGUUUCCUAUUUAUGUAAAUAGAUAGUUUUAUUAGUUUCCUAAUUCUGUAAAUAGAUAGUUUUAUUACUUUCCUAUUUCUAUAAAUAGAUAGUUUUAUGAUUUAGGAAUAAAUUAGUUUUCUAUUAUGUCUCUUGUUUCCUAUUUCUUCUCUUGUAAUCUCCUAUAUAAACUGUGUAUGGUCAAUAUAAGAAACAAAAAUUAUUAUUUUCCAUCCCAUAUUUCGUAUCAAGAUGCAUGCCAUAAAAAUGGUAAGAUGAACAACAACAAGCCAAGCAACAAAAAAAAAAAAAAUGGAGUUUUUCCACCUUGUCCUCAUUGCAAGAAGACAAAUCAUUCUCCACAAAAAUGUUGGUGGAGACCAGAUGUGAAAUGCAACAAGUGUGGUAAACAAGGACAUGUGGAAAGGAUUUGCAAAAAUCAACAACAAAAAGAAACUAGUGCAGCAGUUGACUAUUGUCAGGAGGAGCAAUUAUUUGCAGCAACGUGUUUUGCUAAUAAAAGCACCUCUGAAAGCUAGCUUGUGGAUAGUAGUUGUACAAACCACAUGACAAAUAAUCAAGAUCUCUUUAGAGAACUUGAUAGAACAGCUAUUUCCUAAGUCAGAAUUGGAAAUGGUGAGUAUAUUCCAAUGAAGGGCAAAUGAACGGUUGCUAUCGAAAGCCAAAUAGGUUUGAAACUCAUUUAUGAUGUUUUGUUUGUGCCUGACGUUGACCAAAACUUACUCAGUGUUGGACAGCUCGUUGAGAAAUGAUUUAAAGUUUAUUUUGAAGAUAGGAAUUGCAUUAUCAAGGAAGCUGAAGGCAAAGAGGUGUUUAACAUAAAAAUGAAGGGCAAGAGUUUUGCCUUGAAUUUACUAGAAGAUGAGCAUGCUGUUGUUUUACAAUAAGAUAGAACAACAAUGCUUUGGCAUAGAAGGUUUGGGCACUUUCAUCAUGAUGUUGUGCUCUACAUGAAGAAAAAUCAAAUAGCUGAAAGACUUCCCGACUUAGAAAAAGAUCUUCCUAUAACUGCUACUUGUUAAUAUGGGAAGCAAACUAAACUUUCCUUUCCAAAGAAAACAUCCUAGAGAGCAACCCAAAAAUUGCAACUAGUGCAUACUGAUAUUGGUGGACCUCAAAAGACGUCAUCCUUGAAAGAGAAUGUAGGCAUUGUUCACCAACUCACUGCACCAUAUAAUCCACAACAAAAUAGAGUCGUGGAGAGGAAAAAUAGAACGAUUUUGGAGAUGACAAAAUGCCUUCUACAUGAAAAAGAUCUACCUAAAGUUUUUUGGGCUGAAGCUACAAGUACAGUAGUAUAUUUGCUGAACAAAUUGCCAACAAAAACGUUAAAGAAGCAGACCCCUUUCGAAGUUUGGUUUGAGUUUCUACGUGGAAGACUUGGAGUUUGCAUCUACUAAGUCAAGAAGGAGUGUUGAAUUUUGACCUAGUAUCUGCUAGAAUUUGAAUUUUGAAGUUAAAUAUUGCAGCUGGAGUCUUGCACAAAAUCUAUAACAUCCAAAUAUUUUUCUUGUUGUUAUUUGGUCAAGAUUUGGUUUCUAUUUUAUAGGAAGUAGUUGUUCAUCAUCUAGUAGCUUGAUUUUCUGCUAUUCUAAUGUCAUUUCAGUUACAAGCUCAUGUAUAAAUUCAACACUCUUCAUCAAUAAAAUGUGUGUUUCAGCAACCCAAAAUAUAUAUUCUGCAUAAGUGUUUAAAUCUUAGACCAACACAUCCUCGUCACUAGUAGUUGUGCCUCUCAGGUUACCUUUUUUAUCUCUCAGCUCAGCUCCACCUUUGCUCUUCGUGACCUUGGUUCCCUUUACUAUUUCUUUGGCAUUGGGGUUACUCAUAGUACUGAUUCUCUUCAUCUCUGCCAACAAAAAUAUGUGCAUGACUUGCUCACUCGUACUGCCAUAACUGAUGCUAAACUUGUUCUUACAUUGGGUUCCUUGGCCAAACCUCUCUCUCUCAUUGAUGGUGAUCUACUUAUAUCGCAACAUUGUUGGCGCAUUACAGUAUGUUACUGUUACAUGUCCAAACCUUUCUUUUGCCGUUAACAAGGUAUGCCAGUUUAUGGCUUCCCAACGACUACCCACUAACUAGAUGUCAAGAAUAUAAAAAGUAGUUAAAAAUAAAAUAAAAAUAUAGAUUUAAAAUAAAAAAUAAAAUAAAUAUGAAUAAUUAAAAAUUUUAAAAAUGAUAAAUAUUUUUUUUUAAAAAAAGUUUUCAAAAAAAUCUCAGAUAUUUUCAGAUAUAUCGGCAAUGUAUCCAAUAUAUCCGAUAUAUCGUCGAUAUAUCUCCAAUAUUUUGAUAGACUUCCUCUAUUGCUUCGCGCGUCGCUUCACACUCGAUUUUUUCGCUGAUUUAUCGAUUUCAAAUUAACCGAAAUGUCAACAUAUUUCGGGGAUUUUUUUGAUAUUCCUCUCGUUCGAUAAUGUUGCUUAAUAUCCUUUCAGGGUUGUCCGAUAUCCGAUAUAUUGGUGAAAUAUCAUCGAUAAAAACCGAUUUUUCAAUCCAUGCUUAAUAGUGGGUUUCCCUUUUGUUUGGCCUCUUGUAGACCCCCAUUUUGGGGCUCGGUUUUUUUUAUCUCUAUUUUCUUUGUAGGUGUCACCAUCCCAGAGAGCCAUGUGUCGCCUCUUUGGUGGUUGAUAGGGAAUCAACAUUGCUUUUCGGGGACUUAUGGUAGGUUGACACGUGGAAGAAUAUUCUGGAGAGCUGAUUUCCAUUAUGGGGGAGCAUAUGAGAGAGGAUAUUCUACAGGCAUUUUGAUUCUCACAUGUGCAUGAUCACCUUGAGUAUUCAUUGAUUUUGGCAUCAAUUGUCACAUAAACUUCAUUUUAUUAGUAGAGACCCGACUUUAAGGACUUAGAGGGGUGCUACGGUCUUUACCGUACCUUCCCGAUAAAUAAUUUGACCCCCGAACUCGAUCCGGUUUUUCACGGACCACCUUUUCCAAAUAAGGAGUCACACUUAGGAUUUUCUUUCUUAUUUUAUUUACCCUUUAAAAAUAAAACAAAAUUAAGUGGCGACUCCAAGUCAUUUUUUUUAAUCAGUAAAAUCAUUUUCAAAAUAAAAAUCGAGCUCACUAUCGAGUGAAAAACGCAUUAGCCGAAAUACGGGGUCCACACCUCUAUUUAUUUAAAAAAAAAAAAAAAAAUCCUUUCCCAUUCUAUGGCCUUGAGUGAGCAUUAUGUAUUUCAACUAUUUUGACAUGUUCAAAAUAAAUUACUAAGAAUUUAAAGGGAAUUUGUUCGACAAGUACUUUUUUUUUAACAUAUUUAUUUAUACAUUAUUUAGUUUAGGUUGCAUUAUUCUAUGUAAAUAAUUUAUUGGGUAUGGGAAUUACUUUUAUAAAUGGCUGAGUAGAUUCAAUUUUAGAUAUUUAUUUAUUGAGCAUGAAAAUUAUUUAUUAAAACAUGGUUUAACGACCAUGCGAUGGAAUCAACCUGUUAAAAAAAAUAAACUAAUACUAUAUUAUUUUAACUUAAAUUAUUUCUUGAUUGUAGCAAUGUUGAAAAAACAAAUAUCAAUAAAAGACUAACCUUAACGGGAAAAUAGUAAUUAACAUAAUUUUAUAUUGACUUGUAAAAUUGGGUCAACAUAUAAAUAUAUUAAUUGUAACAAGAAGACCUACAUUGAUAAUGAAACGUCAAUAUUAGUCUAUAUUGCCAACUUUGAAAUAUUAAUAUAUGUAUAUAGCAGAUGUUUUCAUGAUUAGGAAUUAGAGAAAAUUUUGUAGAAGAUUUUUCCAAAUUUGAAAAUAACUAUGGAAGAAAUUCAACUUAAACACGUUUCUUUGUGGAAGAGUUGCAUUGGCAAGGAAAGCUACACACAUUCAUUGAACAGUCUUAGGCCCAUUUUUCCAAGCAGCCUAGCAAGUUGUCUGAAUUAAACCCCUAUGGAUUGAAAUUGAUUGGAUCCAUUACCCGUCAUGCAUUCAAUCCCAAAGCGUUGAUUAUUCAAACUCUAUGAAAUAUAGGUUUCGCUGAGUAGAGGAGUUCAAAUACAUUAAAUCGAUAUUUUAAGUAAAUAUAAUGUGGAAAAUGAAACCUACUAGAUCGAUAAUGACCACAUUACAAACCGAUCUCCAGGCUAGUUAGGGCAAUCCCCUCAAAAUUCAAAAAAUAAUUAAGUAAAUAAAAUGUAAUUAUUAAUAUUUUUAAAAAGUAGUUAUGGACUCGAAAUGGGUAUUUUUUAUAUAUGAAGUUUAAUCAAGUAGUAGUUCUUAUCCUAGCCACACCUAAUAUUAACAACUUGUUAGGAUAUUCUGAUUGAAUUUAGCCAAAGAGACUCUAGAAGGCCAAUAUUUUUCUUAUCAUCACUCUCUUCCGAGCACAACUCUUCCACACCAUGGGCCCCAAAACUAAACCAAAUUCCACAUACUUUUUAACUACAUACAGCCACUGCAUUCCAGGCUGUCUCUCAUACUCACCAAUUCAUCACUGAAGGUAUAGGACUGUUCUAUCAUUGUUCCAAGUAAUUGGCAUCUCUACUCAAGUCUCAGCAUGUUCCCUAGCCCAAAUUUCUAAACCCAAAAAUCACCCUGUGGCAAGCUUGAAGGUAAUUCAAUGAAAAUAUGCUUAAAGCUCAACGGCUAAUUUACUUAUUUGGAAGUCAUUUUUCUUUAUGUGUUGGAUGAUAAAAUUUGUUGGUCUAGGUUACACGUUCCUGCAAAGAAGAGCAGACGGAGGAUCUGAAAAAUGAAUUGAAACUGGAAUUAAUACAUAGUGUUGAUUAUAUAUUGAUGGAAAUUAGUUUAAAGUUGGAUAUAUUAAUUACUUAGGGAUGUUUGGUAAAACUUAAUACUUAUUAUUUAAUUAUUUGAGUUGACUUUAAAUUAAAUUAUACUUAAAUUACUGACUUAAAACUUAUUAUUUUAAGUAUUAAGAUAUAAAAUUAACUUAAAGUUUAUUUAAAAUCAUUAAGUUGACAUAUUUAUUCUUAUAAAUUAUAAUUAGAAUAGAAAAGGUUGAGUAACAAUAGAACUUAUAGAAUUGUAAAAGAGAUCAUGAAGGUAAUUAAGACAAAUAAAGAUAAAAAGAUAAAAUAAAAAUAUAGAAUUAAAAAUAAAUUAAUUAUUUUUACUUAUUAUUUAAAGUUAUUUUUUACUUUAAAUCAUAUUAUUAAGUUAUUUUAUUAAAUAUACUUAAUUUACUUAAUGACUUAAAUUAAGUUAUUAAAUCAUUUUAAGUUAUUAAAUUGAUUAAUCAAAUUCCUACUUAUUGAAUACAAAUAUAGAAGGAAAUUAGGAAAGCAAAGUAGAUGGGUUAUUAGGUGAAAGCUUAUCAAAUCCGCCUAUCAACAUAUCACACUUUUACCAAAAACCCACCUCAUGCCAAGCCUAUAAGUUGUCAAGUCCUUAUGAUCCAACAACUUUCUUAUGGUUCCCACACGGGUUUCUAUUGUUAUCAAAACAAAAAGUUAUAAUAAAAUAUAUAUAUAUAUAUAUAUAUAUAUAUAUAUAUAUAUAUAUAUAUAUAUAUAUAUAUAUUAUAAUUCAUAGAUAAUCUGACAAUUAAAUAAAAAGAUAAACUCAUUUGUGGAAUAUAAUUAAUAAAAAAAAAAAGAGAAGUGUUAAGAGUUUUAAAUUAUUAUUAUUUUAUUAACAAUUUUAUUAUAUUUUCAUUUUAACUUAAGAAUCUAUUGAAAUAGUGACUUACUCUCUAUUAAAGAUUCAAAGUUAUUUUUCAAUCAAUCGAACUAUCAGGUAAGUAUGAAAAUGAUCGAGUAAAGACAAGUUAAUUGUCACAAAUAAGUGUGAAAAGGAUCGAGUAAAGACAAAGGGUUGAAUUGAAAAUUUUAAUUUGCAUAAAAUGUUUUAAUUAAUUUGAAAAGAAUUUUAAAUUGAGAAUUUGAAAAAAAAAAUUCCAAAUAAUAAAAAUAAUUUGGAAAUGAAUUUUAAAUUAAGGAUUGAAAAUUUAAAAUUUGUAAAAGGAAAAUUUUUAUAAAUCUUUUCUAAUUUUAAAUAUGAAAUAUUUCCAAAUCUUUUUAAAACUCUUAAGUUUCUAAAUUGUUUUCCAUAAAAUAUAAUCUUUAAAUUAAUUGCAACUAUAUAAAGUUUUCUCCUAUAUAUAUCCUACCUAAAUGUAUAUUUGAUGAGGGUCUGACUUGUUUUUCCAUUCUUAAUCUCUAAAGAAAGAAUUCAUUACAAGUACCUACAUCCCUUCAUAAGCUUAGAGGAGUUAGAGCAUUUGGAGGUACUACAUUGUGGAUGUGGAUUAAGGUGUAGGUGCUAGCUAGUUAAUCAUUAAGGUAAAACGGUUAUUAAAUAUGUGUACUUUAAUUUCAAAUAGUGGAUUAUAAAGGGAGAAUUAUGUUUUGGGGGUAGAUGGGCCCCCAAAUUAACAAAAGGUCCAUGUAACUCUUUAAAUUGAGCCCAAGACCCAAUAAAAGUAUGAAAAUUGAGUUGAAGGAUAUCAUCCUUCAGUAUUUCCAAAAAUGUCAUUUGUUGAUUUUGAGAAAAAAAAAUUAAUAUUUUUGAAAAAUACUUUUAUAUAAUUUAAUAUUUUUUAUUUAAUUUAAUAUUUUUAAAAAAAUACUUUUAUGUAAUUUAAUAUUUUUUUAAAUACUUUUAUUUAAUUAAAUAUUUUUUAAAAAUAAAUUUAUUUAAUUUAAUAUUUUAAAAAAAUAUUUAAUUUAAUAUUUUUUAAAAUACUUUAAUUUAAUUUAAUAUUUUUGAAAAAAAAUUAUUUAAUUUAAUAUUUUUGAAAACUACUUUUAUUUAAUUUAGUAUUUUUGAAAAAAAAUUAUUGAAAAAAAAAUAUUUAACUUAAUUUUAUAAAAUAUUUUAUAUGUGUUCUUAAAGGGUAUACUUGUCCGUUACUAUUUCAUAUCCUUCAACUCAAUUUGAAGAGUUAUAUGGACCUUUUGUUAAUUUGGGGACCCAUCUACCCCCAAAACAUAAUUCUCCCGAUUAUAAAUUAGAGGUUUUAAAUCUUGUGAUUUUUUAUGCCCACAAUUAGCAUUGAUAUUUUCAAAUUAAAAUUUCUUGUGUCCCUUAUUUGAUUAUUUUUAUUAUUUUGAUCUUUAAUUAUUUUGAUUAUCCCUAUUAUCUCUUAGUUUAAAUUGAGUUAAUAUUAUUUAACUCUUAUAUUAUUAUCUUUAAAAAUCACCCCACUCUCAAUGUCAUCCUCUUGGACAAAAGCGUAUAUAUAUAUAUAUAUAUAUAUAUAUAUAUAUAUAUAUAUAUAUAUAUAUAUAUAUAUAUAUAUAUAUAUAUAUAAUUCACAAAUCUUGAAAAUAUAUUUAAUAUUAAAAUAUCAUUCCAUGUAAUUUGGAAGUAUUCAAAGAUGUAAAAGAUAUGAUAAUAUAUGUAUAAUUAUUUUUUAUUUAAAAAUCUUAAUAAUUACAUUUGCAACUUUAUUUUGUCCUCAUUAUUUAAUUAAUAUACAAAAAGAUAUGGGAAUAGAAUUAUCAAAAGAAUUGUCAUAAUAAAGCUUUAUAUUCUUAAUAAUAAGUUAAAUUAAGGUGGCAUUUAUUUAUUUUUACUUAAAUCUAAAUGAAAAUUAAUUUAACUUAAUUGUAAAUAUAACUUAAUAGAAUUAAUUAUUAUAUUUUUUUGUUUUUUAUAAUUUUAUUUUUGUUAAGCGUUAAAUAUUAAUUGGGUGAGAGUCCUACUAAGGUUGUGCUUUGACUGAUUCAAAAAAUUAUUUUUAGUAAUGAGCAAAAAGUUAAAUAUUUUACUUUUAUCUAUUCAUUAAAAAAAUCUUAAAAAUUAAAUUUUUUUUUUGUUUUAUUCAAAAUAGUGAAUGGAGUUUGAGUCGAAUUUUAAUUAUUUGGUAAAAUAAUAAAAUUAGUUUUUUAUUUAAAAGAAAAAAUAAAGGUAAGUCAAAGAUAUAAAGAUAAUUAUUUUAUUUUAAAUAAGAAAGAUUCAAAAAAAAAAAAAAAGAUAAAUGAGCUACAAAUUUUAGGAUUAAUUGAUUAAAAUGGAUGAAAAGAUUUCAAAUUUGUAAAACUAAUCUCUUCCAUUUUUUAACUUGAAAGUAACACUUGUUUGACAUAAAUACCCUUUAACAUUUUCAUUAUUUACAUAUGUAUUUUAAAAGAAAAUGUUAUUUUUGUAAGAAAAAAGUGAGAGUAUUCUUAUGUAUUUUUUGGAUGAAAAAAAAUGGUUUGCAAUUUGAUAUUUCUUUCGUCCUUUUUAAUCGGUUAUCCCCAAAUUUUUUUUACGGAAAAUACAAAUUCUAAAAAUAUUUGGUUUUAUUGCUAUUUUUAAAUUUAAAUAUAUUUUUACCUUAAUUAUAUUUUUAUUUCAAAAUAAUUGAUGAUGAUUUAGUUGAAUUCUAACAUUUAAUGGAGUUUUAGUUGAAUUCUAACACUAUAAUAUAAAGUGACCCGAUAAAAUUAUAAAAUCAAUUUUAUUUAAAAAUAAAUAAAGUUGAGUUAAAAAUAGUAUUAAAUGAAUUAAAAUUUAAAAAUAAAAAUGAAUAGUUUUACCUUAAAUAAAAAAUAUUAAAAGAAAAAAUAAUUAGAUAGAUAGGCUUUAAAUUUUAUUAAGAGAAACAUAAUUUUUUUUAAAAAAAUUGUUUUUAUUUAUUUUCAAUUUUAAAAUUUUAUUUCUAUUUUUUAUUUAAAUGUAUUGUCAAAUUUUAUCUAAAAAUAGUUAAUAGAGUUUUGGUUGAAUUUUAAGACUAUAAGAUAAGCGAAUAGUUGAAAUUAUAAAAUGAAAUUUUUUAUUAAAAUGAAAAGAAAGUUAAGUUAAAGAUACUAUAAAUUAUGAUUAGAAGAAUGAAAAUCAAUAUAAAAAAAAAGUGGUUUUAUCUUAAAUUAGAAAUACUAAAAAAAAAAAAAAGGAAUAAUGUAUUGAAAAAUAUAACUGUGGUAGAAGAGCAAUGACUAUGCUCUUUUGAAUACCCUAGUUUAUGUUCAUUUUUUAAAAUUUAAAAAGAAUAAACAUCUUUUAGAUAUUAACAAAAAUAAAUUUAAAUAGAUUCUUAACAUAAAACCUAAAAAACAUUUGUUGUUGGCCAAAAAAUCCAACUAUGAGCCCUUUUAUGACAAGUGAAACUUCCAAAUCUUCUGAAGAGUUUUUUAUCUUAGUAUUAAAAUCUAAAAGCAGAAUAUUUAUACUAUGAGUUGCCUUUUUAACAACUAAUUUAUUUUAUUUAAUGUAAUAAUAUACAUUAAUAUAAAUUAUAGUUGAGUUUUUUUAUAAAAAAAAAUUGGCAUAUGCUUGUAUUACUUUGUUAGCUUGGAGGACGAAAAGCCUAUACAAAUAAUGAGUUGAAUGAAAUAAGAAGCGAGUAAAUUACAUGUAUCAAUGAAAUUGUAAUUUUUAGAUUACAGAAAUGAGUACAUGCAUUAAUAUAUAUGAAAAUAUAUAGUGAUUAUGAGAUUUGAGAAUCUAUUUAUUUUGAAUGAUGGGAAUUAAACUUCGUAAAAUUUCAAUGUAGAUCGGAAGUAAAUUUUUUUGUUACUUGAAAUAUUUACAACUUCUUUCCAGUAGUGAUGUUAUUUUGUAAUAGAACUUCCCUGGACAAUCGUUUUCAUGACUGGGAAUUGAAAUAGAGAAAAUUUUGUAGAAGAUUUUUUCAAAUUUGGAAAAAUCGCAUGUAGAAGAGUUGAAUUGGCAAGGAAAUCUACACUCAUUGAACAGUCUAUGCCCACUUUUCCAAUCAGCCUAGCACGUUUUUUUGAAUUGAAUAACCACGGAUUGAUAUUGAUUGGAUCCAUUAUCAGUCAUUCAAUCCUAAAACAUUCAUUUGUCAAACUCCAUGGAAUAUAGGUUUGGCCGAGUGGACAUUUCAAUACUAAACUUGUCCAAAUACAUUAAAUUGAUAUUUUUAGUAAAUAUGAUGCGCAAAAUGAAACCCACUAGGUCGAUAAUGACCUAGUGGUUAGGGCAAUCCCUCAAAAUUCAUAAAAAAAGAAGAAGCAAAUAGAAUCAAAUAGUAGUUCUUAUGUUAUUUUUUCAAAAAAUAGUUAUCGAGUCUGGAAAUGGGUAUUUUUCAUUUACGAAGCUUAAUCCUAUGGGAUUUAAUUUUCAUCGACUAGGAGAAUAAUUUGAUCCUAGCCACACCUAAUGUUAACGACUUGUUUAGGUAUUCUGAGUGAAGAGGACAACGGUUCCACACCGUGGGCCCCAAAACUAAACCAAAUCCCUCAUACUAUUCAACUACAUACUACCACUGCAUGCCAAGCCGUCUCUCUCAUACUUACCAAUUCUUUCUCUAGUCCAGAUUCUUAAACCCCAACAUUUGGGGUGACCAAUUUAUUACCUACACUCCCGAAGAAAGUUAAUUCAAUGAAAUUAUGUUUAUAUACUUAUUUGGAAGUUAUUUUUCUUAGGAUGAUAAAAUUUGCUGGUCUAGGUUACAAGUGCCUACAAAGAGGAGCAGAUUGAGGAUCUGAAAAAUGAAUUGAAAAUGGAAUUAUACAUUUUCAUGGACAAGGGAAAGGAACAAGGGAAAGUUGUGUUUUCAUGGACCAAUAUGGUAAUAAUAUUGUUUUUGGAACCCAGGUUUGUGAAAGUAGAAAAACAUCUGUUAAUGUGAAACUUAUAUCAGAUUCAUGCACUUUGAGCCGGUUAUAUUUUUUCUACAUAAAAAAUAAAAAUAAAUAAAAUACAAAAUAAAUCUAUUAGAAGGCGUCUGUCUAUUCUCUGCACCCUCACCGCCAAAGAGUAGAUGAGUUGGCGAGUGUGUUCGCUCCGGAGUCUUUACGCGCCGAAGAUGCCUCUUCUCCGAUCACCUCUGUUCUUCUUUGUUUGAAGCCGCCGACUGUUCGGUACCACGUGCUCCGUUUCGGGCACUAAGAAGAAGAACAAGGAGAAGGUGAUAGUGAUAUCCGGUCCCACCGGCGUCGGAAAGAGUAGGCUUGCAUUGGAGCUGGCGAAGCGCGUCAAUGGAGAAAUUAUCAGUGCGGACUCGGUCCAGGUAAGGCACCGAGUUCUUUUACCGUUUUCCUCUUGGAUUGCCCUCUGUUUGGUUGCCGAGAAAGAAAGGGAAGGACAAUGGGAAGGGAAUUAUGUCUUGUGUUGUUGAUUUGGGUGUUUAGGUUUUGUUUUUUGUUUUCUUGUUUGUUUUUUUUUUUUUCUCUUUCAUUUGUUUGGUUGCUGAGAAAAUAGAGGAUUCAGUCUUCUUUAGAAUGUUCUAUGCUUCUGUUUUUCAAUAGGAAGCUAAUGUUUAUGAAAAUUGUGACGAGGGGCUCAUGGAGAUAUGAUAAUGUUGGAGAAAAGUAGAUAAUCUAUAUAGAAAGUUCAAAACUUCAAGCAAAGUUACUCAAGGGACUAAACCUUUAGCAACAAUUUCUCCCAAGUAUUUUGUUGGUUAGUUACUCAAAAAGGUAAUUUUUUUAAGGGGGAAGAAAAUGACAAUUUGCAUUUUAUUUUUUGGUGAUAGGCAAAUGAGAAAAUAUUUAAAAGCUCCUAAAAGGAGCUGCAACAACUUACAGAUGAUGUAUACAGUAGUCACAUAGUUUAGUCAAGAAGAAGAUAAACAAAAGAAAAAUCCUCUCCUUACUCAAAACUUAUCCAAUCUACAAAGUCUAUCAUAGAUAUUGAGUGGUCCACCUUGUACAUUCUAACCCAAUUUACAAAGUAUAUAUAAAGUCGGAUUUGAUUGCUUGGUUUGACUGCUUAGCUUCAUUCAAAGCUCUCCCUUUUUUUUUUCUUCCAAAGAGUAGAAAAAAAGCAUAAGGGUAUAGUCCUCCAGCAUUUUUUUCAUUGCUUCCCCAUGGAAGAGCCAUGCAAACCCAAAAGGAUCCUUCUACUGAAAAACACAUCCCCAAAACCACUCCAAAGAGAAAAGGAUCAACUACCAAACAUAAUUGCUUUGGCACAGUAGAGAAGCAAGUAAUCUGUCAUUUCUUCCUCGCAUUUGCACAAAUAAACUUAUUAAGCAGAGUCCAUACCAUCUUUUUGGUGCCCAUGUGCUCCACACUACACCUGUUGGGAAAGCUCUCUAUCUCCCUUGGCCAAGGAAGAUUAAAGGGAUCUAAUUGAAAAAUUGCUGCUCUUGGACUCAUUUCAUCUCAAUUCGCCCUCCUUUUCCUUUUUAAUUGACAAUGAUUGCAAAUUCAAUUGGAAAAUCUCCACUUCAUCAAGCUCUCAAUCAUUAAACUGUCUUGAAAAGUGGUGGCUCCAUCCACCCUCUUUCCCAACUUGGUCCCACUCCUCCGCUACCCAUCCAUCUCUGUUGGAUGCAAUAGAGAAUAAGUUAGAGAAGACUUGCUUUUUAUUCCCUUCCACUCAUUUUUUAUGGUUUUCCACACCUCCACUCCAUACCCUUCUCUCAUCCUUCUUGAAGACCACCUGCUUCCUCUUCUCCGAACUUUCCUAUUAUGAUUUGUUUUGAUAAGGACUCCUUGUUAGUAACAAAUCUUCAAUCCUACUUACCAAGCAAGGCCUUGUUAAAGGUUGAAAGAUUGUGAAUACCAAGAUCCCCUUCCUUCCUUGCCAAGUAGACUGUAGUCUAAUCAAUAAAAUGAGGUCUUUUCUCUAGUGCACCUCCUCCUCAUAAAAUGUUUCUUUGGAUCUUCCUGAGUCUUGAAUUGACCUUUCUUGAAAUGACAAAAAGGAUAUAUAAAUUGGAAGGCUUAAUAAUGUGCUUUUAUCAAGGUAAGUCUCCCUUCGAAAUGUAUGGGUGGUAUGGAGUUAUCAUUAAGGUAUGCCUAGCAAUUUUUUUUUUUAAACCAUGUACAGACUCCAGCUACUGCUGCAACUAGUGCUCAAUGAACGCAACAGUGUCAGAGAUACAAUUCUGGCCGCAUGCCAUUUGUGACUUCAUAGUUCAUGAUAAGUUUCUUCCUAUCUGCUGCUACAUACCAAAAUGACCAAGGGUUGAUUCUAGUUUGUCCAAAAUUUAUUAAUUCAUAUCAUGUUGUGUGCUGAUGUGAUUUGUUCCAAUUGUAAAACCAUUAUUUAUGUUCUAUAUGUGAUGUAUCUGAUGAAGUAUUCCACUUCCCAUUGUAACAGUGGCAGUUGGGUUAUGCUGAAUAUGAGGACUUUAUGUACAAGAAUGACCAACAUGUAAGGGAAAGGAAGAGUACCUGGUGAUGCUGCUGCUGGAGCAUAUGGGACGCAGUAACAACAGUGUAAUAGGGCUGUUCAUUUUUCCUUCAAUAUUGUAAAGGAAGGGAGUAGGAACAUGGACAACACUCAGUAUUUGUUCUUUUAUUAUAGUUAAGGGUGCUGGUUAGUGUUGUAUUGGCGAUUGAUUGGACAACAACUAUGAUUGUAAGAUGUGAUCCAAAGUGAUAGGUUUAUUAUGGGGUAUGGUACUAAUUUCAUAAGAGAACAACAAACAUAGACUGUAACUUAUUUGUUUGUACACUGAUGCAGUUUCAGUUUAUCCUUCUAUACUCACAUUAGUAAAUUGUUUGACGGCUUUCCUUUCAUAUUUAGUUAUUGUGUAAGCUUUUACAUAGCAUCUUCUAUUAAUGUUAUUGGUAAGUUGGGAGGUUUGUUUGGUUUGAUUUACUACAUUAGAAACAGUUUGCUGGUAUACCAAUAGUUUGCAAUGGCGCCCUUCAAAUCCUGAUCUACCGGGGUUCAGGACUAUUGCUCAUCCUCAUUGGCAAGGGCUACUCAGGGUUCCUAAAUGAUUGUGCAUUUUGCUAAUUUUGUGUUUCAAACCAUGUACAGGUUGUUAUAGAAAAAAUAAAUGUGGUAGAAAACCAAUAAAUAUUUGCUUCGCAUGAUCACCUUCCAUAUCCAACCAAAACCAUCAUAACUUGACAUAACCAGAAAAAUGAGAAAACAACAGUAUGAUUAAAUAAAUACUGAGGGUGAAAAAUUGUCGGGAGAGCAAAAUUUAUCGAAUAUGGUUUAAGAUAGUGUCAUGCUGCAAUAAGUAAUGAAAUUAACUAAUAAAAAUCUGAAGCCACAGAAUGGCUACAUUUCUCGCAGGUGCGUUAAGGUAAUACUUGAGGUACAUUAAGGUAGUACCUGAAGACCAUUAAGGUAGUACCUUAUGUGCAUUAACGCAGUACCUGACAUUUCUUAUGAUUACAUAAGGUAUAGUUGGAGUAACCUAUAAGAACAUAACAAUGUCAUGCUGUAAUAGGUAAUGAAAUUAACUAAUAAAAAUCUGAAGCCACAGAAUGGCUACAUUUCUCGCAGGUGCGUUAAGGUAGUACCUGAGGUACAUUAAGGUAGUACUUGAAGACCAUUAAGGUAGUACCUUAUGUGCAUUAAGGUAGUACCUGAAAUUUCUUAUGAUUACAUCAGGUCGAUGGAGUCACCUAUGACAACAUAACAACGUCAUGCUACAAUAGGUAAUGAAAUGAACUAAUAAAAAUCUGAAGUCACAUAAUAGCUACAUUUCUCGCAGGUGCGUUAAGGUAGUACUUGAGGUACAUUAAGGUAGUACUUGAAGACCAUUACGGUAGUACCUUAAGUGCAUUAAGGUAGUACCUGAAAUUUCUUAUGAUUACAUAAGCUACCGAUGGAGUCGCCUAUGACAACAUAACAACGUCAUGCUACAAUAGGUAAUGAAAUGAACUAAUUGUGUUUGAAGUCAUAGAAGAGCUACAUUUCUCGCAGGUGCAUUAAGGUAGUACCAGAUGUACAUUAAUGUAGUACCUCAGGACCAUUAAGGUAGUACCUGAGGUGCAUUAAGGUAGUACAUGAAAUUUGUUAUGAUUACAUACGCCACCGAUGGAGUAACCUAUGAGAACAUAACAAUGUCAUGCUGCAAUGUGUAAUGAAAUGAACUAAUUGUGUCUUAAGUCACACAACAACAACAUUUCUCAAAUAUGCACUAAGAUAGUACCUGAUGUACAUUAAUAUAGUACCUCAAGACCAUUAAGGUGGUACAUGUUUUGCAUUAAGGUAGUACCUGAUGCGAUGAAACAAUUAUGUCUUCGUUGACAAAAGAUGUACACUACAAAUUCCAACAAACAUUACAAAUUCACAAACACUAACAACAAUUUCUACUAACCAACACAUAAUUUAUGCAUUUUAAUUUUUAUUAUUAUUAUAAUUUUUAUUUUUAUUCUCAAUAUAUAUGAUUGAAUUAUCAAGUUUUUCGUCAAUAUAUGAUAUUGCCUAAUUAUAUUCAUCAAUCUGAAUAAAUACAUAAGUUUUCCACCCAAUUUCUAAAUAUGUCCACAACAUUUUUCCAUUUCAUGAGUCUCCAAUACACAAAAAUAUUGAGAUCGAACAACCGCUCAUGCUAUCCAAAAUCGACAUUUGCCUCAACCUAUGCCCUCACCAAUGGAGGAAAAAUUGCAAAUACAACAACCACUCGAAAAUCACUCUUCUGCUCCAUUUUAAACAAAAAAAUUAUUAAAAAAACAACCCUAAAUACAAAUUAAUUACCUUCACAUUUGAUGUGAAGGUUACAGAAAAAUGUGAUCCAAUGAGAAGAACACGAGAUUUCUUCUUCAUGAACCCAAUAUAUCAGAGUUGUCGUUUCCAUUCUGAUUCGCUAUCCUAAACCAGAUUUUCAGUCAACACGUACCCGCCUCAAGCCGUCUUCUUAACUCGACCUUGUUUCAAUGAAGUGCUCCAUUUGGUUCUUCACAAUUACCACAGGCAACAAAAAUUUUGAUUCAGGUUUUCAAGUAAAGGUUUAUACUUUCAAAUGUGUGAAAUUUUGCAAAUUUUCACACCCUCUUCGAUCCGGAGGGGUGACGAAAUUGGGAUGAUCGGGUCCAAAUGGUUAGGACUUUGAGAGGAGAAGGGGCUGAAGAUAGAAAACUAGAUUGGAGUUUGGGAUUAAAGGCUUCAGAAAUUAAAUGAGAGAAAUUGUUGAAAUAUACAAGAUUCUCUGCUUUGCCUCGGUGACGGAGUGAAGACAGAUGAGAGGAAUGGCUGACAAAAUGAGAGAGAGGGAAGAAAGAACGGCUGAACGCUAGGGUUUUCUUGUGGGAACCUCUGCUUCGCCUCCAUGACAGAGUGUAGAAAGAUGAGAGGAAUGGGUACCAAAUGAGACAGAGGGAGGAACAACGGUCAGUCGCCUAGGGUGUUUUUUGGUGAGAUGGGCUGCUGACGUGGAUACCUGGAGGGGCAAGCUCGGUAGAAAAAACACAGCCGACUCAGAGUGCAUGAAUCUGAUAUAAGUUUCCACAUUAACAUAUGUUUUUCAUCUUUCACAAACCUGGGUUCCAAAAACAAUAUUAUUACCAUAUUGGCCCAUGAAAACACAACUUUCCCUUUUUUAUAUUAGUAUUAAAAUCUAAAAGCAAAAUAUAUAUAUAUAUAUAUAUAUAUAUAUAUAUAUCAUGAGUUACCUUUUUAAUAACUUAUUUAUUUUAUUUAAUGUAAUAAUAUACAUUAAUAUAAAUUAUAGUUGACUUGAGUUUUUUUUUUCUUUUUCUUUUUUAAUUUGGCAUAUGCGUGUAUUACUUUGUUAGCUUAGAGGACGAAAAACCUAUACAAAUAAUUAGUUGAAUGAAAUAAGAAGAAUGAAAUUGUAAUUUUUAGAUUACAAAAAUGAGUACAUACAUUAAUAUAUAUGAAAAUAUAUAGUGAUUAUGACAUUUGAGAACCUAUUUAUUGGAUCCAUUAUCAGUCAUUCAAUCCUAAGGCAUUCAUUUGUCGAACUCCAUGAAAUAUAGGUUUGGCCGAGUGGACAUUUCAAUACUAAACUUGUCCAAAUACAUUAAAUUGAUAUUUUUAGUAAAUGUGAUGCGCAAAAUGAAACCCACUAGGUCGAUAAUUGCCACAUUACAAACUGAUCUGCAGGCUAGUUAGGGCAAUCCCUCAAAAUUCAAAAAAAAAAAAAAAAAAAAAAAAAGAAAUAAAAAAGUGAAGCAAAUGUUAUUUUUUCAAAAAAUAAUUAUCGAGUCUGGAAAUGGUUAUUUUUCAUUUACGAAGUUUAAUCCUAUGGAAUUUAAUUUUCAUCGACUAGGAGAAUUAUUUGAUCGUAGCCACACCUAAUCUUAACGACUGUUCCACACUGUGGGCCCCAAAACUAAACCAAAUCCCUCCUGCUAUUCAACUACAUACAACCACUGCAUGCCAAGCUGUGUCUCUCAUACUUACCAAUUCUUUCUCUAGUCCAAAUUCCUAAACCCCAACAUUUGGGAUGACCAAUUUAUUACCUACACUCCUGAAGACAAGGUAAUUCAAUGAAAAUAUUUGGAAGUUAUUUUUCUUAAUUUGUUGGAUGAUAAAAUUUGUUGGUCUAGGUUACAAGUGCCUACAAAGAGGAGCAGAUUGAGAUCUGAAAAAUGAAUUGAAAAUGGAAUUAUACAUAGUGUUGACUAUAAGAAUUAGGUAUGCACAAAAUGACAAGGGACUCAAAAUUGGAUACAUUAAAUAAAAGGAAAAAGAAAGAAAAAACCCCAAUUUAUACCUUUUCCUUUCACGUCAUCAAUCCCUUUCCCUUUCACGUCAUCAAUCCCUUUCAUACAUUACUUUCAACAUUAUUGUUUUACAUUAUUUUCAACAAUAUACAAUUUCUGAAGGCCAUUGCUACCCUAUUAAUGCAAUGGAGCUUCCCAAGCUUUUGCACUCAUACUUACCAAGUCAGCUUUCAAAGUAGUGUUCUACUACCGUUCCAAAAAAUUAUCAUGGCGAGUCAAGUCUUAUCAAGCCCUCUAGGCCAAUUUUCUAAACUGGAAAAUCGUCCAGUGGCCAAUUAUCACCCUACCAUUUGGGGUGACCAGUUCAUAUCCUACACUCCUGAAGACGAGGUAAUUGAAUUAAAAUAUGUGUUAAAUCUUAUAUGGCUUAUAAAUGCCUAUAUAUUCGAAAGUUGCUUUUCUUAAUGUGUUGUUUAGUAAAAUUACUUGGUUGCCACAGGCAACACGUGCCUGCAAAGAGAAGCAGGUUGAAGAUCUGAAAGAGGAAAUUUGAAGGAAGCUAAUGAAUGCAGCUGGUAACACUUUCCAACAGCUGAAAUUUAUCGAUGCUGUGCAACGUCUUGGGGUGGCAUACCACUUUGAAAGAGAGAUAGAAGAAGUGUUACAACAUAUUUAUGAUAGCUAUCCUGAUGGUGAUGAUAUGGAAGGUGAUAUCUAUAAUGUUGCUCUUCAAUUUCGGUAACUAAGGCAAGCUGGGUUCAAUAUUUCAUGUGGUAAGAGCCCAAAGAAUGAUCAUGUGUGAGCUAAAAUCCAUCCUUCUCAUAAUUCCAAUCUUAUGUUUAAAUUAUGGUAUUUAUGUAGGCAUGUUCAAUGAGUUCAAGGAUGAAAAGGGUAACUUCAAGAAAGCUUUGGUCAGCGACGUAAGAGGCAUGCUGGGCUUGUAUGAGGCUGUGCAUCUCAGAGUUAAUGGAGAAGACAUACUGGAUGAAGCACUUGCUUUCACCACCACCCAUCUAAGGUCCAUGGUAGAACAUUUAGAAUAUCCUCUUGCGGAAGAAGUUGCUCAUGCACUAAAGCAGCCCAUUAGAAAAGGUUUAGAGAGGCUAGAGGCAAGGUGGUUUAUGUCUAUCUACUAGGAUGCACAACUCUACUAAAGCUGGCCAAGCUAGAUUUCAAUCUAGUGCAGUCCCUACACAAGGAGGAGCUAAGCAAUAUUGCUAGGUUUGCUUUCAAAUCACUAGCAGAUAUACCUAGUCACCUUCUCAUUUUACCAUGAGCUAAUUGUUUUAAUGAAUUUUAGGUGGUGGAAAGAAUUAGACUUUGCUACAAAGCUACCUUUUGCGCGAGAUAGAUUCGUGGAAGGCUACUUUUGGAUAUUUGGGGUGUACCAGGGUUCAAAGUAUUAGCCGAGUCCCAUACGACUCGACCGAGUCGUAUCUGCCUCGACACUUACCACGAUGAGUCCGAUACCAGGUACAAUCCUAUGCACUAACUCAACAUUAAAUCAGUAGGACUCAAUUGGCUUGGCUCAAAUUCCGAGUUAACUUGGUUGAAUCGGUUAAAUUACAAAAUUUUUUCUGAUUCAAAUCAGUGAUUUUUUUUCCCUUUCAAAUUAGAACAUAAAGAUCAUAAAAUUUUCCAAAAAAAUCAAAGGAAGAAGAAACAUUGAAAUUUAAUCGAGCCGUGACUUCUUUUUAAGUCUAGAAGAGGAGAGAUCAGGCAGAUGAGGGCUCACUUACCUCACCACAAUCGACGGAGCAUGAGAGUUUUGGGACCGAUGGAUCACUCCUCAGCGUCGAUUUCAGUGAACUAAGCAUUGGAUACCUUUUCCGGUGACGACGACCAUUCGGGGAGAGCUUUUAUCGCAAGUUUGCAAACUUGUAGUCAAAACAAUAUUUGGGAAAGUAAAUUAAAACUAGAAUGUUAUGAUUUAUAUGCACUAUGAGAUUUAAUGAGAAUAACUUGGAUGGCAUUUUAAUAUUUUUAAUUUAUUAUAUAAUCUAAAUUUUUUGUCUUAUAACAUUCCAAAUUAAAGUAGAAAAUCAAUAAUUAUUUAAAAAAUAUAUUUUUAAAAGAAUCAUAAUUAUAAAAACAACAUUUUAAUAAUAGGUUUAUAUUAGGGAAUCAAUAAUUAUUUUUGUAUGUUAUAAAGAUUACAUUUAUACUUGAAUUAUUUUUAAUUUUUUAUAUCAUAUAAAUUUUUUAUCUUAUAAUAUUGUAAAUUUUAAUUAUAUUAGGAAAUCAAUGAAUGAUUUUAUAACUAUUUAAAUGAUGUUAGUUAUGAGAUAAUUUUUUUUUAUAUUAUUUUUUACCUUAUUUACUUACUUGUACCUAUUUUUUUAAAAUAAUUUACAUAAUAUUUUUAAAAUUUUUAAAAUUUUCUAAUUAUCAUAUUUUGCGUAUCUUCCGAUACCAAACCGAUACACUGAGAUCGAUGUGCCUCAAGAUCGUCCGAGUCAAUGAUCGAUACUGCGACUUUGAAUCAUGAGGUGUACUUUGAGCCUCAAUAUGUCCGGGCUAGAUGAAUUCUAACCAAAACAAUUUCCAUGACAUCCAUUAUAGAUGAUAUAUAUGACACAUAUGGCACAUUUGAAAAACUCGAGCUCUUCACCGAGGCCAUUGAGAGGUUUGAUUGAUGCAAAUUACCAACCUUCAUCAUUUAUAUUGUAUGUGAUACUUAAAUCAAGCCUGGUUUUAUUUUCAGGUGGGAUAUUAACAGCAUAGAUCACCUUCCAGAAUACAUGAAACACUGCUAUGUGGCACUCUUAGAUGUGUACAAGAGAUGGAGAAAAAAGGAAACCAAUAUCGGGUUCAAAAUGCGAUAGAAGCAGUAGGACAUUCUGCAUUGACUUUGUUUUGUAUAGUAACAUAUCGUAAGGAUAUGGAUGUAACUUGAUUGAAUGUUUGACAGAUGAAAAACCUAGUUAGAGCUUAUUUUCAUGAGGCUAAUUGGUUCCAUGAAGGAAGCAUACCAACAAUGGAAGAGUAUAUGAGGAUAGCACUGGUAACCUCAGGUUACUACAUGCUUACAACCAUGUCUUUCAUUGGUAUGGGAGAAAUUGUAACAAAGGAGGCCUUUGAUUGGGUGAUCAGUGACCCUAAGAUUAUCACAGCAUCAGCUGUAAUUUGUAGGCUCAUGGAUGACAUCAGUUCACAUAAGGUAUUGUGAAUAUAGUAUUUCUUGUUAAGCUAUAAUUUGACCUUGACCUUAAAGCUCAAUCAAUUAAACAUAUUUACUGUACUCUUCUUCUAAACUAUAUAUGCAGUUUGAGCAAAAGAGAGGGCAUGUUGCCUCAGGCAUUGAAUGUUACAUGAAGCAAUAUGGUGCCUCUGAGGAAGAGGCAUACGAUGAGUUUCAGAAGCAAGUUGUGGAUGCAUGGAGGGAUAUUAACGAGGAGUUCCUACGACCUACAGUUGUUCCGAUGCCUCUCCUAAUGCGUGUGCUUAAUCUUUCUCGAGUGAUGGAUGUGAUCUACACGGGGGGAGAUGGGUACACUCAUGUUGGAAAAGUGAUGAAGAACAAUGUUGCAUCACUGCUCAUUCACCCUAUUGUAUGACCAAAUGGAUCAAGUUGAUCACCAUCUACAUAUUCUGCCUUACCUAGGGAGUAGGAUGAAUAAAAAUUAUUGUAAUAGUAUGGGAGAGACCUAUAAUGCUGUGACCCUAAGAUUAUCACAGCAUCAGCUGUAAUUUGUAGGCUCAUGGAUGACAUCAGUUCAUAUAAGGUAUUGUGAACAUAGUAUUUCUUGUUAAGCUAUAAUUUGACCUUGACCUUAAAGCUCAAUCAAUUAAACAUAUUUACUGCACUCAUUUGUGCGAUUCUUUUUCUUGGUAUCCAUGAUUAAUUAAUUAAUUGUCAUAAUUCUCUUAAUUCGUUUUGUAGAGAUCAUAUGUAUACGGACUUCAAAGGGUGCUACGGCUCACCAUUGUACAUUCCCAAGUAACCUGAUAAUCGGAUCUAGAUUCGAUUUUUGUAAACAUGUAUUUUUCAAAUAAGAAGUCACACAUGAUUUUCUUUUUAUUUUGUUUUUCCUUAAAAAAAAACUAAAAUAAAUAGCGACUAACUUUUCAAAAAUCAAUUUUUCACAAUGAAAAAGCGAGUCUCGCCAUUUUAAGUGGGGACACACAUGAAAAAUGCGGGUCCAUAAUGAGUUUAAUUAUUUCUAAAUUCAAAGGAUUAUAAAAAUUUAUUUAUAUAAAAAAAGGAUAUUCCAUUUUGAUGAUUCCAAUCUAUUUUAAGUACCAAAGAAAGUUUUGAUUUUUUUUCUUAUUUACAAAAAAAUGCUUCAAAGUUCUUAAUUUUCACAAAUUUUAUUUACCAACAUUCCAAUUUGAUUUUCAUACAGAAAGAAACUAUUUUUAUAAUUUUUAUUAAAAUAUGAUUUUUUUUUCAAUUUUUUUAAAAAAGUAUCUAAAUCUAAUCUUAUGUCCAUGAGAAUACUUUUACAAAUUCUUUAAGAAACGGAUUUUAAAAAUUUAUUUUUAAAAAAAAUUACAAUUUUAUUUAGAAAAUAAUAAAUAUUCGGAUCCAAUUUUAAUUACAUAAAAAAAUUAUUUUUUUAGUUUUUAUUGAAAAUAAGAUUUUUACAAUUUUAUUUACAUAAGUAUGAAAAUCCAAUUCCAUAUUAUUUACUAAAAUGCAUUUUUUUUUUUACUAUUUUUAAUAAGACAUGAUUUUUACAAUUUUUUUUUAAAGUUUACGAUUUUUAUUAAAAAAAAAAAAGUCUUUGCAAUUUUUUUUAACAAAUUUUUUAAUGUUUUAUUAAAACAAAAUGAUUUCUAGAUUUUAUUUUUUUUUAAAAUGAUUUUCAAAAGUUUAAAAAAAAAAAAAAACCUUUACAGUUUUAUUUAAAAAAAAAAAAACGAUUUUCCAACUGUAUUUACAAUUUAUUUAAAAACGGAUUUUACAGUUUAAAAAAAAAUACAUUUUAUUGUUUUAUUUCAAUCUUACUGUUGUUUUUAUUUUUUUGGAAAAAAAAAAAAAAAAAGAGAAGCUCAAAUUUAUUUUUCUCCUCUCUCUCUCUCUCCCUCCACACGCUCAUUAACUUUAAUGUCAAGGUAUCAGCCCAAUUGACUUGAUUUAUAUUAACUUAAAACUUUUGUUCUAAUAGGUACCUUCAUAUAACGGCAAAGCCUUUGAUUUAUAUAGGAAGUCAUGGAGGUGAACUGUGAACCUUAGUGAUGCGUACCCAAACCCUACCAUUUAUUUGUAAUAUAGUCAUCAUAAUAUUUAAAUUAAACAUUUAAAAUAUGUUUUUUGUUCUCUUAGAAAUACGAAAAGUGUAUCUUAUUCCCUUAAUAAUUCUCAACAUUCAACCAGCCGCCAAACAGUGAUUAAGACUUUUUCACGUGAAGAUAAAACUUAUGAUUGAUCUUAUUUUUAUAAAAACACUAAAAAACGAUUUUUUUUAUCUUUAACUUAAAAAUGGUUUUUAAAAAUAAUUUUUAGAAAACAUAAAUUAAACAGACUCUUAGGGUUUCAUUUGAGAAAUAAAUGAAGAAGAUUACAAAAAAAUUGAAAAUAAAUAAAGAAGAUGAUAUUUUAAUUUUUAUUUAAUAUCUUAAUUUUUAUUAUCUAAAAUUAUUUAAUUAUUCUAAUUAAUGAUAUUUUGAGUUUAAUUAUGAUUAAAAUAUAUAAAAGUCUUAAAUUGAGAUAAGUUGCUUAAAUGAUUGAUUGUGGAUUGAAAUUUUACUCACAAAAUAUGCAUGUGGCUUUCGCUUGAAAAGGCAUAUGUUGGGAAGCAGUUAUGCUUGGUUACGAGUUCUAUAAGCUUACGAUUUUAGAUUUGCAUGAUUAUCUUAAUUUGGAUUAGACAGCUACGGAGAAGGGGCCUUUAUUCAAACUGUUUGUCUUAUUCUCAACAAAGGAAGCAUUUUAUUUAAAACAGAACACUCUAAGAAAAACUAACAGCCAAAUUAAAACAAUUAGGCCAUGUUUGGUACGAAGCCAAAGCAAUUAGGUCAUGUUUAGCAUGAAGCCAAAUCACGACCAUGUUUGGUAUAUAGAAAUGAAGAGUAAGAAUAGAUAUGUUAUUUAUUUUCUCAUUCAUUUUCAUAUUUGGAUGAUUUAAGUAUAGUAAAAAUAAAAUAAAAAAUAAUUUCAAAGAAAUGAAACAAGUUAUUCUUAAAAACACUUUUUAAAAGUUAAAAAUCAAAAACUUUUUUAGAUAAGUCCGUUUUAAAAAUAAUUUUUUAUUUUGAUUUUGUAAAAAAGAAAUUAUAAAUUCAAUUUAUAUAAUAUAAAAUUAAUUUAAUUCAAGUCUUAUAAAAAAUAAAAAUAACUUUGUAAUUAUAAAUACAUUUUUAAAUUAAAUAUUUUUUAAUAAAAUAUGAAUAGGAUUAUCAUAAUAUAAUCAUAAAUUAUAUUUUUAAUAAAUAUUAUAAAAAAUAUGGAUAUUAACCUCUUAUAAAAGCAUAAUUGAUUUAUUUUGUUAAAAAUAAAUAAUAAUGAUUUAAAAUUAAUAAUUACUAAUACUAUUUUUUAAAAUUAUUAUACUUACUACUUUGUUUUAAAAAAUUAUUUCUCAAGAACAAUAAUCGAUAGUGGUAUUAAUUUUUAAAAACAAUUUUAUUUUUAAAUGAAAAGCCUAAACAGGUUUUUAUUAUUUAGCAAAAAAAAAAAAAAAAAACACUGUCAAACAUUUUUUUAAAAUGAAAAUAAAAAAAUUAUUUAAAAUGAUGUAUUGUGUAAGAGAUUUUUUUUAAAAUAAAAAUAAAAGAUUAAAGAUACUAUAAAUUAUGAUUAAAAUAAUGAAAAUUAAUAAAAUGAUAUUGGCUUUUUUUUUUAAAUACAUUCGAAAUAUUAAUCUAAAAAAAGAAGAUAAAUGAAUAAUAUAUUGAAAAAUAUAACUUUGUCUUUUUUCUUACAAUAAUUUUCAUAGCUUUAAAAAUAGUGAUCUUUAAUUUUCUUGCUAUUAUUUAUUAUUAGCUGAGUUGUAUAAAUUACAUUGUUAUAGUUUCCUUUAAAACCAAAAUAAAAAUCAAUCCAUGUGGUUCAAUGACAAUAUUGGCUGAAAAAAAAAAAUCACUUAAUUUUCAUCUACUAGAUCCUAGCCGCCACCUAAUAUUUAUGACUUGUUUGGAUAUUUUGAGUGAAUUUAACCAAAGAGACACUAGAAGGCCAAUAGUUUUCUUGCCAUCAGUCUCUUCCAUGCACUACCCUUUCAAAUCAUGGGCCCCAAAACCAAACCAAAUUCCACAUACUUUUCAACUACAUACAACCAAUGAAUGCCAAUGCUGCCCUAUAAAUAUGGAGCUUGCCAAGCUAUUUCUCUCAUACUUACUGUAACGCCGAAGUAUUUUUUUAAGGGUAAUUUAGGAAAUUACUAAUAAUAAUUCAAUUAGUUAAUUAAUUAAUUUAAUAAAGUGGAAGAUGGGUAAAAGUGUAAUUUUAUGAAUAAAUACCCUAGGUAUAAAUUAGAAAUUCUAUUUCUUCCUGUUCUUUUCUGAAUAGAAUUCCUGUUCGCAGAAUUUCAGAGAACGUAGAUUGAAGUUAGAUUUCAGGGUUGAAGAACAGAUCUCUAUAGGUAAGAUUCAGUUUAAUAUUUUAGAUUCAUUGAUUAAUUUCAAACACAUUAGAUAUCUUUUGGAAAACCCAAAUCUAGAUUAGGGUUAGUUUAUUUUAUUUUUUUUAAUUCGUUUUCAUAUCAAUAGUAAAAAAAUAAAAAAAAUAAAAAAAUAAAAAUAAAAAUUUAAGAUUUUGAUUUAUUGUUGGUAUUUAGGAGAUCUUAAGUUUUAUUAGAUGAAAAACAAAAAAAAGGUUCCUUGGAAGGUUUCGAUUUUAUAUUAGGGUUAAUUUUAUUAAAAAAAGAAAAAGGGCGUGCGCCAAAUGAAAGGAAGCCUUAUAUAUAUAUAUAAUGAAUCAUGAUGAUGGCAAUGGAAAAAAAAAAACUUGCUUUUUGGUUUGGUGUACCCGAGACAACUAGGUAAUGGUUGAGUGACUUUUGAAUUGGUUAAUUAAAAUAAUAAUAUUUAGUUUAAGAUUCAUAAUUAAGAUAAUAGUAAUAAUAGUCUUCUUUUUUUUGUAAUAAAUAGAAUGAGAGAUUUAGCAAAAUAUAUAUAUAUAUAUAUAUAUAUAUAUAUAGAAUUUUAUAAUGAAAUAAAAUUGUAAUUUAAUUAAAUUAGUAAUGUGUUAUUAGAAACAAAUUGAGAAUUUAUUAAUUUUAUUUAAAUAAGGAAUAGAUUAGUUAAAUUAUAGAUAAAUAGUAAUAAUUAUUUAUCUUAUGUUAUAUUAGGAGAAGAGUAGAUUUUUCCAGAAUUAUUUUUCUCCCAAGCUUUCAAGGUCUUUGCAUAAUUUGAGGUAAGGGAAGUUAAUGCAAUAUUUAUAAAAUUUAAAUUAUUUUAUAUGUUAUUUUGAAUUGUGGAAAAGAAAAUGAUAUUUUGUUACCAUGCAUGGAUCAAAUUGUUUUGCACUAAAUAUUAUGUUGGAAUAUUUUGUUUUAUUUAUGACACAAAAUAUGGAGAUAUUAUGUUGUGUAAAUUUGAAUACUUGAACAAAAACAUCACUCUGGUUUAUUUGACCCUUGUCAACGAGAUAUAAUAGUUGACUAUUCGGCCCUGUCAACAGGAUAUAAUAGUUGACCUUUACAUUUCAUGGUAAGAAUGUAAUUGAUUUGGACCCCAGCCUCUAGGGGUUUGGUUAGAGGUUACUAGUAGUAGUAGUGUUUGGUUCCGUCCACCAGGAACAACUUGAGGCUAGCCACCCAUUUGAAAAGUCCCACCUAACUGGGCAUUUGAUAUUUGAUAACCAGAGUAAUGAAAAUUGAAUGGAUUUGAUUGAAUCUUAUGUGAAAGUGUUUGAAUUUGAUAUGAAAAUGGUUGGUUGAAUUUUGAAUAUAUUGGUAUUUUUGAAACUCUGAUAUUUGAUGAGAAAAAAAAAUGAUAUCUCCUAUUUGAAAUGAAAAUAUUUUUCCAUGAACUGCAUUAAUAUUCCUUACUGGGCUGUGAGCUCAUUCCCAAUUGUUGAAAACUUUUCAGGUACUCUUAGUUCGGGUGAGGAGUGAUGGCUAGGAUGAGGAAUGGUCAUCAUUAGGAUUUGACUUAGGAUUUUAUGUUGGAUUUUGUUUAACUGUUAGUUAUGUUCAUUUGGACCCUUUGGUAUUUGGAAGUUAUUUGGAUAUUGAUCCUUCAAAUUUUAUGUUAGAUCAAAGUUGAGUUUUGGAGAUUUUGAAAUUUGUUCUAGUACUUGAAUUGUUUAAGUUUGCAAAUAUUUGGAUAAUGGAUUUUGGAUAGUGGAUGUUUUAGUUUUGAAAUUGAAUUUUGAGGAUUUUAGAUUUUGUUCCGCUACUCUGAAUAGGUAUUUGGUAAUUAGUAACUUCCGAUUACAAGAUAAUUGUUUGGGUCGGGUUACACUGUAAGCCUUCGGGUUUGAAGUGUGAAAUGACCGUCACGCUCUUGGAGUGGGUCUUGGGGCGUGACAGAGUGGUAUCAGAGCACUAGGUUUUGAUCUUGAUGGGAAUUUGAAUUGGUUUAGAUUGGGGAUAGAUGAGUGACGCAUUUGUUUAAGUUUUAGUUUCAUUUAGUAUAAAUUCCAAUUCUUUCUUUAUUUGUAAAUUUUCUAAUUGGUUCUUUAGUGACUAAAUUAGUUAUGCCUUAUUAUUUUAGGACAUCAUGCCACCAAGAAGAGCAACUUCUUCACAAAAUAGUCAGAUUAAUGAUGAUGUACCUCCAGUUGAGGGUUUGCCUCCCGUGAGUGCAAAAGGGAUCUAUAGGUAUCUUGGGACACUAGCUGGUUUAGUUGAACGCCAAGCUCGAGCUGUUGGGACUAAUGUUCAGGGACAGACUUCAUCUUCUAGGGGUAACUCUUUUGAUGACUUCAAGAAAUUGGGUCCUCCUUACUUUUCUGGUGCUACAGAUCCCACAGAGGCAGAGGCUUGGAUCCUUAAGGUGGAGAAAUUCUUUGGUGUCAUAGAUUGCUCUGAGGAGCAAAAAGCCUCUUAUGCAGCUUUUAUGUUAGAUAAAGAGGCAGAUCAUUGGUGGCGUAUGACUAGGAGACUUUUGGAGGAUCAGGGACCCAUAACAUGGAGACAAUUUAAGGAGGCUUUCUACAAGAAGUAUUUCCCUGACAGUGUUAGGCGGCAGAAGGUGGGAGAGUUUAUUCAUUUGGAACGGGGAGAUAUGACUGUGGCUCAAUAUGAGGCCAAAUUUACAGAGUUAUCAUGUUUUUCCCCACAGUUGAUUGCUACAGAGGAGGAAAAGGCAUUAAAGUUUCAGGAUGGAUUGAAGCCUUAUUUGAAGAACAAGAUAUCUAUUCUGAAGCUUGGUGUCUAUUCAGAGGUUGUUGACAGAGCCCUUAUAGCAGAGAAAGAUAAUGAGGAGCUUCAUCAGUAUAGGGAACAACAAAGGAAGUGAAAUAGGAGUGAUAGUGCUCAUGGUAAUCAAGCACAGCGAAGGUCUACAUCAGGAAGAAAUCAGAAUAAAGGGAAUGCAACGCAUUAUUUAGAUGGGGCUUGUCCUACUUGUGGUAAGAAGCAUGGGGGUAGGCCAUGCUAUAGAGAGACUGGAGCUUGCUUUGGUUGUGGGAAGCAAGGACAUUUGAUCAGAGAUUGUCUAGAGAAUAGGAAGUUCAUCAAUGGGAAGCCUAAAGAGGAAAAUAAGGAGGAUAAACAGAAACCCAAAGCCCAAGAACGGGUGUUUUCUUUGACUCAUCGAGAUGCUCAGGCCACUUCUGAUGUGGUAACAGGUACUCUCCGAAUCCACACCUUAUUUGCUAGAGUCUUGAUUGAUCCUGGAUCAACACACUCUUUUGUUUCAGUAUCUUUUGCCAGUUUGUUGGGUUUGCCUGUUGCUAGCAUGGACUUUGAUUUGAUUGUUACUACUCUUGUGGGAGAUUCUGUUGUGGUCAGUAGAAUGCUUAGAAAUUGUAUUGUGAUGAUUGGUUAUAGGGAAAUGCCAGUUGACUUAGUACUCCUUGAUCUUUAGGAUUUUGAUGUGAUUUUGGGGAUGGAUUGGUUAGCUUCCUACCAUGCCUCUGUUGACUAUUUUGAGAAAAUGGUGACGUUUAGUAUUCCUGGUCAGCCUAAGUUUAGCUUUGAAGGGAAGCAUGUGGACAGACCACUGCGUAUGAUCUCAGCCUUGCGAGCUAGUAGCUUGCUCAAGAAGGGUUGCCAAGGAUUUUUGGCUAGUGUGAUGAGUAAUGAAAGUGAUUUGAAGUUGGAAAACAUACCCAUAGUAAGGGAGUAUGUUGAUGUCUUUCCAGAGGAUUUGCCUGGCUUGCCACCAGAGAGAGAGGUGGAGUUUACCAUCGAUUUGGUACCAGGAACAGGUCCUAUGUCUAAGGCCCCAUACAAGAUAGCACCUGUGGAGCUUAAGGAGUUGAAAGUUCAGCUUCAAGAGUUAUUAGACAAGGGUUUUAUCAGGCCUAGUGUUUCACCUUGGGGAGCUCCUGUUCUAUUUGUAAAAAAGAAGGAUGGCUCAAGGAGACUUUGCAUUGACUAUAGGGAGUUGAAUAAGGUGACAGUGAAGAACAAGUAUCCCCUUCCUCGGAUUGAUGAUUUGUUUGAUCAGCUAUAAGGUGCUUGUGUGUUCUCUAAGAUAGAUCUUCAAUCGGGUUAUCACCAGUUGAGGGUUAGAGGGGAAGAUGUACCCAAGACUGCUUUUCGAACUAGGUAUGGGCACUAUGAGUUUCUUGUUAUGCCUUUUGGUUUGACUAAUGCACCUGCUACUUUUAUGGACUUGAUGAAUAGGGUAUUCAAACCCUAUUUAGAUCAGUUUGUGGUGGUUUUUGUAGAUGACAUCUUGGUAUACUCAAGAAGUAGAGAGGAGCAUGAGGGCCAUUUGAGUAUUGUAUUACAGACCCUCAGAGAUAAGCAGUUGUAUGCUAAACUGAAGAAGUGUGAGUUUUGGUUAGACCGAAUUNNNNNNNNNNNNNNNNNNNNNNNNNNNNNNNNNNNNNNNNNNNNNNNNNNNNNNNNNNNNNNNNNNNNNNNNNNNNNNNNNNNNNNNNNNNNNNNNNNNNAACGAAGAAGUUGCAGCCAUUACAAGCCAGUCACUCUAAAGUGUUGCGGAAUCAGCCUUUUGUUGCGAGAAUUUCGCAGCACUUUUGUACAGUAAGGUGUUUCUCCUUCUGACGAUGCACGAACCAUGCCGCGAGAAGGGAGCUGGAAACUUCAAGAUGGAAGCCAACUUUGCAGCCUAGUGAAGAUAGCUCGGUCUUGCAAGAUAAUUUCGCAGCCCUCUUGGGUGUCUGCGAAAUUUCGCAGGCCCCACUUUUCACCUGCGAAAUGGCUCCUGAAGCCUCCCGAAGCUUGCUACCGACAUUGGGAGAUAUUUUCCAUUAGAUUUUUGUUGUCUAAAUCCCAAAAUACUCCUUGUAAACCACCAAUUACAUGAUUCCUUAGUUUUUAGGUUAGUAAAAAGACCAAAUAUCUUUGUAAGAAUUAGUUUUAUAUUAGUUUGAUAUAAAUACCUCUCGGGAGCCUGUUCUCGGGGAGGAGUUCCUUCUGUAAACAUUUGGUAAGGAAGUAAAGGUCUUUUCUUUCUACUGCCUUACCUUCUCACUUUGUAUUUUCAUUAUAUUUCUAAGUUAUGAAUUCUCUGAGGAGUUUUCCCCAGAGAAUGAGUAACUAAACCUCCAAUUCCUUGGAGCUAAGGUUGCCGGGGAAGGUUCCAAGUGCAAAAAUGCAAAGCUCUGUGGUUUUAGCUAGUAAUGAAGAGGAAGUGAAAUCCUUUAGUGAUUUCAAUGUUUUUAGUUAACUUAAAACACCUUGGAGUCACCUGGGCCAACACUUGGUAAGGCAAGUGAUUUCCAACCGUGGAAAUGCACUAGUUUACCCCUUGCGAGCCUCUGGUAGGUGACUUCAAGGUAGGAUUUUCCGGAAUUACCAACACUUGGUAAGCUUUUGGACUCCUAGGAGACAUCCAUUAGUUAUCUCUUGCGAGUUUGUGAAGGGAAGUCCAAGGUUAAAGAUCACCUUGAAUGGUAAGUGCUCGUGAGAGGCAUGAACCAUUGCAAGGUGCAUCAGUGAGAGAAUUAAAGUGAAAUCUAAUUGAAGGAGUCUCUGUACAUCACCGGUUAGAGACUUGACUCUAAGUUGAAUCUCUAAUGCGAGGAAAUGAACCAUCUGACCAGAGCUAUGUCUUUUGCAUGAGGAACCACCCCAGUGAACCUAAAUCUCCNNNNNNNNNNNNNNNNNNNNNNNNNNNNNNNNNNNNNNNNNNNNNNNNNNNNNNNNNNNNNNNNNNNNNNNNNNNNNNNNNNNNNNNNNNNNNNNNNNNNAAAUCAAAGUUUGUGUUUUAUUUCUUAAACUAACCGUGAAAUGAAACAAAACCAAUUCACUUGGAAUUGGUAUCCUUGAUUGCUUGCAAAUCAUUCCUAGUGAACGAUCCUUAGAGCCACUAUACUAUAGUAGCUUUGUAUUUGCUACCCUAGUGUAUGGUGUUAUAGGUAUAAAUUUUGUUGAUCACUUCCUCAAUCAAGGAGCACCAGCUGAACACAAAUCAGCUGAGACACCAAUUGGGCAUGAGUCAGAGAUCUUGAGAUUUGGGACUAGACUUUGUGUCCCAAAUGAUGAAGACUUAAGAAGGGAGCUUUUAGAGGAAGCUCAUUGUUCCAAGUUUGCAAUCCACCCAAGAGGGACAAAGAUGUACAAGGAUUUGAGGCAAAACUAUUGGUGGUCAGGUAUGAAGCAUGAUAUUGCACAAUUUGUGGCUCAGUGUUUAGUGUGUCAACAGGUGAAGGCUGAGCAUCAGCGACCAGCAGGGUCUUUGCAGCCACUUGCUAUUCCUGAGUGGAAGUGGGAGCAUAUUACCAUGGAUUUUGUGAUAGGAUUGCCAAGAACCUUAGGGAGUAAUAAUGCUAUUUGAGUGGUUGUUGAUCGGUUGACAAAGUCUGCUCACUUUUUGCCUAUGAAAGUCAACUUUUCUUUAGAUCGUUUAGCUUUUCUUUAUGUGAAGGAGAUUGUGAGAAUGCAUGGAGUACUAGUUUCUAUAGUGUCUGAUAGAGAUCCUCGUUUCACUUCUAGAUUCUGGCAUAGUCUAUAAAAAGCUUUGGGCACUAAGUUGAGUUUUAGUACUGCUUUCCAUCCUCAAACUGAUGGUCAAUCAGAAAGGGUAAUUCAGGUUUUAGAAGACUUGUUGAGAGCUUGUAUUUUGGACUUGCAAGGUAAUUGGGAUGAUCAUUUACCUUUAGUAGAGUUUGCCUAUAACAAUAGUUUUCAAGCUAGCAUUGGGAUGUUACCUUUUGAGGCAUUGUAUGGUAGGAAAUGUCGAUCUCCUAUCUGUUGGAAUGAUGUUGGAGAAAGGAAACUUUUGGGGCCUGAACUUGUGCAGUUGAUUGUUGAAAAAGUUGCUUUGAUUAAAGAAAGAUUAAAAGCAGCUCAAAGUAGACAUAAGAGUUAUGCUAAUCAUCGUAGGCGAGAUUUGGAGUUUGAGGUGGGUGAUAUGUGUUCUUGAAAGUUUCACCUAUGAAGUCUGUGAUGAGAUUUGGGAGAAAAGAAAAACUUAGUCCUCGUUUUGUGGGUUCGUUUGAAAUAUUAGAAAGAGUAGGCACUUUGGCAUAUAAAGUAGCCUUGCCCCCAAGUCUAUCUAAGAUUCAUAAUGUUUUCCAUGUUUCAACCUUGAGGAAGUAUAUUUAUAAUCCAUCUCAUGUUGUGGAGUUGGAGCCUAUUCAAAUUUCGGAGGACUUGACCUAUGAAGAGGUACCCGUUCAAAUUGUGGAUGUGAUGGAUAAGGUACUGCGACAUGUUGUUGUCAAGUUGGUAAAGGUCCAGUGGAGCAAUCAUAGUAUCCGAGAGGCCACUUGGGAGUUAGAAGAAGAGAUGAGAGAAAAACAUCCUCAAUUAUUUCAAGACUCAAGUAUGUCAAGUUUAGAAGACUAAACUUUUGUUAAGAAGGGGAGGAUGUAACGCCCAAGUAUUUUUUUAAGGGUAAUUUAGGAAAUUACUAAUAAUAAUUCAAUUAGUUAAUUAAUUAAUUUAAUAAAGUGGAAGAGGGGUAAAAGUGUAAUUUACAAAUAAAUACCCUAGGUAUAAAUUAGAAAUUCUAUUUCUUCUUGUUCUUUUCUGAAUAGAGUUCCUGUUCGCAUGAAUUUCAGAGAACAUAGGUUGGAGUCAGAUUUCAAGGUUGAAGAACAGAUCUCUAUACGUAAGAUUUUAACCCCUAGUUUAAUAUUUUAGAUUCAUUGAUUAAUUUCAAACACAUUAGAUAUCUUUUGGAAAACCCAAAUCUAGAUUAGGGUUAGUUUUUAUUUUUUUUUUAUUUUUUUUUUUUAAUUCGUUCUAAUAUCAAUAGUAAAAAUAAUAAUAAUAAUAAUAAAAAUUUAAAAAAAAUUUAAGAUUUUGAUUUAUUGUUGGUAUUUGGGAGAUCUUAAGUUUUAUUAGAUGAAAAAAAAAAAAGGUUCCUUGGAAGGUUUCAAUUUUAUAUUAGGGUUAAUUUUAUUAAAAAAAGAAAAGGGGCGUGUGCCAAAUGGAAGGAAGCCUUAUAUAUAUAUAUAUAUAUAUAUAUAAUGAAUCAUGAUGAUGGCAAUGGAAAAAAAAAAAAAAACUUGCUUUUUGGUUUGGUGUACCCAAGACAACUAGGUAAUGGUUGAGUGGCUUUUGAAUUGGUUAAUUAAAAUAAUAAUAUUUAGUUUUAGAUUAAUAAUUAAGAUAAUAGUAAUAAUAGUCUUUUUUUUUUUUGUAAUAAAUAGAAUGAGAGAUUUAGCAAUAUAUAUAUAGAAUUUUAUAAUGAAAUAAAAUUGUAAUUUAAUUAAAUUAGUACUGUGUUAUUAGAAACAAAUUGAGAAUUUAUUAAUUUUAUUUAAAUAAGGAAUAGAUUAGUUAAAUUAUAGAUAAAUAGUAAUAAUUAUUUCUCUUAUGUUAUAUUAGGAGAAGAAUAGAUUUUUCCUGAAUUAUUUUUCUCCCAAGCUUUCAAGGUCUUUGCAUAAUUUGAGGUAAGGGAAGUUAAUGCAAUAUUUAUAAAAUUUAAAUUAUUUUAUAUGUUAUUUUGAAUUGUGGAAAAGAAAAUGAUAUUUUGUUACCAUGCAUGGAUCAAAUUGUUUUGCACUAAAUAUUAUGUUGGAAUAUUUUGUUUUAUUUAUGACACAAAAUAUGAAGAUAUUAUGUUGUGUAAAUUUGAAUACUUGAACAAAAACAUCACUCUGGUUUAUUUGACCCUUGUCAACGAGAUAUAAUAGUUGACUAUUCGGCCCUGUCAACGGGAUAUAAUAGUUGACCUUUACAUUUCAUGGUAAGAAUGUAAUUGAUUUGGACCCCAACCUCUAGGGGUUUGGUUAGAGGUUACUAGUAGUAAUAGUAUUUGGUUCCGUCCACCAAGAACAAUUUGAGGCUAGCCACCCAUUUGAAAAGUCCCACCUAACUGGGCAUUUGAUAUUUGAUAACUAGAGUAAUGAAAAUUGAAUGGAUUUGAUUGAAUCUUAUGUGAAAGUGUUUGAAUUUGAUAUGAAAAUGGUUGGUUGAAUUUUGAAUAUAUUGGUAUUUUUGAAACUCUGAUAUUUGAUGAGAAAAAAAAAAUGAUAUCUCCUAUUUGAAAUGAAAAUAUUUGAUCCAUGAACUGCAUUAAUAUUCCUUAUUGGGUUGUGAGCUCAUUCCCAAUUGUUGAAAAAUUUUCAGGUACUCUUAGUUCGGGUGAGGAAUGAUGGCUAAGCUGAGGAAUGGUCAUCAUUAGGAUUUGACUUAGGAUUUUAUGUUGGAUUUUGUUUAACUGUUUGUUAUGUUCAUUUGGACCCUUUGGUAUUUGGAAGUUAUUUGGAUAUUGAUCCUUCAAAUUUUAUGUUAGACCAAAGGUGAGAUUUGGAGAUUUUGAAAUUUGUUCUAGUACUUGAAUUGUUUAAGUUUGCAAAUAUUUGGACAAUGGAUUUUGGAUAGUGGAUGUUUUAGUUUUGAAAUUGAAUUUUGAGGAUUUUAGAUUUUGUUCCGCUACUCUGAACAGGUAUUUGGUAAUUGGUAACUUCCGAUUACAAGAUAAUUGUUUGGGUCAGGUUACACUGUAAGCCUUCGGGUUUGAAGUGUGAAAUGACCGUCAUGCCCUUGGAGUGGGUCUUGAGGCGUGACACUUACCGAUUCAUCAUUCAAGGUAUAGAACUGUUCUAUCAUUGAUCCAAGGAAUUAACAUGUCUACUCAAGUCUCAGCAUCUUCUCUAGCCCAGAUUCCCAAACCCAAAAAUCGUCCUGGCAAACUUUCACCCCAACAUUUGGGGUGACCAAUUUAUCACCUGCACUCCUGAAGACUAUGCAUCAAUUAUAAAUUUGACAGUUAUUUUUCUUAAUAUGUUGGAUGAUAAAAUUUGUUGGUCAAGGUUACACGUGCUUGCAAAGAGGAGCAGAUUGAGGAUCUGAAAAAGGAAGUGAAAAGGGAAUUAACGGUUGUUGUUGUUGCUAACCCUUCCCAAUUGCUGAACUUCAUUGAUGCAUACCACUUUGAGCAAGAGAUAGAAGAAGCAUUACAACAAAUUUGUAAUAGUUUUCAUGAUUGCAAUGAUAUGGAUGGUGAUCUCUACAAUAUUGCUCUUGGAUUUCGACUACUAAGGCAACAAGGGUACAGUAUUUCAUGUUGUAAGAGACUAAGAAAAAAUUGUUAUGUUAAACCUUCUUAUCAUUCAAAAUCUUAUGUUCAAGUGGUGAUGUUUAUGUAGGUAUAUUGAACAAGUUUACGGAUGAAUGAGGUAGAUUCAAGGAAGCUUUGAUCAACGAUGUAAGAGGCAUGCUAGGCUUGUAUGAAGCUGCACAUCUGAGGGUUCAUGGUGAGGACAUACUUGCAGAAGCACUUACUUUCACCACCACUCACCUCGAGGCCAUGGUAGAAAGUUUAGGAUAUCCUCUUGCAGAACAAGUUGCCCAUGCCCUGAACCGACCAUUAGAAAAGGUUUGGAGAGGUUAGAGGCAAGAUGGUAUUUAUCUGUCUACCAAGUGUUGGUUUAAGGGUAUGGAAACAAAGGACUAACUCAAAAGACACAAACAAAAAACAUAAUGAAUAGUAAGAAAAACUUAUUAGUUGAGGCGUGACAAACACUGUUCUUGAAAUAGAUCCACCCUCUUCGAAAACGAACUGAAUGCACUAAGGUGCCAGUGGUCUACCUCCAGGAUUCAAUAGCCAGAUCUUGCCUUGGGUGCACUCUAUAAGUGAGACAUGUACAACUUGGUUUUGAAAAAAUUCCUCCAAAAAGAUGUAUGAAAGACUCUCUGAAAAAUUGGUAUUCAAAGAGUAAAAGGUGACCUGCUUUUAUAGGUCACCAACACAGUCCUAAUGGGACUCUACUUGUAAUCAGAGGACUCAAAGUGGAAUGAGAUUCUACUUAUAAGUGAAACAGGACUCUAUUAGCACAAUCCCAAUGGGAUUCUUCCCAAAGGUAAAAGACUAAGUCAAAUGGAAUAAAAAUUAAAUAAAAAAAAUUGAAUUUUGUAAAAAUUAGUCAAAUUCGCUAAAACACUUUUUCACAUUUACACUCUUCCUACACCAAGAUGAAGCUUUCCAUGAUAAAACUUUACCAGAGCUAGCCAAAUUAGAUUUCAAUCUAGUGCAGUCACUGCACAAGGAAGAGCUAAGCAAUCUUGUAAGGUUGGUUUUUAAAUCACCCCACAUGUACUUGGCCAUUCUUAUCACUUUCUUGUAUACUGAUCAUAUUAAUGUCUUUUAGGUGGUGGAAAGAAUUAGACUUUGUUACAAAGUUAUCUUUUGCAUGAGACAGAUUGGUUGAAUGCUACUUUUGUAUACAUGGGGUAUAUUUUGAGCCUCAAUACUUACGAGCUAAACGAAUUCUAACCAAAGUAAUUGCUAUGACAUCCAUUCUAGAUGAUAUCUAUGAUGCAUAUGGCACACCUGGUGAACUCAAGCUCUUCACAGAAGCCAUUGAGAGGUUUGCUACUUGCACAUUACCAACCUUGAUUGUGUAUAAUAUAUGUAUUUAUAUAUACCUAAAUCAAGGGUCAUUAUUUUAUUUUCAGGUGGGAUAUUAACAGCAUAGAUCAACUUCCAGAAUACAUGAAACCCUGCUAUGUGGCACUCUUUGAUGUGUACAAAGAAAUCGAGGAAGAGAUGGAGAAAGAAGGAAACCAAUAUAGGGUGCACUAUGCCAAAGAAGUAGUAGGACAUCUUUAACUCUGGAUUCCCACCUUUUGCAUUGAUGAUAUUUUAUAUGGUCUCAUAUAUACAUAGAUAUAACUUGGGUGAAUGUCCAUUAGAUGAAGAAUCAAGUUCGAGGUUACAUGAAGAACACGUACCAACACUUGAAGAGUACAUGUGUGUUGCACUAGUAAGCUUUGGAUACUACAUGCUUGCAACCACAUCCUUGGUGGGAAUGGGAGAAAUAGUAACAAAGGAGGCCUUUGAUUGGGUGACCAGCGAUCCUAAGAUUAUGCCAUCUUCAAAUUUCAUUGCGAGGCUCAUGGAUGACAUCACAUCACAUAAGGUAUGCAGAAUAUGUUAUUCAAGUGGGGAGAAUAUAACACACCGGUUUUUUUUUUUCUCAACUUUUGCAUUAUACAUGCAGUUUGAGCAAAAGAGAAGGCAUGUGGCCUCAGCCAUUGAAUGUUACAUGAAGUAAUAUGGUGUCUCUGAGGAACAAGUAUACAGCGAGCUUCAAAAUCAAAUUGAGAAUGCAUGGUUGGAUGUCAACCAGGAAUGCCUCAAACCUACUACUAUUCCAAUGCCUCUCCUUGCUCCUAUUCUAAAUCUUACACGAGUCUCGGAUGUCAUUUACAAAGAGCAAGAUGCGUACACACAUGUUGGGAAAGUGAUGAAGAAUAACAUUGCGUACACACAUGUAGUUGAUUAUCGUCCCCUAUGUAUUGCCUUGUGGAAGAAGUAAUAUCUAAUAAAUCAUUAUAAUAAGGUGAGGGAACAAUACGUAAUAAAUCAUUGUAAUAUGGAAAGGGGGACACAUCAUAUGUAGCACCUAGUUUCUCUGGGUUCAUAGUGUUUUACUUUUGAAUAUUCCCUGAAUAUUUAAAUAAGAAUAUGUAUUACUUAAAUCACCUGAAUAUAUUAUUUAUUAUAUUAUAUUCUUUAAUACAUAUGUAUUAUUGUGAUUCAACUUGAGGAGUAUUGAUACUGAGUCUUAAAAUACAUAUGUAUGUAGAAUAUAUGUCUACAAAAAAUCCGGAUCUCCUUGUUAAUGUGUAAUGGUGUUUUGGAGUACUACAAUACUCACCAAAUAACUUCUUUACACUUUAUAAUGGACACUGACUGGUGAGUUUAUAGUUAAUUAAAGAUUUCACUCGAUAGCAAAUUAUUAUUAUUAUUAUUAUUAUUGUUAUUGUUGUUGCUAGCGUUAUUAUUAUUUAAUUCAUUAUUAUGAAAAUUAUUAUUAUUAUUACUAUUUAAUUAUUAUUAUUAUUAGCUAUUAAUUUUAGUUUUUUCUUUUUCAUCUUUUCUUUUUUGUUGUUUGUUAUAUACUUCAUAAAAUUAUAAGUUAUGGUCUUUUAUUAGGUUGAAAUUGGAAGUUCAAGUUCAUUAAAGUAUGACACAGUUAACUUAGGUUCACUAAUUUUGUAAAAAAUUUGAUGCAUUUAUAGGAUAAUUAAAUAAUUCAACAAACUUAUCAUUUUACUAAUUAAGGUUUUUUAUUUUAUUUUAUUUUUUAAAAAACUUUUUUACAUGUAAGAAUACAGAAAUUAUGGUUCAAUGUGAAACUUUGGAAUUGCAUGAAUAUGAAAGUGAAAUUUGUUGGUGUCGUUCCCAACUAGAGUUAGGUUCAUCCAACUUCACUGGAGUCAGGUGGACUGCUUCCUUUCUCCAACUCGUGAACUUAGCCGAUACUAAGUUAUGUGAUAACACCCAAUUUUUCCGUUCGUGCUUCUUGAGAAGUCCGUCCAGUUGUAUUGGAAUCAGACAGACUUCUUCCAUGCACAAAAGGAUGUCCAGACAGGUGAUUCGAGCACGUCCCUCCUAAACUUAAGUCAGUUAAGGAUAGUUCUAACUUAUUUUUGUGGCAGAAAAUGAGUUUAUGUGCAUGCCUACCUUGUUCAUGCUUUUUGAGGGGUUUAUAUAGAGUUGAUGAUACUGUCCCUAUAGUGCUGACUAUACACUCUAGUCUUUCUUGUAAUGAUGAUUGCCCUUAGGGCGGUUGAUUGGUGCCAUCUAUUGACGUGCCAAAAUCUCGGACCAGCAACCGAUUGUCCAUUUAGCUUGCCAAUGUCUGGGAUUGUGUGUAACAAUUAAUUGACAUUGACUUUUGGGUGUAAAUGGAGUCCUGUCCACUGCUUAGAUGUCAGGCGUCUAAUCCACUGCUCAAAUGUCCUGUGUCUGGGCCAACGCUCAGACAUCAAGCAUAGUUGAUCAUGCAUGCCAGAAAUCCUGAGGACUUGAUUAGACUGAUUUUUUCGUCUGAGAGUCCAACGAGCCUAGCCUAUCGAUUCCGUUCAACCUUGUGGAAGAAGAGAAACCUCUCACUUCUUGUGUCAGACAUAACUUAUCUUGGUCCAAACGAAUUGAUCCCAGACGGGUUAUAAGUUUGUUCUGGUCGGCCAAGGGGUCUUAAGCUUGAAAAUGACACGUGAAGGGAAACCCCCCACAAUGCCCUUUUAAUCUGUCUACUUCUAUUCAGAUGAAGAGGAGAUGUUUUUGGAGCGUCCAGUUAGUUUCCUAUCUGAACAGGAAUUCUGGGAUCGUUUCCAUAUUCCAGAGAAUAUCCCUAUUCUUCUAAUAGACGACGAGGCGUUAUCCUCCGUUGACCUGCCCAACAACAUGAUGUAUUUUACUAAGGAACAAUUCGUUGCAGGGCUCCGUCUACCUAUCCCCUCUCUCUUCAAGCAGUUUCUUCAUUUUAUGUAAAUCCCUUCAGCUUUUCUUCAUCCGAAUUUUGUCCGGGUAUUGAUGGGAUGUAGUGUUCUAGACAUGCUCUUUCAGUUGAAUCUCUCAUUGUUGGAAGUUUUGCUUGUUUACAUUGUCAAAAUGAGCUGGAAAGAAAGGUUUAGCUUUUCUUCCCAUAUUCCUUACUUGCAGCCAGUGACUGGUCUUUUAGAUUCAUGCAAAGGCUAGGUAAAGGGGCAUGUCCUAGUCUCUGGUCCUUGGAGUGGUUCGUCUGAGGAACCAGAUGGAGUCUUUUAUCCACAACAUUCAUUGGAGAUUCCGAGUAGGAUACGCUUCCAUCACUUUCUCUAUAUUUUGCAAUUAUUUCUUCCUCGCUGUCAAUUUAUUGUUGAUCUUUUUGUUUGUGUGAUAUAGGCAAGGAGAGGUGGGGACGCCUUGUAGAGUGGGUAGACAAGGCUUCUUUCACCUAUUUAACAAGUUGUUCGAAAUAGACGCGUUCAAAUGGGCCCCUAAAGUUCUUUUGUAAGAUAAUAAGUUGCUAACGCUAAUUGAUAAUCCAAAGUCGUUCAUCAUCCCCGUAUUUCCUCGUCUGGCUCCCCCGUCUUUGGUGCCUGGUGAACAUUUCGUGCUAAAGGAUUUGCCAUUCUAUGAGGUUGCUCGUCUGGCAUAUUAUAAGGCAUGUUAGGCCCGUUUAGAGGAGUGAGAGAAAAAACAUCAGGAAGGGACAUUGAGGCAAGCUCUAACUGCUAGUCUUCUAUCCUCCAGUUUUGUUGUCCAUCCUCUCACUAAAAAGAGGACGAAACCUACUGCUUCGCCUAUCUGGAAGGUAAGGACUCUGCCUCCUUCAUCUUUAUCUUCUCCAUCAACUUCAUCAUCUUCGUCAUCUCCAUCUUCUAGUGGCAAGCCAAAAUCAUGGGUUGUCCAGGUAGUGUCCCUUAUUAUUUGCGAGGAGGAAAAAGAAGAGGAUAUGGCUUCAAACUUGAGGGUCGGAUUUCGUGAGAGACAGCGCAAGUGCUUGUCCAAAUCCAUUGUUGUCAAUCCUACCCCCUCUAAGAAAGCUUGUUCAAAACCUACUUCAGCUCUUGCGCUCGUGUCGGUUCCUCUAACUACUGCUACAGUCUUCACCCUUAAGCUAGAUGAGAAACUUCCUUCUGUUGAUGAACAUGUUUAUCAUGAGACGAGGAUACCCUUCAUCAGCACGAACAACUUCAACAAAGAAUCGUUCGAAUACAUGACUUUUUUUUCUCUUUGUUCGAAGUCAACCUAUGUCCCCAAUCGGGAGGAGGUAUCUGAGCUUUUGAAGUGAAUCCCUGUCUUCACCGAAAGAGAGUCCCUGGUACAAAACAUAGGGUACUCUUUCCAGCUACUUAGCAAAUCCCAAUCGAGAUAGACAACGAUCCUAGUCGAUCUUUCAUGACCUGGCUUUUGUAUGACACUCCGAAUAUCGCCAUUUCUCGCAUUAUUCCCAUGCAAGACUAUAAGGCUUUUGAAAUGACAAAUAUGGUAAGUCACCUACCCUUUUCUUCUCAUUUUUCCUUAGCCUCUUGUUUCACAACGAUUUCUUUAUUGCAUCUUCAGGUGAUAGUCGAAGUUUGAAACCUCAUGCGGCAACACACUCCUUUUUUCUACCGAUUGGAAACAAUCGAGACCAUGAGGCCAUACUUUGCCCAUAAUAUGGAUGGGAAUGAGGAUCUUCUUGCCAGCUUGGAGACAAUAAAGAGUGAAGCUGCUGUUGCCCAAAAGCUUGUUAAAGAAGAAAUCGGUCUAUUGAGGAAGGCCGAGGAAGAGAAGGAGACAGUUCAAACUGAAGCUUGCCAACUAGUUGAAAAGAAGGAAACCAUGGUGGUUGACAAAAAAAAAGGCUGAAGAAGAGGCUGCCUAGCUGAGGCAGGAGCUACAGGAUCUCCGAGCAGGGUUUGCCUCUCAGAAAGAAGACUUGGAGGUUCACUACCAAAAGCAAGUGGAUGACAUGUUCUUGUACGACUAUCGUUGUUGUAUGAAGAAGCAUGGCAUCAUCCAUGAUGCUCUGAGUUUUCCUUUGGAUGACGAUGAUGAGUUUUUAGGCGACCCUGCCCAGGGAGGAGGAGAUGUUUUCGGAGACGAUCCUUAUGGCGAGUAGGCUUGAUCUCUUUGUUUGUAUUUAUUUAUUAUGGUUGGACGUGGCCUAGACUGCUAUAUCUAUAAAGACAAUGGAUGCUUUAUUUUUUCAAAUAUAUUUACUUUAUCCGUUUGUCUCUCAUACAUUGUUUUCAUAAGCAAACUUUAUUGAAAGUAAUACUUUAAAUUGGAUACAUUCUAAGAGCAGAGCAGGGGUACGUUGUCUAGUGUUUGAAAAUGGUAUACCCCUAAGUCUCUAGCCUUAGUUACAACAUAUGGCCCUUCCCAGUUAGCUUGAAGCUUUUCGGCUCCUAUUUCAGCUGUGUUCUCAAAUAUUCUUCUGAGGACUAAAGUUCCUAGCCAGAAAAACCAUGGUCGUGUUUUUUUGUUGUAAUGGGUGAUCGUCUUUUGAUGGUAAGAAACCAUUCAGAUAGUUAUGUCUCCUAGCAUUUCAUCUGCCCAAUCCAACUGUCUUAUGAGUUCUUCAUCAUUGUUCCUCUGAUCUUAUACAACUGUUUUAGUGGUAGGCAUGUCAAUUUCAGUUGGAAUAAUGACCUUCAUCCCAUAAGCAAGGGCAAAAGGAGUAGUUCCUAUUGGCCGUUUGGAUGUCGUUUUGUAAGCCCAUAAGAUUCCGAGCAGUUCAUCCACCCAUUUUCCUUUAGCUCCUUCCAGCAUUUUUUUAAUGCAUUCAGUAGGGUUUUGUUUGUCGCCUCAGCUUGCCCGUUACUCUACGGAUAGCAAAGUGUUGAAUACAAAUUCUUGAUGUUUAACUUCAAAUAGAAAGUUCGGAAGACGGUAUUGUAUGAUUGCUCGCAAAACUCCAAAUCGACAUACGAUGUUUUUCUAGACGAACUUGAAGACAUCCUUAUCUUUGAUGCUAGCAUAGUGUCACGGACUUAGUCGUUCACUAAGCUCGUGCGGCACUUAGACAAGCCAAGACGCUUGAUCUUGCUAAGUCAGCCUUGCUCCCAAUACUUAGCUCACCCGGCUAAGACACUCGCGACUCAAAAGCUUAAGAAGCUUGGUAGGCAACUCCUUAAAGAAUGGAAGCUUUCUAUUACUCAAAGAAGCCUUUACAAGUGCUUGGAUGCUCACUUGCUUGGUUAGGAAGUGAUUUUGGGUGGUGCCUUGGCCAAAUGAGGCCCUCACCUAUUUAUAGGCACCAAGGGAACUCUCUAGAACCUUGGAGGGUUCCCUUACAAAUCAAGAAUAUUCUAGAACAUCCUACCCUAUUCUAUGUACAACCCUAUGUACAAGAAUAUACAAGAGAUUCCUAGAAGUCUCUAGAAAGCCUUGGACUCCUCCCAUGCCUUCCACCAUAGUGUAGAGAUGUGUGGACAUCUCUAGGCAUUUCUAGAACCUUCCACACUCUUCCCACCAAUGACUUNNNNNNNNNNNNNNNNNNNNNNNNNNNNNNNNNNNNNNNNNNNNNNNNNNNNNNNNNNNNNNNNNNNNNNNNNNNNNNNNNNNNNNNNNNNNNNNNNNNNNNNNNNNNNNNNNNNNNNNNNNNNNNNNNNNNNNNNNNNNNNNNNNNNNNNNNNNNNNNNNNNNNNNNNNNNNNNNNNNNNNNNNNNNNNNNNNNNNNNNNNNNNNNNNNNNNNNNNNNNNNNNNNNNNNNNNNNNNNNNNNNNNNNNNNNNNNNNNNNNNNNNNNNNNNNNNNNNNNNNNNNNNNNNNNNNNNNNNNNNNNNNNNNNNNNNNNNNNNNNNNNNNNNNNNNNNNNNNNNNNNNNNNNNNNNNNNNNNNNNNNNNNNNNNNNNNNNNNNNNNNNNNNNNNNNNNNNNNNNNNNNNNNNNNNNNNNNNNNNNNNNNNNNNNNNNNNNNNNNNNNNNNNNNNNNNNNNNNNNNNNNNNNNNNNNNNNNNNNNNNNNNNNNNNNNNNNNNNNNNNNNNNNNNNNNNNNNNNNNNNNNNNNNNNNNNNNNNNNNNNNNNNNNNNNNNNNNNNNNNNNNNNNNNNNNNNNNNNNNNNNNNNNNNNNNNNNNNNNNNNNNNNNNNNNNNNNNNNNNNNNNNNNNNNNNNNNNNNNNNNNNNNNNNNNNNNNNNNNNNNNNNNNNNNNNNNNNNNNNNNNNNNNNNNNNNNNNNNNNNNNNNNNNNNNNNNNNNNNNNNNNNNNNNNNNNNNNNNNNNNNNNNNNNNNNNNNNNNNNNNNNNNNNNNNNNNNNNNNNNNNNNNNNNNNNNNNNNNNNNNNNNNNNNNNNNNNNNNNNNNNNNNNNNNNNNNNNNNNNNNNNNNNNNNNNNNNNNNNNNNNNNNNNNNNNNNNNNNNNNNNNNNNNNNNNNNNNNNNNNNNNNNNNNNNNNNNNNNNNNNNNNNNNNNNNNNNNNNNNNNNNNNNNNNNNNNNNNNNNNNNNNNNNNNNNNNNNNNNNNNNNNNNNNNNNNNNNNNNNNNNNNNNNNNNNNNNNNNNNNNNNNNNNNNNNNNNNNNNAGCCGCCUCAUCCGUCAAUGCGAUAGCCUCAAAGUAUCGCUCCAUAUGCCAUAAGAAGUUAUCCAACUCCUUGGCAUCCCGAUUGCCACUAAACCUAUGUGGCUUCGGCACCUCCACCCUAGAUGCCUCUUGUGUGGCCAUGACCCGUGCCGACACAGCAGCCUUGUAGAUGGCCAACUCCUGCCUAACUUCCUGGUCUCGGGACUCCAUUCGAGUGGCCAAGGCCUCUAUCCUUGACUCCAUGCUAGCAAGCAUGCUCAAGACCUUUCCUUGGAAGGACACAAACUCCUCGUGCGACACUGGUUGAACCUGUGAGAUUAGCACCCCCUCGCGAAGGUCUUGGAUCUGCUCCCUUAGAUCCUCUAAGCCCUUCUCCAUGCCUUGCUCGAUCAAGUCCAACCCUUCCCGAGUGUCCGCCAUGGCUAGCUCCACCUUCGCUAACCUUGCCUCCAUGUUGGCAACGGCAUCACGAGAUUUAUCCUUCCUGCCCCUGCCCCGUGCAGUAGGCUCGGUCUCUCUCCCACGGGUUUGCUCACUAGUCUCCUCCACGUUAGAGCCCGACAUGCUUCCUUUGCUAUGCCCACCUCGUAACCGCGCUCUGAUACCACUUGUCACGGACUUAGUCGUUCACUAAGCUCGUGCGGCACUUAGACAAGCCAAGACGCUUGAUCUUGCUAAGUCAGCCUUGCUCCCAAUACUUAGCUCACCCGGCUAAGACACUCGCGACUCAAAAGCUUAAGAAGCUUGGUAGGCAACUCCUUAAAGAAUGGAAGCUUUCUAUUACUCAAAGAAGCCUUUACAAGUGCUUGGAUGCUCACUUGCUUGGUUAGGAAGUGAUUUUGGGUGGUGCCUUGGCCAAAUGAGGCCCUCACCUAUUUAUAGGCACCAAGGGAACUCUCUAGAACCUUGGAGGGUUCCCUUACAAAUCAAGAAUAUUCUAGAACAUCCUACCCUAUUCUAUGUACAACCCUAUGUACAAGAAUAUACAAGAGAUUCCUAGAAGUCUCUAGAAAGCCUUGGACUCCUCCCAUGCCUUCCACCAUAGUGUAGAGAUGUGUGGACAUCUCUAGGCAUUUCUAGAACCUUCCACACUCUUCCCACCAAUGACUUAGUGUAGAUGGCUCCAGGAGUCUCCAGAAGCUUCCCUCCUUCUAUAUAAGCCCAUGGGGAGGGUCAUUUGAAGCAUCCUGUGACAAUAGGCUUCUGUUUCCACCCACUUGCUAAAAUAGUCAGUUGCAACGAGUAAAACUUUUUUUGAGCUAUUGCAACAAGUAAGGGACAAAUUAUGUCGAUCCCCCACUGCGCAAACAACCAAGGGCUUGUGACCAGACUGAGAGCUUCAGAAUGUACACGGGAAAUGGGAGCAUGUCUUUGACACCAGUCACAUCUCUUAAAAUAGUUUUCAGUGUUUUGUUUCAUGGUGGGCCAAUAGUACCCUUGCAUGUAAGCACGAUGUGCCAAGGUUCGUUCGCCUGUAUGAUUUCUAUAUACGCUUUCAUAGAGUUCGGCCAGGACAUACUUGGCUUCUGGCUUGCUCAAACACCUUAGGUAUGGUUCUCUAAAUGAUCAUCUAUAAAGCAGGUCAUUGAUUAAAGUGAAGCGAGAUGUUUGCACGCAGAGUCUGUGCAAUUGCUUCCAAUCUUCUAGUAAUUCUCUCGUCUAAAGGUAUUUUACAAUGUCAUGCAUCCAGCCAAGGUUUGCUUCAUUGGUACUGCACACUAGUUCGGGUGUGGCCUGAAGGUAGAUAGACAACAUCAUUGCCUCUUUUAUAAGGAGAGUGGCAACUAUUCCGGCCAAUGCAUCCGCCUUCAUGUUCUCCUUUCGGGGUACCAGUCUAACAAUCCACUCAUCUAGAUUUUUCAAGUGAUCUUCCACCAUGGCGAGGUAGCGAGCCAUGCGUUCGUCCAUUACUUCAUACUCUCGUUGAAUUUUCCCAACAAUUAGUUAAAAGUCGCUUCUGAUUUUCAAGUUUGUUGCAGCCAGUGUUAAGGCAAGAUCUAGCCUAACUAGGACAAAUUCAUAUCCUACUUUCGUACAAUCUCUCACAAAAUUCAUACACUCUCUCACAAAGUUCCUACCAUCUCUCACAAAGUUCGUACCCUCUCUCACAAAGUUCAUACCACAUCUCACAAAAUUCGUACACUUUCUCACAAAGUUCAUACUAUUUCUCACAAAGUUGGUACCUCUUCUCACAAAGUUCAUACCCUCUAUCACAAAGUUCAUACACUCUCUCACAAAGUUCGUACCAUGUCUCACAAAGUUCGUACAAUCUCUCACAAAGUUCAUACCUCAUCUCACAAAGUCCGUACCACAUCUCACAAUGUUCGUACCCCCUCUCAUAAAGUCCAUACCCCUUCUCACAAGUUCAUACCCCUUCUCACAAAGUUCGUACCCCCUCUUACAAAGUUCGUACCCCCUCUUACAAAGUUAGUACCACCUCUCAUAAAGUUCAUACCCCCCUCUUACAAAGUUUGUACCCCAUCUCACAAAGUUCUUACCACCUCUCAAAAAGUUCGUACCAUCUCUCACAAAGUACGUACCAUCUCUCACAAAGUAAGUACCAUUUCUCACAAAGUUCGUACACUCUCUCACAAAGUUCAUACCCUCUCUCACAAAGUUCGUACCAUCUCUCACAAAGUUUGUACCCCCUCUGAAAAAGUUCGUACCCUCUCUCACAAAGUUCGUACUAUUCCUCACAAAGUUCAUAUCAUCUCUCACAAAGUUCGUACCAUCUCUCACAAAGUUCGUACCCCCUCUAACAAAGUUUGUACCCCCUCUCACAGAAUUUGUACUCUCUCUCACAAAGGUCAUACCCUCUCUCACAAUGUUUGUACCCCUUCUCACAUUGUUUGUAUCAUCUAUCACAAUUUUCGUACCCCCUCUCACAUUGUUCGUACCCCUUCUCACAGUGUUUUCCUUCAAGAUAUAUAAAACUUCAUCUUCAAAUUUAAUCUACAAAUAAACAAAAUAAUAAUAUAAAAAUAUUAAUGACAAUUUAAUAAUAAAUGACUAAAUUGUCUCAAUUUGAUUAAUAAUAACUCAUAAAAAAAAAUUCAAAAAUCUAAAUGUUAUAAAGCAUUACAUAUUGUUCAUACCCUUUCUCACAAUGUUUGUACCCCCUCUCACAUUGUUCGUACCCCUUCUCACAUUGUUUUCCUUCUUCAAGAUAUAUAAAACUUCAUCUUCAAAUUUAAUCUAUAAAUAAACAAAAUAAUAAUGUAAAAAUAUUAAUGACAAUUUCAUAACAAAUGACUAAAUUGUUUCAAUUUGAUUAAUAAUAACUCAUAAAAAAAAUUCAAAAAUCUAAAUGUUGUAAAGCAUUACAUAUUUAAAUGUCAUUUAACAUGACAUUUCUACCUACAAAAUUUAUAUUUAAAUAAAAAAUAUCAAAUAUUACCUUUGACACUUGUAAUCACUUGAAAUCUUUCAUCUUUUUCAUAUAAUAGAAAUUUUAAAUUUUCUCCCUCAAAAAGUUUCAAACUUGAUCUUCAAAUUUGAUUUAUCAAAACACAUCUCACAUAUUUUAUAAUAUGGUAGUUGAAACUAUUUAAUUUUUAUAUUAAAUUAGUAUCCCUUUUUGUAAAUAUGAAUAAUGAGAGUAUAAGGAUAGUUGUUAGAAUUUUCUUUUUUUAGAUAGAAUUAGGUAACAUUAAAUAAUAAAUUAUAUUUGAUAUUUAAUAAUAAAUUAUAAAAAAAUUGUAAUAUUUAGAUAUGUAUGAAUUGCAUGUAAUUAUUUCUCACAAGCAAGCCAUCUUUAUCGGUUUAAUAAGUUUUUAAUUUUUUUUUUUAAGUGGGUAGGUACCCAAAAUAAAGAGUGGGUACCAAAGAACGAUAUAUAUUUUGUCUAUAUUCUGUAAGUGACUGAAUGAUAGAUGCCUGUUGGUGAAAGAGAUGCCUGUACGUCGGCUUAAGAGAUGUUCUUUAUAUCAAACAAUAUAUAUUUAUCUAUAUUCUGUAAGGGGCUGAAUGAUAAGAUGCCUGUUGGUCAAAGAGAUGCCUGUACGUUUGUCUCAAAGAUGCUUGUUUAUAUCUAAGAAACAAAAGAUUCACAUAAAAAAAAAAAAUGAUGCUUAGAUUAUAAUAUUGAUCCUUGUUCUAUUUGGUUUAAGAGAAUAGUUUGACAUACAUGCAUAAGGUAAUUAAUAAAUUCCUGGUCAAGUGUCACGUUCAAACAAAUUCCUGGUCAAGUGUCACGUUCAAACAAGAAGAUUAAUUAAUAAAAAAGGUCAUUUCAAGGAGUAAAAAAAUUAUGAAAAAUAUAUCAGUUUUAACCACUAAUAUUAAUUAUUAGCAAAAGUCACUUUGAACCAUAAAAAAAUAAAAAAUAAAAAAAAUUAAUAACAAAAUAUCACGUUGAACCACAAAUAUUAACUCACAGCAAAAGGUCACCCUACGCCAUACCUACUAACAGAAACAUGUUCAUUAGUUAACAUGUACACCAAACCACCAAGAGAGACAACACCUCAUAAAACAGUUUUUAAGACCAAAUUUUAAGAACAGUUUUUUAUGUUUUUAGAAACAUAAUUGUGUUUGGGAAUUGAAUUUUGAAAAAUACUUUUUAUUUUCAAAAACAAAAAAAAAACAUGUUUAGUUGAGUUAAUAAAAAAAGUUUUUAGAACAAGUAAAACAAAAAAAUAUAUUUGAAAGUUGCUUUUUUUUUUAAUUGAGAAUUUUCUUUAAUUAACUUGAUAUUGUAAUUAUAUACAUAAUUUUUAGAUUUACAUUUCAUUUAAAUUAAAAACUAUUAUAUUAUGAUAUUUAUUUGCAUGAGUUAUAAUUUUUUCAACAAAGGAUUACUUUACCUAAUUGAUGAAGGGUAAUAAAGGGACUCAUAAAUCUGCUCAUCUACAUCAUUUAUUUCAUCUAAUGAAAAGGUAUCAACAACCAUUGAUAUAAUCUACUAGCUAAAACAAAAAUGUAACAACAGCAACAAUUCAAGUAUUGGUACAUUUCAGAUCACUACAAAUUAAAAGACCUUUUGGGUACUUACAGGCGAAGAAUAAAGUGCAAACCAGCAGGAGAUAGACUCAAUAAACGAAUACAACUCAAUGGUGUAUUUAAUACUUAGAUCAGGCCUCCUUCCCCUGGAAGUUGUAAACAUGGAAUGAGCACCUGCAAAUCAAAGCAAGGGAACAGACAAAAACCAUUUUUUGUUACACUACAAGAACUAGACCAAGAGUAGAACCUGUAAAAUCAUAGUAAUCAAACACCAAAGGUCCAAAACCAGUGAUCCAUUUGCUAGAAAAGAGAAAUCAAAUUAAUGAAACACAUAUCACAAUCAUUUUAAAUAGAGCAGAGGUCAUUCAAAACCUAUGAAACUCUAGACGAUGUGUUAAUGAACCAGGAAAUAUUUUAAGAAAUCACACAAAGUGAUCUAUCUUAACCUAGUGUUAAUAUAAAAGAUUCAUAAUCCCAAGAUAGGGAAAAAAACAAAUACGCAGCCGAGAAUCAAACCAAUUAGGUAGAAGACAAAAAAAAAAAAAAACAUUUCAAAUUAAAUAUAUACUCCAAUCCGAAUCUCAAAACCAUAAAUUAUUUUCAUGGAGAAGACAAAGAAAGGAAGAAAAAGACAAUACCUAAAACACUGAGUCUCCUUCUCAUUGAAUCCCCUUGAUGCAAAAGAUGCAAAGGUUAUUCUUAGCUCUUCAUUAGGCAAAGAGAUCCAUAUGUUGCGACAUCUGCAAAAGCCUAACUGUUAUCUCUCUUGCCAAUAUCCAGAGGGUAGAAUAGGCCACCAGCCUAAAAUUCAAAGCUUCAUAACACCAUCAAAUAGCGUACAUACAAGCACAUGAACACAUAGAGAGAGACUUUUUACACGAACAGCACCUUCUCUGGCGGCUAAUACAAGAAUAUCAGCACGUGAGGGUAGGUUGCUUCCAGCUCUUCCUUGAUGGAUUCAAUUAUAUCAAAGCCUUUUAGAGUUUCAUUAGAAAGCGAAUCUUUCUCUGAAUGGAUUCCAAUAUUUUUCUUGCCGUCAGUCUCUUCCGUGCACAACCCUUUCAAAUCAUGGGCCCCAAAAACAAACCAAAUUCCACAUACUUUUCAACUAAAUACAACCAUGAAUGCCAGUGCUGCCCUAUAAAUAAUAUGGAGCUUGCCAAGCUAUUUCUCUCAUACCUACCAAUUCAUCAUUCAAGGUAUAGUACUGUUCUAUCAUUGUUCCAAGGAAUUAACAUGUCUACUCAAGUCUCAGCAUCUUCUCUAGCCCAGAUUCCCAAACCUAAAAAUCGUCCUGUGGCAAACUAUCACCCCAACAUUUGGGGUGACCAGUUUAUCUCCUACAUUCCUGAAGACAAGGUAAUUGAAUGAAAAUAUGCAUCAAGUUUAAUGGCUUACAUACUUAUUUGGCAGUUAUUUUUCUUAAUGUGUUGGAUGAAAAAAAAUUUUGGUCCAGGUUACACGUGCCUGCAAAGAGGAGCAGUUUGUGGAUCUGAAAAAGGAAGUGAAAAGGAAAUUAACGGCUGCUGCUGUUGCUAACCCUUCCCAAUUGCUGAACUUCAUUGAUGCAGUGCAACGUCUUGGGGUGGCAUACCACUUUGAGCAAGAGAUAGAAGAAGCAUUGCAACAUAUUUGUAACAGUUUUCAUGACUGCAAUGAUAUGGAUGGUGAUCUCUACAAUAUUGCUCUUGGAUUUCGACUACUAAGGCAACAAGGGUACAGUAUUUCAUGUGGUAAGAGACUAAGAAAAAAAUGUUAUGUUCAACCUUCUUAUCAUUUAAAUCUUAUGUUCAAGUGGUGAUGUUUGUGUAGGCAUAUUCAACAAGUUUAUGGAUGAACGAGGUAGAUUCAAGGAAGCUUUGAUCAGCGAUGUAAGAGGCAUGCUAUGCUUGUAUGAAGCUGCACAUCUGAGGGUUCAUGGAGAGGACAUAAUUGCAAAAGCACUUGCUUUCACCACCACUCACCUCAAGGCCAUGGUAGAAAGUUUAGGAUACCAUCUUGCAGAACAAGUUGCUCAUGCCCUGAACCGGCCCAUUAGAAAAGGUUUGGAGAGGCUAGAGGCAAGAUGGUAUAUAUCUGUCUACCAAGAUGAAGCUUUCCAUGAUAAAACUUUACUAGAGCUAGCAAAAUUAGAUUUCAAUCUAGUGCAGUCACUGCACAAGGAAGAGCUAAGCAAAUCUUGCAAGGUUGGUUUUUAGAUCACCCCACAUGUACUUGGCCAUUCUUAUCACUUUCCUGUAUGCUGAUCAUAUUAAUGUCUUUUAGGUGGUGGAAAGAAUUAGACUUUGCUACAAAGUUACCUUUUGCACGAGACAGAUUGGUUGAAUGCUACUUUUGGAUACUUGGGGUGUAUUUUGAGCCUCAAUACUUACGGGGUAGACGAAUUCUAACCAAAGUAAUUGCCAUGACAUCCAUUCUAGAUGAUAUCCAUGAUGCAUAUGGCACACCUGAAGAACUCAAGCUCUUCAAGGAAGCCAUUGAGAGGUUUGCUCCUUGCACAUUACCAACCUUGAUUGUGUAUAAUAGAUGUAUUCAUAUAUACCUAAAUCAAGGGUCGUUAUUUUAUUUUCAGGUGGGAUAUUAACAGCAUAGAUCAGCUUCCAGAAUACAUGAAACUCUGCUAUGCGUCACUCUUAGAUGUGUACAAAGAAAUCGAGGAAGAGAUGGAGAAAGAAGGAAACCAAUAUCGGGUUCACUAUGCCAAAGAAGUAGUAGGACAUCUUUAACUCUGGAUCCCCACCUUUUGUAUUGAUGAUAUUUUAUAUGGUCUCAUAUAUACAUAGAUAUAACUUGGAUGAAUGUUCUUUAGAUGAAGAAUCAAGUUCGAGCUUACUUUGCUGAGGCCAAAUGGUUACAUGAAGAACACGUACCAACAAUUGAAGACUACAUGCGUGUUGCACUAGUAAGCUCUGGAUACUGCAUGCUUGUAACCACGUCCUUGGUGGGAAUGGGAGAAAUAGCAACAAAGGAGGCCUUUGAUUGGAUGACCAGCGAUCCUAAGAUUAUGUCAUCUUCAAAUUUCAUUGCGAGGCUCAUGGAUGACAUCAAAUCACAUAAGGUAUGCAGAAUAUGUGAUUCAAAUGGGGAGACUAAAACACUAUGGUUUUUCCUCAACUUUUGUAUUAUACAUGCAGUUUGAGCAAAAGAGACGACAUGUGGCCUCAGCUGUUGAAUGUUACAUGAAGCAAUAUGGUGUCUCUGAGGAACAAGUAUACAGUGAAUUUCAAAAGCAAAUUGAGAAUGCAUGGCUGGAUAUUAACCAGGAAUGCCUCAAACCUACUGCUGUUUCAAUGCCUCUCCUUGCUCGUAUUCUCAAUCUUACACGAACCGCGGAUGUCUUUUACAAAGAGCAAGAUUCGUUCACACAUGUUGGGAAAGUGAUGAGGGAUAACAUUGCGUCUGUCUUCAUUAACGCUGUAAUAUAACCAAAUAGAGUAGUUGAUUACCGUCCCCUAUGUAUUGCCUUGUGGAAGCAGUAAUAUCUAAUAAAUCACUAUAAUAAGGUGAACGAGUGAUAUGUAAUAAAUCAUUGUAAUACGGUAAGGGGACACAUUAUAUGUAGCACCUAGUUUCUCUGGAUUCAUAGUGUUUUACUUUGGAAUAUUACCUGAAUAUUUAAAUAAGAAGAUGUAUUACUUAAAUCACCUAAU
rnacentral:lncRNA from 1 species